rnacentral:lncRNA from 1 species
AUUCCAUUAAGUGGUAAUUUUUGGAAUUUUGUUGAUAGGCUGGUGCUUCCGAGCAUGCAAGGACCCUUGGCCCAAAGGGGUCUGAUCCACACAAGGCAGCUGUGAUUGGUGACACCAUUGGAGACCCACUGAAGGACACCUCAGGCCCAUCGCUCAACAUCCUUAUCAAGCUCAUGGCAGUGGAGUCUCUCGUCUUUGCUCCCUUUUUUGCCACUCAUGGUGGGUUGCUUUUCAAGAUCUUCUGAGGAAUGGGAUGAUGAAAAAUACAUGGGCAAAGGGGUGAUUAGCCCUUUUUUCCCCAGUAUUUAUUGGGCACCUCUCACCAAUUCAUCUAAUCUCCAUAUCCAUCCAUCCCCACAUUGUGGGUUUUUCAAGUUGGUUUCUAUGUUUAGGGAAAUAUUAUUUUUGAAGGGCUGAUGAUGAUGAUGAUGAUAAUCAUGAUUGGUAAGGGAGGACAGGCAAAAUGGUUUUAACUGUCACAGAAGAGUCAGGAUGGUAGUGUGUUACUUUUCUUUAUACCUCUUUUUAGAACAGCUCUGUUCCUAAUUUCCUUGUAACCUUAUCCUUUUUUCCAUUAAAAGCAAGGAGAACAUGUUCAUCAAUUUUGGGUAUUUUGGCUGUCCAUCAGUGUGGAGCUUUGUAGUUUUUGUUUGGGUUAAAUGCGUGCAGGGCCUAGGUAGAUGGAAAAUGAUGCCGGUCUUUUUAACUCUUGGAUUUUAGCUUUAUCAUCUCCAAAUUUUUAAAAAAUAGAUAUCUAAGGUAUGUUUGUUAAAUGAUGUCUAACUGUUUUAUUAGUAGUUGAUUUUAGUGAAUUAUAACUUUUAUUAAUAGUUUAUUAAUAGUGAUUGAGACAGGCAUUGUUGACCUCUCUUUUUUUUCUUUUAUUUCCCACUGCUUCAAUUCAUCCAAACGUAAAAUAGCCAAUUCCUACAGCUUUGGGAAUACUGUGUUGAUGAUGAUCCCAAAAACUCACUACCUAUGUAUUGCACACCAUACAUAGAGCAUAUAUCCAGCUUCUCAAGGACAGGCAGCUGCCCCAAAGGAGGCAAACAUGGACAUCUUAAGCAAGAGUCGAGGUAAAGUAUUUUCAGGUGAGCUAAUGAUGAACCCAUCAUCCAAUUGGGCCACUCUCUAUCACUAUAAUCGAAUAUACGUAGAGAUUUCAAGUUUGGAUGGGGUUGUAGAGCUUCAGCCACACCCUUGGUCCCCUCCUUUCUACCAAAUUCCAAAUCCAAACGUUGGAGGAUUCUUAUUCUUCAAUUCUGCUUUUUCUGCCUCCCCAGCAUCUUUCACUUCAUCCAACCCUUCAACGGAAAGACGUCCUCUUAGGUUGUUCAAGUUUCUCAGGUCUCCUAGUUGGCAUUCAUCAUUGCCAUGACUACUCACAAUGAAAACAUCGAGUGUCUGAAGAGAGCUUAAUCUUCCAAUUCCUUUUGGUAAGCCCUCUAGAGUACCAUAACUUUCAAGAUGCCUCAACUUUUUCUCCACUCCUCCCGUGAAACGCUAUGGUACUGAACAAUGACCGGCAUUGCUCAUUGGACAGUUCUCCUAAGGGUUGCUUGUACGUGCUUCCCAUGAUUGUAGAAACGUUUUCGUUUCGUGUGGUCACCAAAAUUCUACUUCCCGGUGCCCCACUCUUGAGAGAACUCUCUACUUGUUCCCACAAUUCAUAGUUUUCAGUCCAAACAUCGUAGCACAAGUAGGAACUUCUUAUCGGCAAUAAGUGUGCGAAUUUUUUGUUGUACAGCUUCCAGCUCAUGGAAACCAGAAGACUCUUUCUGGAGGGCUUCAAGAAUAGCCUAGAAAUCCUCAUUGGGUCAAAAGGAUCAGACACACAGACCCACACCCUUUGAUGGAAAUAGGCCUUCACCUUUUCGUGGUUGUAUGCUAAUUAAGCAAGAGUUGUUUUGCCUAUCCCUCCCAUCCCAACUAUGGAGAUGCUUUCUCGGGAACUCCCAACCAACAGCUUCUCUAUUAUAAUGCCAACAUUAUACAAUUAAGUACCUUUGGAGUUUCCCAUUUUUUUUCUUUUAAAUUAGAAACUUUUAUAUAAAUAGAUAUCUGGUAUAAAAAGUAUAAAUUUACUUUAUAUUUUUUAAAUUCAUUUUAAAAAAUUUUAAAUUUUGAGAUAGUAAAUUUUCUUUAAUAUUUCAAUUUGUUAAAUUAUCAGAGUUCUUAUAUCUUAUAUAAAGAAACUACUAUUUUCUAAUUUUAUAAAUAAAAAAAAAAGCAUUUUAUAAAACUAAAAAGUGUAUCCAAACAAACACUAAGAACCUAUUUGGUCAUUUGAUUUAAAAACAAUUUUUUGUUUUUAAAUAACAAAAAACUAUUUUUAAAAUUUUCUAACAUUGUUUUAUCGUUAUUCUCUGAAAACAUUUUUUAAAAACAAAAUGAAAUAUAUAACAAUUUUUAGAGAACAAAUAAGAGUUGUUUUCACCAAUUUUUAAAAACAAAGGAAAACAUGAAUCCAUUUGAUCAUGUUUUCUGAAACUUGUAAUUAAAAAUUGUUUUUAAAUUAAAGAAUAAAAAACAGUUUUAAAAAAUAAGUUUCAGAAAACAUGGUCAAAUGGACCUUAAGUGACUUGAUAAUACCUCACAUUUAUUAGGCAAAGCCCCCUCUAGGAGAAAAUUUUUGUUGGAAUCAUAACCAAGCAUUUGAAACCUUUGCAUUGAAAUUUCAAGAACAUCCCACUUCAUCCAUUAGGUUAACAAUAGAUAUGUCCUUACAACAAAUCAGAAGAAACAUCAUGCAUGCAUGCAUGCAAGUUCCCAUCAUUCGCAAACCAUUUAUGUUGUAGGAAAUAAAUCCAAACAAUAAAGUUGAAGUUUACACAUUCUUACAUAUAUAGGCAAACCAAUAAAAGGGGAAAAGAAAAAGAGAAAAUUUUUUUACAAAUCACCAAUUUGAAAUUGAUUCAUAGACAACUUCACAAUACAUAGGUGUUGGGAAUUUUCUCCUCUUUAUUUGAACUUGCUUCUCUGAAACGAAAAACAAUAAAAUUAAGAUGGAAAAGAGAUAAGGAAAGUCAAGACAGAAAUAAAGAUAAAAGCUUGCAAGUAAAAAUGACAAAUAAUAAUAAUAAUAAAUGAUGCCUUUGGAUAUAAUUUUGAGACAAUAAUCAAGAUGGUCUUUAUUGAUAAGUUUUGAAAUUUUCUUUGCAAUAUUUUGAGCAAAUAAUCUAAUAGGUUAGGCUAUUAAAAUAUUAAUUAGUUAACAUUUAGAUCAUGUUUUUCAUUUGUUUCAUUUCUCAUUCAUUAAUGUAUUUGAAAUAUUAUUUUUACAAUUUAUAUAUAUACCCAUGGGCCUGAAACCUAAUCAAUCAUGGUGCCCAUACCACUAGAAAAGGGGAAACACUAGGCCCAUGGCCCAACAAAAGUCUACUUUAAGCCGAAAACCCUCAGCUCCACCAGAAAAGAGGGAACACUAGGCCCAUGCCCAACAAAAAGUGUACCCUAAAAUAAAAUGGAAUUUGAUAAUAUAUAACAUUAUAUAGUAUAUAUAAAGUCUAAAGAUCACAUAUGACCUAUGGAUAUCUUCUACAUGGCUGUUGGAGCUUUUUCAAGGUAUUUGAUCAUGUAACAAAACACUUUUAGAAUAGAAAAGGUUUCAAGUUUAGAUGAGGUAUUUUUGAAGAAAAGUUUUUUUUUAAAGAUUUGUCUAAUUUUAUUUUAGAAUUUUGCAAGGUGUAGAUAUUAUAGGAUAAACACUUUAGUAACAGUGUAAAUGUGCCAAAAUGGACCUAUGGAUACAAUAUAAUAAUGUUAUGCAAAAUGGAAAGCUACAGAAAAAGAAAAUCUAUGGAAUAGAUUAAUGUGUGCGAUUAUGGAUGCAAUGGAAAUGAAAACUAAGAUAAAUUCUAAUUACCUGUAACAAGAGCGACAUGAGGUGAAACGUGAUGACCAUUCAGUCUGAUGAAAAUUCGAAUUCUGGGAUAUGAGAUAUUUUGUGUCGAUCCUCUCCAAUAUCCUUUCGAUAGCGUCGUUUCAGAAUAGGAGAAGAUCUGAUGUUCAAUGUCUGCAAUGUUGUCCUCUGGAGCACGUGGUCUGGCAGUCCCUCUAGCUUUGGGCAGCCUCUCGUACUCAAAUGAUUGAGACAUGGCAUUAUUGACCUCUCUUCUUUUUCUUUUAUUUCCCAUUGCUUCAAUUCAAGCAAGCCUAAAAUAGUCAAUUCCUUCAGCUUUGGGAAUACUGUUGAUGAUGAUCCCAAAAACUCACUACCUAUGUAUUUCACACCAUACAUAUUCCGUAUCCACAGAUUCUCAAGGACAGGCAGUUGCCCCAAAGGAGGCAAACAUGGACAUCUUAAGCAAAAGUCGAGGUUAAGUGUUUUCAGUUGAGCUAAUGAUGAACCCAUCAUCCAAUUGGGCCACUCUCUAUCACCAUAUUCACAUAUACAUAGAAAUUUCAAGUUUGGAUGGGGUUGUAGAGCUUCAGCCACACCCUUGGUCCCCUCUGUACCAAAUUUCAUUGUCAAAUCUUGGAGGUGUACCUUAUUCUUCAAUUCUGCUUUUUCUGCCUCCCCUGCAUCUUUCACUUUAUCCAACUGUUGAAUGGAAAGAUGUCCUCUUAGGUUGUUCAAGUUUCUCAGGUCUCCUAUUUGACAUUCAUCAUUGCCAUGACUACUCACGAUGAAAACAUCUAGUGUCCGAAGAGAGCUUAAUCUUCCAAUUCCUUUUGGCAAGCCCUCCCGAGUAUCAACAAAACCAUUUUCAAGAUGCCUCAAAUUAAUUAGUUUACCCAUUGCCUGUGGUAGUUUCUGAAGACUUUCACAUACUUGAAUAUUUAAGGUUUGCAAAUUAUAUAAAUCACAAAUUGUUUCAGGCAACUCUCUCAAACUAAGACACAAUGAUAGAUUAAGGUAUCUUAAAUGUAUCAAUUUUCCUACCUCCCUAGGAAGUUCCUCAAUCAACUGAUUGCUGCUCAAAUCCAAUGCCUUGAGACAUGUCAAAUGCCUUAACAAAUUAGGUAAGGCUUUAAAAACUCUUGAAUUGAAUGCUUCCUUAGCCAAGAGGGUGUGUAGAUUCUUCAUGUUAUAAGUGGAGGUGAAAUUAGGGGUACUCUCUCGGACAACUAAGGUGGUAUGGCGAAUCUUUUUGAAGGAUAAGUCUAUGCUCUCCAUUUGUUGGUUGUCAACCUCCACAAUAAAGCAUUCAUUCUGAGUCAAAAAUUGAGCAAAAUCAUGCACUAUAUCAUGCAUCUUACAACGUAUUAUAUUACCAUCAUCAUAUUUUUCAAAAUCUUGGAAGAAAGACCGAGCAGCUAAAUAUUCAAAGUACGUUCUCCCAACCAUCUCCAUCUCUUUUCUCCCAUCAGAUUUGAGAUAGCUUUGUGCCAUCCACAACUUGAUCAGCUCAUCUCUCUCAAUAACCGAGUCUUUUGGAAAAACAGCACAAAAUGAGAAGCAGCGUUGAAUUGCAGGGGGCAGAUCAUAAUAACUCAACAACAAAGCAGGGGAAAUAUCUCUCUCAAACUCAUCUAGCUGCCAUACUUCACUAUUCAAUACGUUCUUCCAUUCUUCCUCGCUAUUUUUUAUGCGCAAGAGAUUCCCUAAAGUUUUUAUAGCGAGGGGCAAGCCCUUGCAUUUGUCUGCUAUUUUCUCACCAAUUUCUUUUAAUUCUUCCUCUUUCUCCCAACUACUCCUUUCAUAGAAAGCUAUUUGAUGGAAUAAUGCCCGAGAUUGCUCCAAAGACAGCUCCCCCAAGGGAUGCUUGUACGUAGUUCUCAUCAUCUUAACAACACUCUCUUUGCGUGUGGUCGCCAGAAUUCUACUACCUGCUGCUCCGCAGAGGAGGGUGUUCUUCAGUUGUUCCUACAAUUGAUUGUCUUCACUCCACACAUCAUCUAGCACAAGAAGGAAUUUCUUUUCGGCAAUACGUGUUUUAAUUUCUUCUUGUACAGCGUCCAACUCAUGGAGAUCACAAGGCUUUUUUUGGAGGGUUUCAACAAUAGCCCUACAAACUCUGAUUGGGUCAAAAGGAUCAGAAACACAGACCCAUAUUCUCUCAUUAAAAUGGGCCUUCACCUCUGAAUGGCUGUAGGCUAAUUGAGCAAGAGUUGUUUUGCCCAUGCCUCCCGUCCCAACUAUGGAGACGAUGUAGAGGCCAGAUUUCUCUUGACACUUCUUACCCAACAAAUGGUCUAAUAUGAUUUUUUUAUCCAUAUCCCGACCGUACACCUCUGAAAUAUCAAUUGCAGAGGUAGUUAUAAGUCGCUGUGGUCGCUCCUCACUCCUACUAGAGACAAAAUUAAAUCUAAUUCUCUCCCUUUCAAUAUCAUCUAGUUGUUGUUUAAUGCCCUUAAUCUUAAGAGCAAUGUCACGACGAGAAGCAACUUGCUUGAAACAGAUGCAAGGGGAGGGCAUACAGAAGCUUACCUUCUUCUUAGACGUGGAAGCAUUUUCAACUCUCUCCAUCUGGAAUUGAAGAAUAGCAAUGCUCCACUCAUCCAGCGCGUCCUCCAUUUCGUAGGCCAUGUCUUUGAGCCUCUCCAACCAACCUCGGACAGAUUUUUCCUUCACUUGUCUCUUCUCGGCAUCUUCAAGAACAUCUCGGACGGAGCAGAGUGUGUUUUUGAGGCUUUGAAUUUCUGAUUCAACACCCAGAACCAGAGAAACUUGUUCAUGAAUAUGCUGUUCAACAACCGAAGUUAAGCGUUCCAGCACAAUAGAAACCAGGACAUCAGCCAUGGGAGGGUGAAGAAGGUUGGAUUGAUGAAUGAAGAAGAAUGGAGGAUGAAUAAAGGCGAGUGAGACGAAGAGAUCAGAUCUGCAGCUUUUGUGAGGUCUAUCCUUUUGUAGGACGGUGGGGCCAGAGGGAUGCAUUAUUGAGGCUUUAGGAGCUACUUUAUUUGGAGCUUUGCUUUAUACGGUUUGUAUUAUAUGAGGCUAGUGGGGUUACUUUAUUUGAAUCAUCGAGGCUUGCUUGAUAUGCAUGAUUGAGGCUGGUGGGGUCAUUAAAUAAUCGUACAUAGCUUUGAAUCAAAAUCCAGAUAAAUUAAUCCCAUCAUCUGACUGAAUAUUCAGCAUAUUAAAAUACCCUUCAUUCAAUUAUUAUGGCUCCUUACAAUUAAACUAAUUAGUAAUUGGUUCCAAGUCUCCAUUCACCAUGGUUGAUAAAUUUAACAAAAUAAUUCAUUGUUCUUAUUAAAUAUGUACAAUUCACUUUUCACAAGUAAGGAGCAACUUAUUAGUGCAACAAUUAAGCAAAACACAGUCCGUCAAAUUCAUAGGAAAUGCUGCCAAUUUAAAAAGAGUUAUUCACCACCCUAAUAAUAAUUCAUACACUAUCACAUGUUACAUGUCAAGAGAAAAAAUAAAUUCUUUACUACUCUUUUCCCUUCUCUAGCAUUUUCCAACCCCCUAUAAGUUACAAAACACAUUCGCAUAUAAACUAUAUAUAUAUGAAAUAAGAAAAAGGAGGUACAAGAACAAAAUGAUUAGCCAUAUAAGGAAAAUUAGUUUGUUGAUACCUAAACUCUUACAUCUCACAACUCACAACUUAGUUCUAUGCUUCCAUCGUUGAGAAGUUUAGAGCAUCUUUUAUUGUCCUACUUUACUUUUUUCUUUGCAUAUAGAUAGUUAAUCAAACUUAGAUAUUUGUUAAUGUUUGGAACUUAAAGUGCUUUAUAAAGCUUUAAUUGGAAGUAUACAAUAAUUUAUUCCAUAUUUCUUUUUUCUGAAUCCUAAAUGAAUUAAAAAUUAUGUAAAUUUGUACUUUUAUGCGAGUUCUCACCACUUUUUUUGAAGAAAGGUUAAGAGAAUAACAUUUUUUUUGUUUAUUUUUAUCUUUGUGUAUAAAUUUGUGCUAUUGUGCAAGUUUUCACUAUUGGACUUUUGACUCACAUUUUUUUGUUUAAUAAUAAUAAUAAUAAUAAUAAUAAACAAAUAUAUUAUUAUAAAUCGGUUAGAAUAAGUGAAAUUAUGAUUAGAAUACAAAUAAUGUAACCAAAGUGUGGAAAUCAUGAGAAUGGUACAAAAUAUAUUAUCAAUGUAUUAUGGUAAAAAAUUUGUGACAUUGAUAUGAAAAAGCAAGCAAUGUAUAGGAUACAAAGUAUAUGAUAAGGGUAAAAAGAAUGUGAUUGAAGUACUAAAAUACACUUAAAUUAGUAACAUGACUUAGGUAUGAAAAUUUUGAUCAAAUUAUUAAAGGUAUAAACAUUGUUAUCUAGGUAUCAAAAAUGUGAUUAAGGUACUAAGGUAUGAAAAAUAUCACCUAAGGUAUUAAGGUACAAAAAAUGUUUUAAGUAUAAAUAAUGUGACUAGAGUACUCACAUACAAAUAUAUAGUACAAGUAUGAAUAAUGUGAAAAUUUUCUGAAAAAUAUGAUCUAGGUACGAAUAACCAAUUUAAUGAUGAGAAAUGUGACUAUUAUGUGAAAUAUGUUGACUAAUCUAUAAUAAGGUACAAAAAAUGUUACCAAGGUACCGAUACAUAAAAAGUGCGAUGUAGAUAUAAAUAAUAUAACCAAUUACUAUUAUAUUAUAAAGCUUGAAUCAAUCUUGUUAUCCCAUGUAAGGGGUAAUAGGGGUUGAGUUUGCAAGAGUUUAAGGGGGGCAAUACCCCUUGGAUUUUUUUAUUUUUUUAUUUUUUAUUGAAUGACGAGUUUGCUCCUAUUAUAUUUAAUUAUUGUAUUCUUAAGUGUUAGUAUACUUUGUAUAUAUAAGAAUCACAUUGAUCACUUAAUAACAUUAGAAAUCUCGUCUUUUCUUUAUUUCCACUCGUGUGUGUGGUUUGAUUAACAAUUACAAAACAUGCUAUUGAUUUAUAAAAAAUGUGAGUAGGUUAGUAAGGUACAAAAAAAUAUUAUCUAAGUAUGAAUAAUGUGAUGAAAUUAUAAAAAAUAUGACUAAGGUAUACUGAGCUAAAAAAAAAAAAAAACCAAAGUUAUAAGGCAUAAAAAGUAUGUUCUAGAUAUGAAUAUUAAUGUAACUAUGAUGGAAAGAAUACGAACCGGGUAUUAAGGUACAAAAAAGGUAACCUAGAUAUUAAGAUAAAAAAAAAAAGGAACGUAGGUAUAAAAAAUGUUAUCAAAUCAUUAAAGUAUGAAAAUUAUUACCUAAAUACAAUAGAUGUUAGUAAUAACUAAGAUAUAAAAUAUGCGACUAAAAUAUUAACAUACAACUUAUAUAACUUAAGUACAAAAAAGAUGAUUAGGGUAAAAAAAUAUAACUAAGGUAUAUAGAAUGCAAUUCAUAUAUAAAAAUAUAAAAAAUUAUACUUUAAAAAUUAUAUAACUUAUCUGUAAAACCUCUUUUCAUAUUUAAUUACCAUUUUGUUAGAAAAAAUAAAAUAAAAUAAACUGAAUUUAAAAAAGCUUAGGAAUUCAAAUUGGAGAAGAAAAUCCUGUUGGAAAAUUUUUUAUAUGGGCUAACAUUAAUUGAAUAAUUUGUAUUUGCAAAAACGGGUUAAUGGAUAGUCUAUUAUAUAAUGAACCUAAUUAACUAGUGAUCAUAUUUUGGAUUGGGUUUUACAUCUUUUGAGUAGAAGCUCAGUUGAGUGGCAAGUGUAGGCUAUGGGUCUCAUUGAAGCCCAUUAUGGGAGGACCCAAUGAGAAUCCAAUUUGAGUUAUGCUAAGUCCCCUCUCUAAUCUAGAUAAAAAGGGUUUUUAUGUUUUCCCAUAGAGCCACCAUAGCUGUUAUCAAGAUCAUAGAGAGGAAGACUUGGUUGCAACAAUCAAUCACGGUUUUUUAUCAUAGCUCAAACAGGUAUGUUCUUUAUAGUGAUUUCCUAUUGUUAGUAUCCUUUAAUCAUGUAUGAUUAAUCUAUGUGAUUAUGUAAAUAUUUUACAUGUGGUAUCAGGGCCCGAUUUACAUGAUUUAGGAUCUACAUUUGGAAAUCAAAAAUAAAAUUUUUAGUUUCUUAUUUUAUUUUCUUUUCGAAGCCGAAUCUGUGAUCCAUGAAUGUGUAUUUUUUUUUUUAGUUUCUUUUGAUUGUGAAACUUUAGGCCUUUUGUUCCUCUUGUCACAAGCUUCAAAUUGAUAUAUCAUAUGUGCAAUUUCGUUGGUUAAAUUGGGAGUAAUUAAGUUUUUAAAUUUUCGGAAUUUUCUUGUUUAAAAAUUCAAGAAAAAUUUUAUUUGUUCAAAUUAUUGUGUUUUACUCAAAUUAAACUCUUAGAUUUUGUUGUUUACAUAUAUUAUAGUUGAUAUGUAGCAUCAAUUUCAGUUUUUUGGCUCAAUUUGGUGAAAAUUGAAAAUUAAAAAAUAUGGGUAUGAACCUCAGAAAAUUCGUUUUAUUUUAUUUUUUAAAAAAUUGAGCAAGAUUGAGAAGUUUUUUUUUUUUUGUUCAAUUAAUUAUUGUAGAGAGAUUUCUUAUAUUGUUAAGGUAAAAAUACAUAUAAAAUGAGGCCGAAAUAGGUGUUAAAAUAGAGUUUUUCAAUCUUGGCUAUGGAGGUAUGAAAAAUCGAAUUUUGUUAAUCAAUUAAGGAGAUCUUUAAGUUGUUGUUGUUGUUGUUUUUUUUUUAUUUUUUUAUUUUUUUAUUUAUGAUUAAAUGUCCUAGAAUUGUUAGAAACAACCUAAAGUUUAAAACCCCUCAAGAUCCCGAUCAAAAAAACUUUUUUUUCAAUUGUUUGUAAUCCGGGUUGCAACUGGGUCAUUUGACCCGUAUUGCAGAAUUUUGGACCCAAUGCUAGAGGUUGAAGAUGACCUCCAGCACAUGCCACACGUUCCCCACUCGUGGGUCAAGUGUGUGAGGCGCGUGUAAUCUCAUCCGGUGUCCCUUUUGAGCCCAAUAUUUUCCUAUGCGCUCGUUUUUUUGUAAUCUAUUUUUAUAGAUAUAUUAUUUUAUUUUUUGGGGGUAAAAAAUAUUUAUUAAAUAAUUAUUACUUAUUUAUGUGAUUUAAUUAGUUUUAAAUUAUUUUUUGGUAUAAUUUUCUGUUGAGAAUUUACCAGAAAUUAUGCUAAUAUAUAUGGAAUAGGAGUGUAGUACUCACUCUCUCUAGAUUGAAACUUUUUCAUGCAUACUCUCCUACUUGGUCUAAAUCUCAUAAACUAGUUAAAUAAUUAGUUUAAAGUGUAAUAAUAAUACUAAAAAAAAAUUGUUGUUCAAAUUCUUGCAACUAUAAUUGAUCAUAUGCAUAUAUAUCGCUAAUAUGCACUAUUGUUGUUGGGCAAUUUUUUUUAAUUUACCCAAUUUUGGAACGUUGCAUGUGAAUUGUUGAGGUUAUUUCACCAAAGUGGUUUAACCAUCAAAAUUUGCAAGUUUAUGAGUUCCUAUUUUGUUGAUGGGGAAAAUUUUAGAUUAAUUUGUACAAUCGCCUGCCCAAAGGGGGUUAUUGUGCAAAUUAAUUUAACAACAUGAGGAUAUUGAAUGAGAUAAAUAAUUUGAUAAAUUUAUUUGCCCAAAGGAAAUAAAUUUUAAUGAAUUAUUUGUUGAUCUUCAUGCUUAGAGAAUAUUUGUUUAUUGUGGACUCUACCCAAAGGGGAGUUUAUGAUAGUACAAUUGAUUCUUGUAUUGUAUUGCUUAUGAUUAUUUAAGUUUUUUUUACCUAUUGCCCAUAAUUGAUCUAGUUGCAAAAUUUUGUCAAUCAGUUUCCUUUGCUGUGAACAACAAUAAUGCUACAAUUGAAAUUCUAAGUGGGUCGAACUAUAAGAGAUGGAGAUCAAACAUAGAGUUUGUUUUAGGAAUGAUGGACUUGGACAUGGCUCUACGUGAAGAUGAACCUCCUAAGCCUACUAAUGAAAGCACUGAAGCUAUGAGAGCUCAUUAUGCGAAAUGGGAAAGAUCGAACCGUUUGAGUCUCAUUUCAAUCAAGAGGUCCAUUGCUGAGCAUCUCCUUGGAGGAAUACUUGAGAGCAAUAAUGCUAAGGAAUUUCUCGUUGUUGUGGCAAAUAGAUACCAAACAUCUGACAAUGCUGAAGUUGGGCAUUUUAUGGAUGAAUUGAUGAAUAUGAGGUAUGAUGAUAUGAAAGGGGUUCGUGAGUAUAUCUUAAAAAUAGUGCAUCUUCAGACUAGAUUGAAAGCAUUAGACAUUCCCAUUCCCGAUAAGUUUAUUGUUCAUCAAGCCCUCAAUACUCUGCCAUCUUCUUUUAGCCAAAUCAAGACUGCAUACAACACCCUGAAUCAGUCUUGGGGUGUGAAUGACCUGAUCACUAAGUGUGUGGUUGAGGAAGAAAAGCUGAAAAGAGAAAAGAAUGAAUCUGCUCAUCUCGUUGCUCUUGGAAAACCAAAUAAUAAAAAAAGAGUUGAAAAGACUCAAAAACCCAACUUCCAUAGUCAUAAGAAAAAUAAGAAUUUCAAGAAGAGUGGGAGUGAAAAGCAGAAGAAUGGAAAUGCCAAGAACACAAACAUUAAGUGCUAUCACUGCAACAAAAAGGGUCACAACAGGGUUGAUUGCUUUAAGUUUAAGAAUUGGCUAGAGAACAAAAAGAAGGAACAGGGUAUGUUAUCUACCUAUGUCUGUUUUGAAUCUAAUUUAUUUAAUGUUCCUUUAGAUUCAUGGUGGCUUGACAGUGGUGCUACUGUUCAUGUUGCAACUUCUUUACAGGGGAUAAGAAAUCUGAGGAAGCCAAGUGAAAAAGAGUCAAAGCUUAAAGUUGGCAGUGACAUCGGGAUUGAUGUUGAGCAUAUUGGGGUUGCUAUUUUAGAAUUAGAUUAUGGUUUUCAGCUUGUUUUGGACAAUGUUUUUUGUGUACCUUCGUUUAGGAAGGAUUUAAUUUCCCUUUCAGUACUUGAUAAAGCUAGAUAUAGUUUCACUUUUGAAAAUAAAAGAGUUGAUGUGAUUUAUGACUCUAAAGUGAUUGGCAAUUGUGUUUUAUCUGACGGGCUAUAUUGAUUGUCGUUGUUAUCUACUUGUUCUUACAAUGUUGAAAACAAUGUUGCUAAAAGACCUUUGACUAAGGAAAGAUCUUCAUUGUUAUGGCAUAAGCGUUUGGGGCACAUUUAAAAAAUGAGUAGAAUGCUUAAUUAGUUCUAGGAUUCUUCCCUGCCUUGAUUCUAAUGACUUAGAAAUUUGUGUUGAUUGUGUGAAAGGAAAAUUGACAAAGAAUAAGAAAAAGGGUGCAACUCAUAGUCAAAAUUUGUUGGAGAUUGUUCAUACAAACAUUAGUGGACCUUAUUCCACUACCUUGUGUGGCAACAAGUACUUCAUUACAUUCAUUGAUGAUUUUUCCUGUUAUGGCUAUGUAUUUUUUAUCAAAGAAAAGGCAGAUGCUCUUGAAAUGUUCAAAGUCUUCCGAACUAAAGUUGAGAAACAAUUGGGGAAAGUCAUCAAAAUUGUGAGAUCUGAUCGAGGUGGUGAGUAUUAUGGGAAACAUGGUGAUGUUGGACAACAAAAGGGACCUUUUGCAAGGUACUUACAAGAUAAUGGUAUCGUUGCUCAGUAUACUAUGCCUGGUAGUCCUGAACAGAAUGGCGUAGCAGAAAGGCGCAACCGCACUCUUAUGGAAAUGAAGAGGAGCAUGAUUGGUAGAUCAAAUUUGCCAGAAUACUUAUGGGGUGAAGCCAUUAAAACAACAACCUACAUUUUGAACCGUGUUCCUAGUAAGUCUAUGCCUAAAACACCGUUUGAACUAUGGACAGACAGAAAACCCAGCUUGAAUCAUUUUAAAGUAUGGGGAUGUCCAGCUGAGGUGAAAAUCUAUUAUCCUUCUUUAAAGAAGACGGAUUCAAGAACUACUAGGUGCUACUUUAUUGGGUAUCCUAGUCACUCAAAAGGAUACAAGUUUUAUUGUUCGACUCGUGGCACUAGAAUUGUUGAGUCUCAAGUGGCAAAGUUUUUAGAGUUGGAUGUUGCUGAUAGUAUACCCUCUCAAUCCGAUGAAAGAGUGGAACCCAUGGAUGUUAUUUCUUUAUGUUUGCCAGUUUCAGACGUUAACCUUGAUGUUGGAGCUUUUGAUUCUGGGAUUCAACAAGGAGUUGCUACUGUCAAUUUCCCUACUGUCAAAAUAAACCCUAUUGUGGAUGAGAUUCCUCCUGUGGAAAUGAGGAGAUCACAAAGAACUAGGAGACCUGCCUUAUCUAACGAUUAUUAUGUUUACCUUGGAGAGGGAGAGUAUGAAAUUGGAGAAGAAGUGGACCCUACUACUUAUUGUGAAGCUCUCAGUAGUGAUAAGGCAAAUGAAUGGUUGAUUGCCAUGAGAGAUGAGAUGCAGUCUAUGUCAGACAAUGAUGUUUGGGAAUUUCUUGAUCUUCCCAAAGGAUAUAAACCCAUUGGAUGCAAAUGGGUAUUCAAGACCAAAAGAGACAACAAAGGAAAUGUUGAAAGAUACAAGGCUCAGUUGGUUGCUAAAGGGUAUACACAGCAAGAAGGCAUUGAUUUCACAGAGAAUUUCUCACUAGUCUCUACCAAAGAUUCCUUUAGGCUAGUUAUGGUGUUGGUAGCUCAUUUUGACUUAGAGCUUCAUCAGAUGGAUGUCAAGACAGCUUUUCUCAAUGGUGAUUUGAGUGAGGAGGUCUACAUGUCACAACCUGAAGGAUUUAAGGAAAAUGGAAAAGAGAACAUGGUAUACAGAUUGAAAAGGUCAAUUUAUGGUCUCAAGCAAGCUUCUCGCCAGUGGUACUUGAAAUUUGACAAAAUUGUGACGUCUUUUGGUUUUAUAGAGAACAAGUUUGAUCAGUGCGUUUACAUGAAGGUUAAUGGGAGCAAAUACAUUUUCAUGGUUCUCUAUAUCGAUGACAUUCUACUUGCUAGUAGUGAUGUGAAUCUCUUGAAUGAUACCAAGCGUGUUUUGUCUGCUAAUUUUGACAUGAAGGAUCUUAGAGAAGCAUCUUUUGUGUUGGGUAUUGAGAUUUAUCGUGAUAGAUCUCGAAACCUCCUUGGUCUAUCUCAGAGAGCCUAUAUCAAUCGUGUGCUUAAAAGAUUCAAUAUGCAGACGUGAAAAGCUGGUGAUGUACCUAUUGUGAAGGGAGAUAAACUCAGUAAUGAACAGUGUCCAAAGAAUGAUUUGGAAAAGGAUGCCAUGAAGACUAUUCCUUAUGCUAGUGCCAUUGGUAGCCUGAUGUAUGCACAAGUAUGUACAAGACUUGAUAUCAUCUUCAUUGUUAAUGUUCUUGGUAGAUAUUUAUCGAACCCUAGACAUGAUCAUUGGGUUGUUGCAAAGAAAGUCAUGAGAUGUCUACAAAGAACGAAGGAUUUUAUGCUUGUGUAUAGGAAGGUGGAUAAUCUCGAGGUAGUUGGAUACUCAGAUUUUGAUUUUGGUGGUUGUUCUGAUGAUCGCAAAUCUACUUCAAGAUACAUUUUUAUGUUAGCUGGUGGAGCCAUUUCAUGGAAAAGUGUCAAACAGAGCCUAAUUGCAUCCUCGACUAUGUAUGCUGAGUUUGUAGCUUGUUAUGGUGCAUCCUCUCAAGCUGUUUGGCUAAGAAAUUUGAUUUCAGAGUUGCAAGUUGUUGAUUCCAUCUUUCUACCCAUUGUGAUUUAUUGUGACAAUAAUGCAGCUGUGUUCUACUCUAAGAACAAUAAGAUUAGUAUGGGUUUUAAGCAUACGGAAAUCAAGUACCUUACAGUCAAGGACUUAGUGAAGAAAGGAGAUAUUGUGAUUGAGCACAUAAGAACUGAGUCCAUGCUAGUUGAUCCUCUAACCAAAGGUUUAAAGCCCAUAACGUUCAAGGAACAUGUUGUGAAUAUGGGUGUCAUUAAAUCUUUUGAUUCUUUGGUUUAGUGGGAGCUUUUGUGAUUUCCCUUAUUUCAAUUAUUGUUUUAUGUAAACAUUGAUCAUUAUUUUUCUGCGACUUGCAAAAUUAAAGUCUUUUUAUUAUGAUCAUCAUAAUUAAGUAUUAUAUUAUAGCAUGUCAUAAUUGAAUUACAUACAACAUGGUAUCUUGAGAUAUUGAACCUUAAGAAUUACAGUUGUAUACUGUUGGAUGUCACAAAUACCACUAUUUUAAGAUUUUGUGGUGCAUUGUUGGUGACAUAUGACUUGUUAAAGUCAAGCAAUUUCAUAUUGUUUAGAAAUUGCAGCAAUUUCAUUUUGUUGAGAAAUUGCAAUCACAAUUUCAUUUUGCUGGUAAAUUGUAAUGAGGACUGAUAAGAAACAAUGCAUAUAGAUGAUGAUCACAUGUUGGCAUUGAUUUCUUACUACACUACUGGGUUUACAAUCCAUGUCGAUAUGGUUAUAAAUAUUCAACUAUAAGGGGCAUUAUGUUUGUUGAGAUUAACAUAUAUACCAUUAUAGUCCAAUAUUAAGACCAUGUUAGACCGGAUAAGUUUAACAAGAUGCUACUUAUAGACUAUCAUUUCUUUCAAAAAAAGAAAAAAAAAGGUGUGGCCACACAAAAUAAACUUUUCUGUACUUAACCCGAGAGUCUUAUUUUCAAAAUGAAUUCAAUGAAUCCUCAAAAACAAUUAAUGUAGCUGUAGACCCUCAAUUUUGUCCCUCGACACUGGCAUUUAUCCUUCUGGUGUCACAUCCACCCAUCGUUCGCAUAUGACACCACUAGGGCCCCUUUUGGGCUUAGUCGGUGUCCGAGCCUCGUGUGGGUUUGUGUGUGGUCCAUUAUGGUGCAUAUGUGGUUCAUUUAGGAGGGUCACCAUGGCCAUUUUCCUAGUCGUUCACAUCACGCUAUAGGAAGGAAGUAGGGUCAUCCCGAUGUUUUAGCUUAGUUGGGGUUUAUAGGGGCAUGUUGAGGUUCGGAGCACUCGGGCUUGUUUUGAUUGUAUCUCCCUCAUCCAAAUUCGGAAUCAAGAACCGUUUCUUUUUAUGGAUUCCUUAUUCUUCCAAGAACAUUCUGUAAAAUUUUCAAAAUUUUUUGCAACCGGUCGGCUGGUUGGCAGCCGGUUCAGCCGGUUCAGCCGGUUCAUUAGGUCAGCCGGUGUAGAACACUGAUUUUUGGUAAUUGUUUUGAUCAUAUCUCCCUCUUCCGAACUUGGAAUCAUGCACCGUUUUUUUUAUGGAUUCCUUACUCUACUAGGAACAUUCUGUCAAAUUUUCAGAAUUUUUCUCCAUCGGGUCGACCAGUUGGCAUCCGGUUCGGCCGGUUCAGCUGGUUCAUUGAGUCAGCUGAGGUAAAACACUAAUUCUAGUAAUUUUGAGGCCCAAAUCCUACAUGGAUCAGGCCCAUAAGCUCCAGAUUGGUUUUGGGCAAUGUUGUGGGUCCAUUUUAGGCCUUGGUUUGGGUUCCUUGCAGCCCACCACGAAUCCAUAUGGAUUCUUGGUGGUGAAGCAAGCUGAAAAAACUGAAGGGAGUGAGCUGGCCUUGUAAGUCUAAGAGAAGUAAUGAGGGGUGUGGUUCCCAUGCUGAUGAAGGGAAUUUCGGUGCUGAAGGGGAAGGAACCCAGGAGGCUCAAAUGCUAAGAGGGGUAUGAGUAUAAAAGGUGAGAGGAUAGGAGAGCAAAGGACCUUUGGACAUUUUGGAGAGGGGAAAUCUUGCUGGUGAGAAAAACAAAAGGUCAGUAGCAUCUUCUGAGUUGAGAGCGUGGGGGAAAGCUUCAGCACUGUGGUUUUUUUGAAGAGGAGAGUGACAACCUCUCAGUUUUGGAAGUCAUCAUCGGCAUGCACGGAUCAUAUUUGGUGGAGAUUCUGAGGUAAGCACGCUGAAUUUUCUUUACUUACAAUUUAUCUUCCUCGUCUUCAUAUGCUUUUUCUCCUUCCUCAUCAUCUUUUCUUCCCUUUGAUAUGAAGAUUGUAUUGCUUGGGUGUGGAUAAUAAAGGCCACACAUGAUUGUUGUUGUUUGCUUCCUUGAUCACUUAGGAACUUUCUGACCGAAUUUGGGAUUUUUUUACCAACCGGAUGAACCGGUUCAACCGGUUCAGUACCAUAGCUGGCAGCCUCUGUCAGCCAUGAGGAACACUUGCCUUUCUUUGUCUGGUUCUCACUCAUCCGGGCUCGGAAUUGAGAACCGUUUCUUUUGUUUUCUUCCUUAAUCACUUAGGAACUUUAUGACCAAAUUUGGGAUUUUUUUACCAACCGGAUGAACCAGUUUGGAACUGGUUCAACCGGUUCAGCACCAUAGCUGGUAGCCUCUGUCAGCCAUGAGGAACACUUGCCUUUCUUUGUCUGGUUCUCACUCAUCUGGGAUCGGAAUUGAGAACUGUUUCUUUUUUUUGCUUCCUUAAUCACUUAGGAACUUUCUGACCAAAUUUGGGAUUUUUUACCAACCGGCUGAACCGGUUUGGAACCGGUUCAACCGGUUCAGCACCAUAGCUGGCAGCCUCUGUCAGCCAUGAGGAACACUUUCCUUUCUUUGUCUGGUUCUCACUCAUCCGGGGUCGGAAUUGAGAACCGUUUCUUUUUUUUUGCUUCCUUAAUCACUUAGGAACUUCCUGACUGAAUUUGGGAUUUUUUACCAACCGGAUGGACCAGUUUGGAACCGGUUCAACCGGUUCAGCACCAUAGCUGGCAGCCUCUGUCAGCCAUGAGGAACACUUGUCUUUCUUUGUCUGGUUCUCACUCAUCCAGGGUCGGAAUUGAGAACUGUUUCUUUUGUUUGCUUCCUUAAUCACUUAGGAGCUUACUGACCAAAUUUGGAAUUUUUUACCAACCGGCUGAACCGGUUUGGAACCGGUUCAACCGGUUCAGCACCAUAGCUGGCAGCCUCUGUCAGCCAUGAGGAACACUUGCCUUUCUUUGUCUGGUUCUCACUCAUCCAGGGUCGGAAUUGAGAACCGUUUCCUUUGUUUGCUUCCUUAAUCACUUAGGAGCUUACUGACAGAAUUUGGGAUUUUUUAUCAACCGGAUGUACUAGUUGGGAACCGGUUCAAUCGGUUCAGCACCAUAGCUGGCUGCCUCUUUCAGCCAUGAGGAAUACUUGCCUUUCUUUGUCUGGUUCUCACUCAUCCGGGAUCGGAAUUGAGAACCAUUUAUUUUUUUUGCUUCCUUAAUCACUUAGGAACUUUCUGACCAAAUUUGGGAUUUUUUACCAACCGGCUGGACCGGUUCAGCACCAUAGCUGGCUGCCUCUGUCAGCCAUGAGGAACACCUGCCUUUCUUUGUCUGGUUCUCACUCAUCCGGGCUCGGGAUUGAGUGUUAUUUCUUUUGUUUGAAUCCUCACUCAUUUAGGAGUUUUCUAGAAAAAUUUGGGAAUUCUUCUCAAUAGGUUGUACCAGUUGAGAACUAGUUCAACCUGUUCUGUUGGAGGACUUUAGGUAGCCUUUGAUUUUGGCAUUUUUCGAGCCCUUAUCUAUGGGGGGCUCAAACCCAUUUGCUAUAGGGCACUUGUGAGCCAUCUUGAAGGUUUAAGUCAGUGUUUGAUUUCAGUUAGUAUGGGCAAUUUGGAAGUUAUGGGUGGUGUGGUCUAGAUGAGUCUAGUUCGAUUUGUAUGACAUUUGGGGAGUCCCUUACCUCAUUUCAACCAGCUAUCUUCCUUUUUGGCACAAGAUUUGAUGCUUGAUUUUGAAUACAUGUUGCGUGAUUGACUCACCCUCUGCUGCAGCGCUUGGCUAGGGACCACAGGUACGCAUCGUUGGCUUUGGUUGUUGAAUUCAUAUGCAUGCAUGGUACUUAAUCUUGAAUGUUUGUUAUGUGUUUAUCUGUGUUUGGCUGACCUUUUAUGCAGCGCUUGGCUAGGGACCACAGGUACGCACCCAUUGUUUUGUUUGGUUGAAUUCAUAUGCAUGCCAAAUACCAAUUAGGAUUGUGUGAUUCAUGACAUCUAUUUAGCCUAGGGUUUCAUUUGACCUUUGACCCAUAUGCUCCCAUAUACCCAAUUCAUUAGUAGAGACCGAGUUCCGGGCCUAGAGGGGUGCUACCUCGCAUGAGGUACCUUCCCAACGGGUAACCUGAUCCCCGGACCCAGAAUCUAGUUUUCGUAGACCGCUUUUUCCAUACUGGGGUCAUUAGGGGUUUUUGUUCUUACUUAAUUUUCCCCAUUUUAAAAACAAAAAUAAAAAGUAAGUGGCGACUCCAAACAACACCGUUCCUCACCGGGGGCGGGUUUUUCAAAACUGGAAAACACCAACUUUUUCAUUUCUUUUUUUUCUUUUAAAAGCGAGUCGCGUCGGUCCGGUGGAUCGGGUGAGGGUCCACAGUAGCCCAAGUGGGAGAAUGUUGGAAAAUUUUUUAUAUGGGCUAACAUUAAUUGAAUAAUUUGUAUUUGCAAAAACGAGUUAAUGGAUAGUCUAUUAUAUAAUGAGCCCAAUUAACUAGUGAUCACAUUUUGGAUUGGGUUUUGCAUCUUUUGAGUAGAAGCUCAGUUGAGUGGCAAGUGUAGGCUAUGGGUCUCAUUGAAGCCCAUUAUGGGAGGGCCCAAUGAGAAUCCAAUUUGAGUUAUGCUAAGUCCCCUAUCUAAUCUAGAUAAAAAGGGUUUUUCUAUUUUCCCAUAGAGCCACCAUAGCUGUUAUCAAUAUCAUAGAGAGGAAGACUUGGUUGCAACAAUCAAUCACUGUUUUUUAUCAUGGCUCAAAGAGGUAUGUUCUUUACAGUGAUUUCCUAUUGAUGGUAUCCUUUAAUCAUGUAUGAUUAAUCUAUGUGAUUAUGUAAAUAUUUUACAAAUCCUAGUUCACCUUUUUGUUCCUUAUUAUCAAUGCAUGUAAUGUAAUUGAGUGGAGUCCAUCUCAACCUACUCCAAUUCUAGUAUAGGCACGAAAGUUUGGAGUUGAAUGGAGUGCAUAUUGCGUUGGACCCCUGAUUUCACUCUUACCUUUUUGCCGCGUCCAGAUCAUACAUGUUGGAAAAGAAGAAUUUUGGGUCAAAAUGUCAUGUUUUGAUUGAAUAGUAUUAGGUACGAGUCAUGUUUCAAAUUGUUGUUCGAAAUUAUGAUUCAUCUAUAGCUCUUUUAUCACAACUUAGAUGCUAUGCCCAUUUUUGUUUAUUCAAAAUGUGCUUUUAAUUGAAGUAAAAAAAGAAGAAGAAGAAAUUAUGUGACUUCUAAGACUAGUUUGAUUAUGAGUUUGAGAAGAUGUUUAGAUCGGAUAAUAGUUUUGUUUGAUUGUAAUUUUGGGAAGAUGUCUAGAUAGAACAGACUUUUUUGGCCAUGGAGCCCUUUUGGCCUCAAAGUCAAAGAUGGAGCAUAAAGGUGAAACUGUGGUGUAAGGACAAAUUCAAAUGAAAAUGUUAUCAUUGUUUUCAAAUGCUUACUUUAGAAUUAUGAGCAUAUAAAACACGUUCUAAGUUGUUUGAUAUUUUUUGUAAGCUAAUUUGGGAGAAAAUUGAAAAUAUGAAAAAUAAUUCAUAUGGAAACUAUGGGACCCCACGACCGUCUAGAGACUAACCCCGUGGCCGUCCCGUUACUUGGCAUAAUUAAAGAUGUCAUGACAACACCCUAAUUUACUAUAUGCGUAGUAAUUACCUGGAACACUUCUUAUUGCAGGAACACCCACCAUUUGGAUCAAAGAGGCCAAUUAGAGGAGAUGAUUGUUGACCGUUGACUAACAAUUAGCGUUGUUUGUGGGAAUUGAACUAAGAACCUCAAUUUAGAAUGACUAACAUACCUCCUAGAAUGCAUCCUUAUUCAACAAGUAUGAAUGAUAGGUUCCAUGUGUGGCAAGCAAAAAUGGAGAAAAGGUAGAAAGAGUAUGAGCAAUGCAUGUAAUCCUUGCUUCAGCAUGCAAAGCUGCUGAAGUGGGAAAAUGCAGAAUUGCGGGCAUAAGUGGCCAUUAGGCGUUAUGCAAGCGGAGGAGCCAUUGCACACCCAACCAGUGCGAAGCAAAAUGAUAGGAGUUCCCUUGCUUGAUAGAGAACCAUAAUUGCAAAUAGAUAAUGAAUUUUCGCUAGCAGCUUCCUAACCCUAUCAACCUUGUGGGGAUCUAGAAUAAAGUAGUUAGUUUGGAAAAGCCAGGUAGACAAGGCUACAAGUUCUAUCCAACAAAAAUGUAAGCGAGGAUUGAAGUGAGGGCCAUGUACGUUGGGUGCUCCAAAAAACUGGUUCAGUCAUCCCCAAGAGGGCAUUCUACCAAGCCAUUUACCAUAAUGUAUGAAUCCUGAGCCCUAGUUGCACGAGGCCCUGCCAAAGGCACCCUUAGGCAUAGUAAGCAGACAGUUGGACGAUAUGUUGUCCACAUUGUUCGACUCACACAUAGUCAAUUACAAAUUACCUAGAGGAUUCAUAGUUCUAAAAUUUAUCGUGUAUGAUGGAUUGAGUGACCCCUUCAAUCAUUUAAUGCUUUUUUGACAAAUAAUGACCCUUGAUAUUAGCAAUGAUAUGCUAUUAUGCAAAGUCUUUCCAACUAGCCUUCAUGAGCCAACCCUUGUCAUGGUUUCACUAGCUUCCCUAGAAUUUGGUCAACUCAUUUAAAGAUGUCUCGGAGGCAUUUGUGGCAAACUAUUUGUGCUUGACCUAAUAAAAGCAUAACAUAUGCACUUUGCAAAACAUCAGAAUACUGGAAAACGAGUCGUUAUGGGAUUUCAUCAAGCAAUUUGUCAAGCAGUGUUGCAGGUGGAGUCUUAUAGCAUGGACGCUCUGCUAUAGAUUUUUAAUAGAAGUAUAAGUCCAGGUACCUCUUUCUUCGAAUCCCUCCUGAAAAAGCCAAAUGCCAUAAUGGACGACCUAUUUUGAAGGGUAGAUAAAUACGCAAUCCUUGAAGAUAAUGUUUGGGUAGUGUCCCAACAGAUUCUUAUCACAAAUUAGGUGGCCAAAAGUAAUAGCAAGCCGAGGGUUCAAAGCCAUCUAACAAUCAAUUAAGGUAGGAAAAUCAAAGAUCCUCCCAACAAGGGUAAUAGAGAUGGGAACUGCUUCAGUUCACCUCUUUGACUGUCUCAUACGAGUGGAUUUCUCCUCUUAUCCAAGAGCUACUAGAGUUCAAAAAGACAAUGCCCAUCAAAGUAGAUCUGGCCAAGAGAGAUCAAAGACGAUGGUGCUCUUAUCACAAGGAGUAUGGUCAUACUACAAAAGAGUGCUGACACUUGCAUUACAUGGUGGAAAAUCUAGUAAAAGUUGGACACUUGAAGCAUUACAUCUAAACAAUUUGGGGGCACAGUGAAGUACUAAAAGAAGUGUCGAGUAGAACCCUGACUUUUCCUGUUGAAUAAUGCUUUGUGAUACAUUAUAUCCAUGGGGGCCAACAAGUGAUAAAAUACCAAUCCAGGUGACAUAGGAGGAGCAUGAUUAGGAUCACCAUUGUAAGAGAAUGGGUGAAUAUGGUUCAGUGCACUUUCACUCUUGAAAGUGCCUGACCAAUUGAUGGGCUAUUCACUUUAACACCAGUCAAUCCCAAUCGGAUCAUAGUGCCUCAUGAAGACGAACUAGUAUUAACCCUCAGAGUUAGUGGCUUUAGUGUGUGGAGAAUUUUAGUUGAACUAAGUAGCUCCGCUAAUCUUUUACAAAUGUUAACUUAAAAGCAAAUGAGUUAUUUGCAUGAAGCAUUGGAAAAUCUUGACUGCAUCUUGUCCAGAUUUAAUGGGGUUACCACUAUAUCUAUGGGAGAUGCCUUGCUCCUUAUUGAAGCUGAGCCUGUCACUUUAUGUCUAAGGUUUUCCAUGGUAGGAUAUCUAACACCCUACAAUGCCAUACUUGGGUGAGCAUGGUUGCAUAAGAUGAAGGUCAUCUUGUUUACGUACUAUCAAAUGAUUAGUUACUUGAUAGAGAAAGGCUAAGUGGAUCUGUACGGGAGUUAGCUGGCAACCCGAUAGUGUUAUCAGAUAACUAUGUUACAAGUUGAAUGUAAUUCCAACAACACGAUCGAUACAAUAGAAAGUUUGAUGUUUCCAUCUGGACCGACAUAAGCUAAUACAUACAGAGAUAAGUAACAUGUUAAAGGUUAGAUUUAUUAGAGAAGUGGAGUACCCCAAUUGAUUAGCCAAUGUAAUGAUGGUACCUAAAAAAGAUAGGAAAUGGAGAGUAUGUGUGGACUACACAGACAAGGAUAACUUCCUACUACUACAAAUAGAUCAAAUAGUGACACGACAACCGGACAUGGAAUGCUCUUGUUUCUUGAUGCCUUUUUCCAAUGUUUUCAGAACCGAACCGGUCAUUGAACCGGAAAAGUUACAGGUUCACGGUUCACCGGUUGGACCGGCGGUCGAACCGCUAUCGAACCGGUGACGUCAUAAAUAUAUAUUUUAUUAUUUAAUAUAUUAUAAAAAUUAAUAAAUUAAUAAAUUCUAUGUAAAUUUUGACAGCAUCUACUUUGUUUGUUGAGUUUUGUCACAAAAUUUUUUACCUAUAGAAGUUAGCAAUUAUCAUAUAUGAUAUCUAUAACACAAUAUAAGAUGUUAUACAUUCACAAUGUCAAUAAACUCAAUAUUUAUCAAAUAAUCAAACCAUUACUAUCCUAUAAUAACCAAAUUAUCAAAGAGUUGUUAACUUAACACAUUGUCCAUAAUAGAUAAUACAAAUGUCAACCAUAGGUCCACAACACUUAAAUAAUUACUCAAAAUAAAAAUAUAACAUGUCAAUGUUUGAAUAUUCAUGAAGUUUUUUGCAUACUAAUAAAUAUAAAAUUCAUGUCUUCAUUCAUUUUGGAAAUUGGAAUAUGGAGAUUGAACAUGAGCAUUUGGAAAACCAAAGUUCUCCACAUCAAGCCCUUCUAUAGCCAUGUCACCACCAUCCUUAUCAUCUACAAAAAUAUUGAAUAUAUAUCAACAAUAAAUCAUUUUUAAAGAAAAAAAUAUAAUUAUUGAACUUUUAUAAGUUUAAAUAUUUUACUAACCAAUGUGAGAACUUGAACCUUCCACUUCAUUUAUUGGAAUUGACCCUUCUUCAUAUAGAAGAUUUUCCAAUUCUUCAACAUCUAACUCUGCUGGUUGAUCAUCAUCAACUACCCAAAAAUUGGUCUCAUCAAUGCAUGCAUAGUCAAUUGGAUCAUAGAUUCUUUUCUUGUUAUAGAACCUAAAAAAAAAAGCAUAUAAUUAUUCAUAAUUGUGAAUAGAAGAAUUUAAAUUCAAAACAACUAAGAAAUCAUUUAUACCGAUUUUUUAAGCGCAAAUUAUAAUGAACGUAUACAAGAUCAUUAAGCCUUUGAUGUUCCAAUCUAUUCCUUCUUUUGGUAUGUAUACGUUCAAAGACACUCCAAUUCCUUUCACAUCCAGAAGACGAUGCGGUUUGGCUCAAUAUUAGAAUGGCUAACUUUUGCAAAUGUGGUGCACUGUAUCCAUGUAGCCUCCACCAUUCAUCUAGUUACCAUUUCACAUUAAAAAUAAGAAAAAAAUAAAACACAUUAGCAAGUUUAAAAUAUUAAAUAGUAAGUAGGUAACUAAUAAAAAAGAAUGAACAUACUAAUAAAUGAAAAUAAUAUUUUACCAGGUUGAAGUACUUCACAUGAAGAAUAAGCAAGUUCUCUUCCAAAACUUCCCAAUCGAUCACGAAAUAACUUCAUUUCAUUCAUUGUUUCAAGCUUGCAUUUCAGAACUUUUUGAUCAAUAACAUCCAUGACACCUCCAAUAACAUUUGGCUUAUUACAAAAGUUUUCCUGAUCAUAUUGGAAACAUGGAUUCAACCAUUAAGCUGCUGAAUGAAUGCUUUUCUUUAGUUGUUGAUCCCAACGUUGCUUUAUGAUCUCUGUAUAAGGCUUGUAUAGUCUUUCGUUGUAGUUAAACAAUUUCUUGAUGCCCAAACGAACCCUAUACAUGCCUUCAUAUACAUAUCCGAUGGAAGACCUCUCAUCACAAUCAACAAUAUGCAAUAAGCGUAUUAGUGGAGACAUAAGAUUCACAAUAAUCAAAAGAUCAUUCCAAAAUCUAUUAUCCAAGAUGAUGGAAACUGGAACUUUGCUUUUAUAAUCCUUUGAAUAUCUAGAGUCCACAAAAAACUUACUAGUCACCAAAGCUUGCAAGUCAUGUUUAUGAUCAUGAAGACUCUUGAGUGCAAUGAAUGUAGUAGCAAAGUGAGUUGCACCAGGUCGCAAAAUCUCUGUCCAUCAUUCUCUUUUUCUCAACCAACUUAAUAAAGCAACAUGAUUAUAAACAAAAAUUGUCACCUUUGAUGCACGUCUUACAAGUUCAGCAACAUGGUCCAUCUUACCAAUAUCCUUAAAGAUCAAAUUAAGACAAUGAGCUGCACAAGGUGACCAAUUAAUGUGUUUAUGCUUCUGAGAAAUCAAUCUCCCCGUGGCCACAUAAUUUGCUGCAUUAUCAGUGACUAUAUGAACUACAUUGAGUGGACCAACCCAUUCAAUCACCUCAUCAAAUAACUCAAACAAAUUAGUUGCAUCCUUGACAAUGUCCGAAGCAUCAACGGAUUUCACAAACGAUAUUCCUUCAGGACAAUACACAAGGAAGUUGAUGAGUGUUCUUUGUCUAUUAUCUAUCCAACUAUCACCCAUUAUUGUACACCCAACUUUUGCCCAAAUUGCACGAUAAGAGUCCACAAGUAACUAGACUUCCUUCUUGGCAUCCUUUAAAAGAUUAACCCAUAGUUGAUGGUAAUUUGGACCCUUAUAUCCAGGACCAAUUGCAGAUAUAGCAUCCAACAUUGGCUUGAAGUAGAAGGAAUUCAUUGCAUUAAUAGGAAUGCAUGCAUCAUAAAAGAAUCUCCCAACCGCCAUAUCCGCUCUCCAAAUAGCUUAUUUCCCAGCUAGUACACUCCUCAUGGAAGGUUGAGCUCCUUGAGUAUUUCUUGGUGCAAAAUACUUAUCCAUUGUUGAUUUUUUCCUUUUUCCACUAUUAGCCGCCAUAGGACUUUGCAUUUCUUGAACCUCUUCUUCACAUUCUACCCUAUCCCUUUCAAAUUGUGACACAUUAGGACCAUAAGGAUUUCUAUAUUCAUAUGCUUCUUGGGUUGCUUUCUUAGAAUUCACAAACUCUUGCAAAGAAUUUUCCAUUCGAAAUUUUACAUCAGGAGGAACCGAUUUACAUGGACCAAUAUCUUUUUUCACUCCAACAAGAUGUUGUUUCAUUCUAUGAAUACCCCCACAUUUUGUAAUCUUUUUACAAUACAAACAAAUAAGAGCUUUCCUUCCAUUUGCAUAUCUUUCUUCAGAAACAUGCUCCCAUGCAGGAUCGAUCUUACUUCUAGUUGAUUGAGAAUUGGUAGUUGAAUCUUGACCAGAGGAUGGAGUGAAGUUUGAUUCCAUUUUUUAUUUCUCUAUCAAAUUAGAAACAAAAAUCUCACAUUAACGUAGAGAAUGGAAGUCAUCAACCAUUUAAUGAUUUAUAAUCAAGUCAUCAACAAUUUAUAACAAUCACAUAUCAAUUGGUAAAUUUAUUUAAAGGAACAACCAUCAUUAUAACAAGCAUGUUUUGAUCCAAUUAUAAAUUUAUCUAAAUUUUAAAGUAAUUUGGUAUAGAUAUAUUGAUGGGCAAACUCCACAAAUAUCUAAACAAGCAUGUUUGGAGAAUUUUUCCACAAAUAUCUUGUAAAUUAUGCUUCUUUUUCAAUGCAUGCUUUCACAUUUUCUCUAUGGCAUGCGUUAACAUACAUGUGGUCCAAAAGGGAUCAAUCUUCAUAAUCACUUGUAUAUAAUUAAUAUAUGAUAUCAUUAUAUCAUUAUUUUACCACUUCUUCAUCAAAGGUAAGGUCAUUUUUAAAAUAAGAAUUAUUAAAGCAUCCUAUGCAUUCCAUCAUAUUAUAAACUAAAUCAAUUUGUUUUAAGUUACUUAAGAAUUCCUCAUGAAUAGGCAAUUAAUUAAACCAGAAGGCAUGAAUGCAUGAUGGCUUCCUUCCACAUGUCUAUCUUAGCAUCAUCACCGACAAUUAAUUAAACCAGAAGGCAUGAUGGCUUCCUUCCACAUGUCUAUCUUAGCAUCAUCACCUCAAAUUAUUAUUAUUAAUAAUCCAUUAAUCUUAAUGUAUAGCAUAGCUGCAUAGCAAAGAAAACAGCUACUUACUGGGCAAACUCCAACGCCGGGGCGGGCUACUAGUUGGAAGAGAGGGGGAGCUUUCCAACGUAGGCGAUACCUGUGUGGGUGUCGUGGGCCACCGGCGGGACCGUGUGAGUGUCACAGGUCGCCGACGGGAUCUCUCUUGGUGUCGCGGCAGGGAUGUGUCGACGGCGGGCGGAGGAGAGGGGGGCAACUACCAAUGUGCGUGUCGUGGGCCGCCGGCGGGACCUGUGUGGGUGUCAUAGGCCGUUGGCGGGAUCUCUCUUGGUGUCGCGGUAGGAAUGCGUCGACAGCGGGCGAAGGAAAUGGGGGAAGCUACCCUUGGUGUCGUGGGCCGCCGACGGGACCUGUGUGAGUGUCGCUGUUGUCGCAGGCCGUCGGCAGGAUUUGUCUUGGACCCUUGGUGUCGCGGAUGGGUCGUCGACGACGGGCGGAGGAGGAAGGGCUGCUGGGCUGGAGCUUGGAGGUUGCAGCGGCGCAGCAUGGAGAUCUCGUUUUGUUAAAUAGGACUCUAAAAUGGCGUCAUUUUGAUGCCAGAAGCAUCAAAACAACGUCGUUUUGAUGUUGUUUAAAAAAAAAAAAUUAAAAUCAAUUGAACCGGUCGGUUCACCGGUUGGACCGCCGAUUCUAGCGGUCCGACCCCGGUUCGAUCCCUAUCCGGUCCAAAUGAUCGGACCGGAUCGAAACGGUGAUCGGUCGGACCUGCCGGUCCGGUCAUGUUUUUAAAACAUUGCCUUUUUCAGACACCAUCAAACACCUAUGCAUUCACCAGAUUUUGAGAAAACUGCCUUCAUUACCUCAUAGGUCUUUUAUUGCUACAAUGUAAUGCCAUUCAACUUAAAAAAAUGCAAAGGACAACCUUGCAUGUGGAUAAGCAUUUUUUUACAUGCAGUCCCACUCAACGGUGAGACUCACUUUUUAAGUGAAAAAUUGUAUUUUAUUAAAAAAAAAAACUGGAGUCGCCACUUAUUUUUGUUAUUUUUUAAAAGGGGAAAAUAAAGUAAGAAACUAAAACCUUAAAAAAAAUGAAUCUUUAAACUUUUGGAAAAGUAUCUUUGAAAAACUCGAGUUUAGGUUAGGGGAUUAGGUUACCUAUCGGGAGGGUACUUAAAAAAGGUAACACCCUUUUAAGUCCUAAAAAGGUCUCUACUAGUUCGGCUGAGAGAAGUGUGGUAGUUAAUUGAUUGAUUUAGGGUACUAAAAAAGGUUAAAGUGUUUACCUAAAUUCUAAUAAUAAAUUAAAUAUGAUAAACAAUCAAUUUAAGUCACAAUCAUAAAUGAAGAGUAAGAUGUGUACCUAGACUGCAACUUAAAAUGCUAUUACAAGAUAUAUAACAUGCAUCUUAUUAAAAAAAAUGAAACAAACAUCAAGACAAUCAAGGACAAUAUCAAACAUAAAUAUAGUUCACACAAAACAUUUCUUAUGUAAUUAAAAAAAAUUGAAAGGUGGAGAGUGUACCUGAAUAACAUAUCUUAAAUGCAAUGCACUUCCAAUACAAAUAGAGAAGUUAGGAUAAAAGAUGAUGACAAGUAAUUAGGAGAGCAAAACCUAUCAUGCAUAGUAUUUGCAUGGCAUGAACUUAUAGAGACAUUAGUUAUACAAGGUAUAUAACCAACUAAAUAACUCAACUUUGGGAAAAAGUUUUUUAAUGCAAAUAACAUUCUAGAAUCAAUUUUAAGAAGUGAGUAACAUCAUACAAUUUUGGAAUUUUUUUUUAACACACUAAAAAAAUAAUCAAAACAAAAUUUAAAACUAAAGUGUCAUUAGCUAAGUUGAAAUUGACAACAAAGAUGAGUUUUAAAAAUCUUUCAUGUAGGGGUUCCAUCAAUCCCCAUCGAAUAUUCAUAAGUUCAACCUGUGCAUCCUCAACCUGAAGUGAAAAGAUUCAACAAGGCCAAGAACAUUUCCAUUAGUUUGGGGGCACAAGUUCAAUUUAUGAGAAUAAAAACAAAGUUUUUGGAAAACCAAAAGGAGAAUGCAAUUUGGAUGAAAUGAGUUGCAUGUUUUUAAAAGAAAGUGCGAUUUUUACCCUAAACCUAGAGAAAAUUUUCUUUUAAAGUCUUUAGAUGAUUCAAAUCCUUUACAAAAUAAUUUAAAUUCCUUUUUUUAAAUGAUUUUAGGAGGAGCAAAAAGGAACCAAGUGAAUUAAGAAAUUCCGAACAAAAAAUGCAAAAGUUGGGAUUUUUGAUUCCUAACUUAAAAGAAUUUGAAAACAAGAGAAAAAUCAACUUAGAUAUUCUUUUUGGCUACCUUUUCAUUCAUGAUCCAUGAGCCCUAUUCAUGAUGGAGAAAUUUCAUUUUUGAAAAGAAAUUUUGACUUAACUCCAAAUCAAUUAAGAAAACUUUUUCUUAAAAAAAAAGGUUUGAACUUAAGAAAUCCUCAAGGAGCCUACUAAGUAAGUAUCCAAAUGAGGAAAACUAACAAUUUAACCCAAAUUUAACAUCUAAUGAAUUUUCUUAAAAAAAAUAUACUAAUAGGAAAAUUUAACCGCACAUACAUUCAAUGAAUUUUUAACUAACAUGUAAAUUUAAUCAAACUAACACUUAAUGAAUUUUUUUAAAAGCUCUUAACAAAUGAAUUUUUUUAAAAGCUCUUAACAUAUAAAUUUAGCAAAACAAACACUCAAUAUUUUUUUUUCUUUUUUUAAAACAUCUGACAUAUAAAUUAUCAAAACAAGCAUUUUAUGAAUUCUUUUAAAAGUAUCUAGCAUAUAAAUGGAUCAAAACAAACACUCAAUGAUUUUUUUAAAACCUUCUAACAUAUAAAUGAUCAAAAUGGACAUUCUAUGAAUUUCUUGAAACAAUCUAGCAUAUAAAUUUAACAAAACAAACACUCAAUGAUUUUUUUAAAAGCAUUUAGCAUAUAAAUUAUCAAGAUGAGAACUCAAUGAUUUUUUUUAAAGCAUCUAACAUGUAAAUUUAAUUAAACUAAUGGAAACUAAAACCUAAAUAACUUGAGAAUAUAUAUAUAUAUAUAUAUAUAUAUACUAAUCUCUAAUUUAAAUCAAUAAACCAACAAUAAUAAAUUAUAAACACAUGGAGUAACAUAAUCAAAGGAAUGUAGCCUAAAAACUAAGAACAAAAACAAGAACAUGAAAUUUUUAAAGCAUGAAAUUAACAAAACAAACUAAUGAAAACUAAACCUAAAUAACUUAAGAAUAUAUAUACCAAUCCCUAAAUUAAAUCAAUAAACCAACAAUAAUAAGCUAUAAAACAGAUGGAAUAACAUGAUCAAAGGAAUUUAAACCUAAAAACUAAGAACAAAAACUAGAACAUGGAUUGUUGAAAGCAUGGAAUUAACAAAACAAACUAAUGGAAACUAAACCUAAAUAAUUUGAGAACAUAUAUACCAAUCUCUAAAUUAAAUCAUUAAACCAACAAUAAUAUAAUAUAGAAAUAUGGAAUAUCAAGAUCAAUGAAGUCUAAGCCUAAAGAAAUUUAAGAACAUAUUCUAACAUCAAACUAACAACAAGAAAUUUUAAAGCCAUGCAUAAAUAAGAGAUAAAUGAAAACUAUCUUUAAAAAAUAUUAAAAAUGUACUCCUAGAUGAGAUAUUGACAAUUAAUAACUUCAAAAUAAUUGAAAUCAUGUAUUAAAAGAAAUUGAUGAAACUUAUCAUUAAAGGGCUUAUAGAGAAUAAGAAACCAAAAAAAGAAAAAGAAAAAAAAAUGAAAUGAAAUUAAAAGGAACAUGAGACUCACCUUUGAUAUGUUGAUGCGUGAUGUAUCUUCCAAAAAUUUGUGAUGGAUGCGCCUUCUUUCCAAGGUUUAGCCUGUGUGUGUUUGCUGCCUAAUUAUGUGUCAUCUUUCCUCUCUCCAGCCUGAUUUUUUUUAUACUCUCCAAGUGAACUGCAUCUUGCACUAAAGUGACAGCCUAUACAUUGCCCUUUUCUCUUGUAGCCGUGUGCCUUGCUGUGAUCCAAAAGUAGUGCCACCUAUAUGUCAGACGGGCAGUAUUUGAAGAUGAGGGUGUGGCUCUUUUUCCCCCCUACUGCUGCAUGCUUGGUGUAGAAAAGAUCACAAUGGCAUCUGCUUUCCUUCCAAAAAUACAUUGAAUGUCCUCACACGCUCAAUCUCAUACCUUAGAAUCACACUCAAUCUUCAAACUUUCCCAAAACAUCUUACCUCUUUACCACUAGCCUGAUUACUUCGAAAACUGACCUAAAUCUCACUCCCAAAACCUGGCCCGAAUAUCCCUUUGACUAGCCUUAUUCCCAUAAAAAAAACCUUUGUUUUCCUUCUUAAUCCCAACCAAAAAAAAAAAAAAAAAAAACCAGAACAUUGUUGAUCUUCUCUAAAAAAUAAGUUAUUUUCCAUCCAAGAAUUCCCCCUCCUUGAAUCCCUUCCAGAAUACAACCUGUAUAUCCCAUGUGAUACUUCAAAUCUCCUAUUAGAAGUCCUUUUCUAAUCUCCCUUAAUGCCAUGAAUGAUGAGUCAUUUUUUUUCAAAUCUCUAUGGCAGCCCCUAUCUCUAAGAGUCCACAUUUUAUUUUAUAAAAAUCUCGUCUCAUAUGGCAAGUGGCAGCUGUCAUACCCCUGAAGAUCUCACUAAAUUUUUCACGAGUGGGCGGUGCUAAGGACCCGUCCUUAGCCAACCUUCCUUUCCAGCUUUUAGAAAAAUAGAGUUAAGCAAAGUAAAAGCACAGUAACAGGGACACCAACGAAUUACAGGAAACCUUUCCUAACUUGUAUUAAUUCACUCUACAAGACAAAAUUGUUCCCUUGAGUCAGAGUACAUGCUUCACACCCAAGCAUUACGAGAAGGAACCCUAUCCCAAAACUCUCGCUUUGUUUCAAGGCUGUAGGAGUCCUUUUAAAAGACUUGGCCUGCAGUUACACAUUUGGAUUUCCAAAUUCAAAAGUUGAAGCCAACCUGGUGGUUAUGCAACUGGCCAGAACCGCCCAUAAUUGCCUUGCAUAACCACCCACCACCCAGAUAGUGGCCUGCACACGCCACCCACUUGCACAAACCAUCAUCUCCCUAGCCAAUUGCAAGUCAAUUGGUUGUUUGACUUGAUCACCUAAUGUCCUAACUAGCUGCCACUGACUAGCUACACUGCCACUAGCUAGCUGCACUUCCAUUUCCUCAAGCCUUGCUCACCAAGCUGCUGGAGAGUUCCCCUAACAAGCUGUCUUCUUUCUCGCAAAGUGCCUCUUGUGACCGGGUGCUCACGAGCGUGUCUUUGACCAAGACCUUCUGAUCUAAGCAGCAUGCACCAACCAGCUGACCAAGUGUUUGGUGCAUCAGUGUGCCUUCCCCACACUAAUGUGUGAGCCCAUGCCAUGUCUAGGUGCCCAUGGCUUAGGCGUGUUGCUUACUUCCAUUAUCAGGUCCAGCUUCAUAGCAACGAGCCAUGGUAUUGCGCCCAUGGUUGAUCCCUCUUGGUGCAUAGGGCAUUGCGUCCCUGUGCUGUGCAUAGGCAUCAUGGUGCGAUUCAACUAUUGUUUGGUGUCCCAUCAGACCAUGGCAUUGUGAUCAUGGCUUCAUCAGCUAGCUCACCGCACAAGGCUUAGACGCUCUCGUGCCUGCGCGGGGAGGGGGUAGGCCGCACUAGGCCUCGUGCUGUUGCGGCCACGAGAUGCACACCACACAUGUCGUGGAGCCCAUGUGUGCGUGCUCGAGUUGCGUCCGUGUGUCCUAGGCACGCUCAAGGUCAUGCCAUGGUGCCUUCUUGGUGCAGUCAAGGCUUCCCUUGGUGCUCCCUCAUUUGAGUCACCUACCCCCCCCACCCUUAAAGAGCAACACAAGCCGUUUUCAUUGUUUUUGGAGGAGACAUCAAUAUGUUUGAGAAGACAUAAUGGAAUAAUAAAUAAUUAUAUAUUAAAAUUCCAAAAGUUUCUCAGCCUUCAUCUACACCACCUAAAUCAGGUGCGCGCGCAACGCUUAUCUGGUGCGCAUGCAAUGCAUGUCUGGCUCGCCCACAGUGCGCGCCUGGCCUGCUCGCGGUGUGUGUCUGGCUCGCCCGUGGUGCGCGUACGGUGCGCGUUUGGCUCGCCUGUGGUGCACUCACGAUGUGCGUCUGGCUCGCCCGCGGUGCACGCACUGUGCGUGUCUGGCUCGCCCGCGGCCUCCUCACUUAGCCCCUAGAGUUUGAACCACCAAACCUCCAAGCUUUCCUUGCUUUUAGCCUAGGCUCUCAUGGGUGCAAGGCUUACCCAUGAGGCCUUUUCCUCCAUGGUUAAGUCAAGAGGUUAAGGGGCUGACAAACCCACCCCCGCCUACUGAAGUCAAUGCCCUCAUCGACUUAGUUUGCUAGUAUGCCUGGACCGCCGUCUCAAAUUGCCACAAGGUAACAUCCCUCUCCCAAGUAGCUUCUGCUUCUGAAGUCCCCUUCCAUUGAACCAAGAAAUUAAUUCACUGGUUCUUUCUGCUAUGUCCCAUGGUCCUAUGAUCCUAUGAUCCAAGAUCUUUUCUAUCUCUCGAUCAAACUGCUUCAUGACCAAGAGAGGGACCCGCUUUGUCUGCACCCUUUCUGCAUCCAGAUCCUCAUGGUAAGGCUUCAAAAAGCUAGCAUGGAAAUUUGGGUGAAGCUUGAGCCUCUCAGGUAGUUUCAACAUGUAGGCCACCUGCCCAACUCAUUUAAUCACCUCGAAUGGUCCAUCAUACUUAGGAAUUAGACCCUUCUACCUUGUCUUGUUGCUGAUUUUCUUCCAAAUCUGAGGAGUCAAUUUCAGAAGGACCUUGUCCCCAACCUGAAAUUCCAAGGGUCUGCAAUCACGAUCCGCAUACUUUUUCAUUUGUCUAGCUGCCUUCUCUAGACUGUUCUAGACUUCAUCAAACAUCUCUUACCGGGACUGAGCCAUCUUGUAAGCUGCAAAACUACUUCCUCCUGUUUUUUGCUUAGCCACCUCCAAAGGCAUUCGUGGCUGCACCCCAAUAGCUAGCUCAAAGGGACUCAUCCCUGUUGUCGAGCUUCUCUGUAGAUUAUAACAUAACUAAGCAGUAUCCAACAAAUCCACCUAAUUCUUUUGUGUUGUUGUCACAUAGUGCCUGAGGUAUUCCUCCAGCAAGGCGUUGAUCCUCUCUGUCUGCCCAUCAGUCUGAGGGUGGUUGGCUGUAGAGAACUUCAACUCUGAACCUAAGAGUUUGAACAGCUCAACCCAAAGUCGGCCUAUGAACCAUGCAUCUCGAUCACUGAUUGUCCUUAGGCAACCCAAAAUGUUUGACCACAUUACUGAAAAACAACUUAGCCGCUUCCUCCGUAGGGCAAGCAUCAGGGGCAGGUAUAAACACAGCAUACUUAGAGAAUCUAUCUACAACAACAAAGACAGAUUUAAAAUCAUGAACCUUUGGGAAUCUAGUGAUAAAAUCCAUGAAAAUGUUAUCCCAAGGUCUCUCUGGAAUGGGGAGGGGCUGUAGCAACCUUGCAGCCUUCUUCCUUUCAGUCUUGUCCAUUUGACAAACCAGGUAGCAUUUCACAUAUGCCUAGACAUCCUCACCCAUCUUAGGCCAGUAGUAGGAUCUGGCUAGCGGUGUCAAAGUCCUCUCUUCACUAGGAUGGCCUACCCACUUCACAUCAUGAGUUUCCCGUAGUAAUUCAUUUCUCAGGUCGCCUGUAGGAACAUACCAUCUUCCUCCUUUUGCCACAAGGAGGUCUCCCUCCAGCCAAUACCUUCUUACCACGCUCUCCUUAACUUGGUGCUUCAGCUUGCUAUAUGCAGCAUACUGCUCCGCAACUUGCUUGAUAUUCUUAUUAAAGUUAGAAAUGACUUCUGAGAGGGCCGUGAUGUAGGCAAUCACCUCUUUCGUACUCAAGGCAUCAACCACAGUGUUAUGUCUUCCUGGUCGAUGCAGCCAUUCAAAUUUGAAGUCGGUCAGGAACUCCUGCCAUCGUGCUUGUCUGGGACUCAACUUCUUCUGAGUUUUGAAGAAGGUGCUGGCCACAUUGUCGGUGACCACUAUAAAAAUGCUUCUUAGUAGGUAGUGUCUCCACUGCUGCAGGCAGUGGACCACAAUCGUCAUCUCCUUCUCAUGAGUGGAGUACCUCUACUCAGCAUUGUUCAGCUUCCUACUUUCAAAUGUCACAGGGUGCCAUUCUUGCACCAAGACUCUACCCAAGGCUCUAUCUAAGGCAUCUGUUUGGACUUCAAAGGGUAAGUCCAAGUCUGGAAACCGCAGCACAGGCUUAGUGGAGAUGGAUUAUUUCAAGCCUUCAAAGGCAUCUGACACUGCAUGCUCCAAUCCCACUGGUUGUCCUUCUUCAACAGGUCAGUAAGGGGAGACACCUUAUUUGAAUACCCCUUAAUGAACCUUCUGUAGUAAUUGGCCAAGCCAAGGAAGGACCGCAACUCUGUCACUUUGGUAGGGACUGACCACUCCAUAAUAGCCUGCACUUUGCCUUUGUCCAUCCUGAUCAGGCCUGCACUAAUCUUGUGCCCUAGAAAUGUGAUCUCCUCCUGAGCAAACUCACAUUUCUCUGGCUUUACAUAAAGCCUGUUCUCCUUCAAUCUCUGAAACACCAAUCUCAAGUGUUUCUCAUGUUCUAUUAGGGUCUUGCUAUAAACCACAAUAUCAUCUAGAUACACUACCACAAAUGCAUCUAAAUAGUCAAACAAAACAUCAUUCAUCAAAUUGCAGAAUGUAGCAGGGGCAUUAGUCAGUCCAAAGGGCAUUACCAGAAACUCGUAUGAUUCAUACCGAGUUACACAAGUGGUCUUCCCCUCAUCUCCUGCUGCAAUUCGCACUUGCCAGUAGCCUGAUCUCAGGUCCAACUUGGAGAAGUAAGAGGCUUUUGACAGUCUGUCAAACAGCUCAGCAACCAAGGGGAUCGGGUACUUGUUCUUGAUGGUCACCUUGUUGAGGGCUCUAUAGUCCACACACAUGUAGAGAGAGCAUCAUGCUUCUUUUGGAACAACAUUGGUGCACCAUAUAGGGCCCUUGAGGGCUGGAUCAGGCUUGCAUCCAACAGUUCCUUCAAUUGCUUUCCUAACUCCAGCAACUCCAUAGGAGGCAUCCGGUAAGGGGCUUGAGUCAGGGUCUUUAUUCCAGGUAGUAAUUCGAUCUUGUGGUCAAUAAGUCGCUAGGGUCGCAACUCCUUAGGGAGUUCUGCAGACAUCACGUCUCUGAACUCCUUAAGGAUUUUAAUCAUUGAGUUAGGGACUUUCACAGACUGUCCCUCCUUGAUCUCAAUCAAGGUUGCAACAUAAGUCUCUUGGCCCUUCUUCAAUCCCUUCUUUAACUGAAUAGCGGACAACAUCUCAGGCUGUCCAUUACCACCAUCCUUCGCCUUUAAGGCCUUCACAAAGCAAAGCUGCUUCUCUUUUAACUCUAACAGUCCACCAAGAUGUGGGAUCAAGGCCACCUUGGCCCUCAAGAGGAAAUCUAUCCCAAGGAUCAAGUCAAAGUCAUCCAAGGGUACACAAAGUAGGUUGCACGUGCCUUUCCAGUCACCAAUUUGCAUGGGGACAUUCUUAGCUACACCUUGGAUCUUCUGGGCUUUGCUAUUGACUGCCUUGAUCCAACUGGUAUCCUCCUCCAAUUUCAAUCUCAACCUAGUUGCUUCUCUGGUGGCCACGAAGUUGUGAGUGGCAUCAUUAUCCACCAAGGCCUCCACCUGCACACCAUUUACAAUGGCAUGGACAUGCAUUAGGGAUUUCUGGACUAGGGUCUCACCAUUAAUCACGUUCAGGAGUUGCAGUGGGUUGAAUCUAGAAGGGGUCUCUGAGUCAGAGUCUCUCUUGUCGUCUGUAGUCACAAGGGCUGAGAGUUUCUCUCUUUUGGGGUAGUCUCUGGCUCGAUGAGGACCAUUGCAGAUGAAACAUCCUACCUUCCGGGUGGUCUGCUACACAAUCUUUGUGGUCUUCUCCACUGGUUUUCCCCUUAUAGUAGGCUUCUUGCUCUAUUUCUUCCACCCAUACUUCUUAGAAGUCUUGCCCCCAGUCUUAGCCUUCUUGCCUCCAUCUGACUUGGGUCUCUACAUGGUGGAGAUGGUGCCACCUAUCUUGUAAUCCACCAGGCAGUCUGCUGCAACCAUGACAGUAGGGAGAUCACGAACCUCUUGCCUCCUAAGUUCUGUUUGAGCCCAUCCUUGCAAUCUAGACAUGAAAUUAAAGAGCUUGUCCUCAUCUGACAUGUUCUUUAUGUCUAGCAUCAAGGAAUUGAACUCCUUGACGUAGUCCCUCACAGAUCCGGUGUGUCUAAGCCUUUUUAGCGCUUCUCUGGCCACUCACGCAGUGUUAGUGGGGGGAACUGAUCCUUCAAUUCCUUCUUCAGAGUCUCCCGGUGAUUUGGGGCAUUCCAUACUCUGCAUCAUCUUCCAUCCUAGUUCGCCACCAUAGUUUGGAAUCACCAGUCAGAUACAUGCUGGUGAUAGACACCUUUUUGCCAUCAGGAAUGUGAGCAACCUUGAAGAACUGCUCCAUGUCCCACAAGAAGUUUUCCAACUCCUUCGCGUUCCUGUUAUUGUUGAAGCCUUUAGGCUCUAGGACUCGGACCUUGGAAAGGGCUUCAGGGAUUGACGAGGACCCCUACAACGUCCUCUCCAUAGGACUGCAGGGUGCCUUUGAAGUCAUCCAUCAGGGACUGCAUCUCUGAUUUCAACCUAGCAAGUUUCUCCUCAAAGAAAUUAUCAUGGGUCUCCAACAGACUGCUCUGCACUUGGAUUUCUCCCAUGGUGUUUUCUGUCCACAAAGCCAUAGUGCCUUCCUCACCUGGCCAUUCUACCAAUGCUUCUUUCAUUCGAGUCAUCAUUUCCCGCAAGGCGUCCAUUGCACUACCACCGGCCAUCUCUGGUGCGAGCUCUGAUACCAAUUGUCACACCCCUGAAGAUCUCACUAAUUUUUUCAUGAGUACGUGGUGCUAAGGACCUGUCCUUAACCAACCUUCCUUCUUAGCUUUUAGAAAAACAGAGUAAAGCAAGUAAAAGCACAGUAACAGGGAAACCAACGAAUUACAGGAAACCUUUCCCAACUUGUAUUAAUUCACUCUACAAGACAAAAUUGUUCCCUUGAGUCAGAGUACAUGCUUCACACCUAAGCAUUACGAGAAAGAACCCUAUCCCAAAACUCUCUCUUCCUGUUUCAAGGCUGUAGGAGCCCUUUUAAAAGACUUGGCCUGCAGUUACAUAUUUGAAUUUCCAAAUUCAAAAGUUGGAGCCAAUCUGGUGGUUAUGCAACUGGCCAGAACCGCCCAUAACUGCCUUGCAUAACCACCCGCCACCCAAAUAGUGGCUUGCACAUGCCACUCACUUGCAUAAGCCAUCAUCUUUUUAGCCAACUGCAAGUCAAUUGGCUGCUUGAAUUGAUCACCUGAUGUCCUAGCUAGUUGCCACUGACUAGCUACACUGCCAUCUCCUUAAGCCUUGCUCACCAAGCUGCUGGAGAGUCCCCCUAACAAGCUGUCUCCUUCCCCACAAGGUGUCUCUUGUGACCGGGUGCUCACCAGCGUGUCUUUGAUCAAGACCUUCUGAUCUAGGCAGCAUGCACCGACUAGCUGACUAGAUGUCUAGUGCAUCAGUGUGCCUUCCCCACACUGAUGUGUGAGCUCGUGCCAUGUCUAGGUGCCCAUGGCUUGGGCGUGUUGCUUGCUUUCACUGUCAAGUCCAGCUUCAUAGCAACGAACCAUGGCAUUGCAUCCAUGCCUGAUCCUUCUUAGUGCACAAGGCUUAGGCGCCUUUGUGCCUGUGCGGGGAAGGGGUAGGCCCUGUGCCAUUGCGGCCACGGGGUGCACACCACACAUGUCGUGGAGCCUAUGUGUGCGUGCUCGAGUCACAUCCGUGUGUCCUAGGUACGCCCAAGGUCGUGCCAUGGUGCCCCUUUGGUGCGGUCAAGGCUUCCCUUGGUGCUCCUUCCUUUGAGUCACCUACCUCUCCUUAAAGAGCAAUACAAGCUGUUUUCAUUGUUUCUGGAUGAGACAUCAAUAUGUCUAAGGAGACAUAAUGGAAUAAUAAAUAAUUAUAUAUUAAAAUUCCAAAAGUCCUUCAGCCUUCAUCUGCACCACCUAAGUCAGGUGCGUGCGCCAUGUCUAUUUGGUGCACACGCGGUGCAUGUCUGGCUCGCCCGUAAUGCGCGUGUGGUGCGCAUUUGGCUUGCCCGCUUGCGGUGUGCGUCUGGGCCGCUCGCGAUGUGCGUUUGGCUUGCCCGCGGUGUGCGUGGUGCGUGUCUGGCUCGCCUGCGGUGCAUGUGUGGUGCGUGUCUGGCUCGUUCGUGGCCUCCUCACUUAGCCCCUGGAGUUUGAACCACCAAACCUCUAGGCUUUCCUUGCUUUUAGCCUAGGCUCUCAUGGGUGCAAGGACUACCCAUGAGGCCUUUUCCUCUAUGGUUAAGUCAAGAGGCUAAGGGGCUGACAACAGUCGUGUAUACCAAGUGGCAGCCCACAUAUCUUCAAAAUCUCCUUGUGCAUGAAUUAUACCUCCCAAAUCCCCUUCGUGGCCAUUUAUCCCUUUAGUCCUUUUCCAACUCAACUUCCAAAAAAAUUCCAUUUUCCUUAUGUUUUUUUCCAUUCUUUCAUGCUCUCUUAAUGGUAGUUGUUAAUCUCAAGGAUCCUUUUUCCUUCAAAAUAUCCAUGUGGCGUGAAUCAUAUCUCCAUGGCCUCAAAGAAUCAUUCUUAAUAAAAUCUCCUAAAAAAAGAUUCUUCCAUAUCUAAAGCUCUCUUUGCCGUCCAUCACCAUGAGAGUCUUUUUUUCUUUAAAUUCUUAUCAUGUUGUGAAUCUUCCAAUUUCCAUAUGGUAAUGCUCCAAGUCCACCCAAUCUCCUUCUCUUUUUAGAGUCUUACUCCAUUUAAAAUUCAAAUGGCAGUCAUGUUUCAAUAUAAAGAGGAUCAUUUCCUUCCUAAACUCAAUUCAAAAUAUCAAUGUCUUAAUAAGCCCCCAUGCACAUGCUAUGUAAGAUGAUAUGAAAUGUUGUCCUAAAAUGCACCUAAAGCUUUCUAAAAUGCAUGUAAAUAAACUAUUCUAAAAAUGUACCUAGAUGAACUAACUUAAAGUGUACCUAAAUGUUAUGAACUGAGAAUGUAUCUAGAUGAACUAUCCUAAAGUGCAACUAAACUAAGAUGUAACUAAGAAAAUUCUUAAAAUGCAACUAAGUAAACUAAGUGACCUAAACUAAAGUGCAUCUAAGUGAACUCCACUCAAGUGCAUCUAAGUGGGCUAAGCUAAAGUGCAUUUAAGUGAAGUAAGCUAAAGUGCAUUUAAGUGAAAUAAACUAAAUUGCAUCUGAGUGAACUAACUUAAAGUGCAACUAAGUAAACUAAACUAAAGUGCCACUAAAUGAGCUCAACCAAAGUGCAAUUAAGUGAGCUAAAUCUAAAAUGUGAUUAAAUGAGUUGAGUUGUAGUACAACUAAGUAAGCUAAGUUAAAGUGCAACUAAGUGAGCUGAACCUAUAAUGCAACUAAGUGACCUAAACUUAAAAUGCAGCUAAGUGACCUAAACCUAAAAUGCAACCAAGUGAACUAAAUUAAGGUGAAAUUAUGGAUAUAUUUGGGAUCUAUAAAAAAUCCCUCGACAAUGAAUCUUUAAAGAUGGAUAAAAAAAAAUGCUACAUGAGUGACAAUGGACCAUCAAUGGACGACUAUAGGGCAACGAGGAGUGAAUGAAAACACAUAGAAUCAUAUGUGCUACUAGGACAAAAUGGAAGGUUUAUAAGGACUUUAUUAUUUUUGGGAUUAGAUGGUUCUUUAGGGUCUCCUACCCUAAGAAAAGGAAAACAACACCUAAGGUGGACCUUUAGACUCUCCUACCCUAUGAGAAGGAGGUUGACACCAAGUUCUUCAGAUUCUUCCACAUUGAGAGAAGAAGAACUAUGAUUGGGAAAAGAAAGUUCAAAGAUAAAAAAUAUGAAUGCAAUUCCUACUUAGCAUAAGGGUCCUAAUUCAAGUGAUAAAUAAGAAUAUUGGAAAUCUCAUGAUGGAUAAUUUAUUUUAAUAAGGUUACCAAAAUGAUCUCAAAGUCUCUCAUUGAAAAUAUUAAAUAGGAGUGGGUCAUAAGUAAGCCCACAACCUCUAAGAGUGAGCUUAACUUGAUUUUGGGCCCAUCACCAUCUUGAAGAUGGGGUGACCCAAGGAAUCAAUGGAUAUAGACUAUCAUUAAGGACGAGACUAUAUAUGUUUAUAGUGGGCGUGACCAAUCUUGAAGAUGUAACUCUUUAUUUGGUAACAUUGAUGCUAAGGAUCUUGAUUAGACAGUUAACUCAAAUGUAAAGUAGUAGAAUCACUUGAAGUGGUUUUAUUUGCACAAUCUGAGGGUUAAACAUAAAAGGUAUGUUAAUCAAUGCCUUAGGAUAACAUUUUAAGGUUUAAGGCAAGUUGAUUAAUUAGAGAGGGUUCUACCCUAGUAAUAAAAGUCAUGACUUGCCUGAAGUAAGCCUGAUUCUUAUGAUACUAGGAUACCUUGCAUAGAUAUAUGUAACUUGAGAGCACUAAUUUUUGUAAAAUUAAUUACCUAUUUGCCUUGAAUGCUUAGUUUCUUUAUUAAUGAAUGGAAUAUUUUGUUUAUUACAAGAAUCAUGUCUUAUAACUUUAUCACCCUAGUUCUCAUUGAUACCAAAUUGACUGGACCUAAUUAUGUUGAUUAUAAAAGAAACUUGGGCAUAGUACUCAUAAUAGAACAACUGAAAUGAGUUAAGUUUCCAUCACUUUUGUCUUGCAUCAUCCAGAGAGACAAGAGGACCCUAACCUCCACCUUCCCAAACCUCCUCCUUUGGUUGAAUACUAAGAUCAAGGUAGAGUCAUAGCAGUAGAAAAUCUUGGGGAAUUUGAGAUAUUUGGAAACUUCAAGUUUCAUCUUCUUCGAAUGUAAUAGAUUUUGGAACAUCCAAAUCUAAGGUAAAGUUUUCUAUAACUAUUAAUUUAGAUUUGUUCAUGUUUAAAAAUAUAUGCUUUGUUGGUGCUUAGAAUCUAGAGGUUUAGGAAAGAUUUUCAUGCUCCUAACUUGAUCUUGAGAUAAGGAACAAAGACAUUUAGGGUGUUCCCUACAAAUCAUAGGCCUUAAACUUGAGAUAUUUAAGUAUUUACUAAUAAGUCAAGUAAAUAAGAUAUCUAAAGAUAUCCUAGGAUGAAUAGGGAUAGGCCUAGGAUAAAAAAUGGGCAAUACAAGAAAUGAUCCUCAAGCUUAUACCACUUGACCUUAGUCAAUAAGACAUAUACCCAAAGAUUUCCAAAGAAACUCAAACCUAAUAGAGUCUAAGGAUUUUGUGAAGGUAUCAACCAAUUAAUGUUAAGUGGAGACAAACUCUAGAGAAAUUACCUUGUCAUCUACAAGAUCCCUAACAAAAUAAUGAUGUUUUAAUAUGAAUAGUUCGAGAAUGAAGAAUAGGAUUUUUUUAAAUGUUUAUAGCAUUAGAGUUGUUUGACAAGAUUUUCAUGGUAUCUUGGUCAAUGCCAUAGUCACUAAGCAAUUGUUUUAUUUAAAGGAGUUGAGUACAACAACUCCUUGCAACUAUACACUCUACUUCCAUAGUGGAUAAGGAUAUCGAGUUUUACUUCUUACUUAGGCAAGCAAUUAGACAAUCGUUGACAAAAAAGCAAACUCUUGAAGUGUUUUUCUUAUCCUCUACAUUUCCAACCUAGUCAACAUUGGAAUAGCUGGUAAAUCACUAGUGAAGAAUCAAAGGGAUACCACAAACCAUAGUCUCAUGUCCCAUUCACAUAUCUAAUGAUUCUUUUUAUUGAAGUUAAAUGUGAUUCUUUCAGAUUAGCUUGGUAUGUUGCACAUGCUCUAAGAGAUAUUAGGUCAACUCAUAGUGAGAUAUAAGAGACUCCCUAUCAUACUUCUAUAAAGCUUUUUCUCAACAUGCUUUCUAGAUUUGUCCUUGUAAUGCUUAGCAAUGGUACUCAUAGGUGUUCUAAAGUGCUUAACAAACUCUAGACCAAACUUCUCACUAACUCCCUUGCAUAUUUAGACUGAGAUGAGAAAAUAUCAUUCUUAGAAUUGUCUUAUCCACAAGCCUAGGAAAAAGUUGAGUUUAUCUACCAUUCUUGUAGUGGUACCUAGAGGAGGUGAACAGGUGUAUCACUACAAGAAAAAAGGCUUCUCUUGACAGUGUUUGACUGUCAUGGUAAGUGGUAUAUGUUGUUAUAGUAUUCUAAUUCUAUAUGUCUUCUUUUCCAAUGUCAAGGUAGGGGUAUAAGCAAUCUUGACAUAUAAAUACCAUAGAGUAGGUGUAUUUCACUACUCAUCAUAUGUCAUGGUCUCUCUAACAUUUGUUAAGGUUGAAUGAAACAUAUUUCAAGGUUGCUUUAGCCCAUAUCAAGGUCACAAACCACAUAGUGUGGGCCUUGCAUUUUUCACGAUGCAUUCCCACUUGAUGGCGAAACUCGCUUUUUAUUUAUUUGGUAAAAAAAAUGAUUUUUAGAAAAGAAUUGGAGUCACCACUUAUUUUUGUUUUAUUUUUUUUAAGGGAAAACAAAAUAAGAAAUAAAACUCUAAGUAUGACUCCUUAUUGAGAAAAGACAGUUUAUGGAAAACCAAAGUUGGGUCUGGAGGUCAUGUUACUUAUUGGGAAGGUAUUGUAAAUACCGUAGCACCCCUCGAAGCCCUUAAAAAUGGGUCUCUACUAAAUAAGGUGAAACAAACAUGACAAUUAACUAGGAAAUUAAUUGAUACCAAAAUGAUCAUAGAUAAAAAAUAACUCAUGAUAACGAAUAAAUAAACAAGGUGAGAGUGAGAGCGUACCUUGGUAGCAGGUAAUAAAGUGUUAUCAUGAAAUAGAGUUAGUGCAUAAUCAUGAAUAUAAAGUAUAUCACAUGCAUAUCAAAGAGCAAGACAAAGAUCAGACAAUAUUCAUUAAGUCUAGUAGUUGACAAUUAGAAGAGAAAACUCAUAUGUAGGGUCCUCACCAAAGCCCAAUUGAUUUUGCAUGAAUUAAUCCCACAAAUUCCAUUGGUUUGGAAUUAUGAAAAUCAUAUUCAUGCUUAUUUAAAAUCAAGAGAAACAAAAGAUUAUUUGAAAAUCAAAGAAAAUUUGUGAAAGUGCUUACUUGAAGGGAAAUGUAGCAAGUUUAUUAUAAACAAGAUUUUUUUGACUUAAAACCCUAAUAAAGGAUGAAAAGUUAUAAAAUUAAAAAUAUUUGAAAACUGGAGUGAAAUUAAAAUUAUUUGAAAGAAAACUAGAUUUUUGAAAAUUAUUUGAAAAUUGAAAUCUUAAAAAUUAAAUUUAGAAAAUGGAAUAUUUAAAAAAAAAUUGAAAAUGGGAGUUUUGAAAAUUAAAUUUGAAAAUUGGAAUUUUGAAAUAUUAUUUGAAAAUGAAAAUUUUGAAAAUUGGAAUUUUGGAGAAUUAUUUGAGAAUGAGAUUUCUUAAGAAUUAAAUUUGAAAAGUGGAAUUUUGGAAAAUUAUUUGAAAAUGGAAAUUUUGAAAAUUAGAUUUGAAAAUCAGAAUUUUGGAAAAUUAUUUGAAAAUGGAAGUUUUAAAAAAUUAAAUUUGGAAAUUGGAAAUUUGGAAAAGUAUUUGAAAAUGGAAGUUUUGAUAAUUAAAUUUGAAAAUGGAAAAUUUGAAGAAUUAUUUGAAAAUGGAAGUUUUAAAAAAUUAAAUUUGGAAAUUGGAAUUUUGGAAAAUUAUUUGAAGAUUAAAGUUUUGAAAAUUGGAACUUUGGAAAAUUAUUUGAGGAAGGAAUUUUUUUUAAAAAAAAUUAAAUUUGAAAAUUGAAAUUUUGGAAAAUUAUUUGAAAAUAGAGUUUUGAAAAUUAAAUUUUGGCAUUAAAAUAUGAAGAAACAAGAGGAUGCCACGUAUCCUAUAGGUGGUGCACUGGAGGGUGGCCAUGCAUAGCCAUGUACACGUGGGGCCUAGGGUGCAAUUUUGGGAUUGCAUGCCAAAAGGUGGCCGGGUGCAGAAAUGAGCCAGAAUAAGUGAGACUGUAUUGUGGAUACUGAUGGCUUCAGUCUCUUGCCUGAUGACAACACUUAUCCCAAUGACACUUGCAUUCUAGCCAACUGACCCUCCCGAAUGAGACAAAAGGUUCCCAUUUCUAGUAGCUCCAUUAUAUUGAAUAUCUCUCAAGGAGGGCCCAUGAGACUUUGCACUAUGGUUACACCUGCUAAAGCCAAUAUCACUUUACCAAUAUUCACAGCUUUCAAAAGGUUACAUUCAUCUUCAUCGAAACAGCUCCGCUGAAAAUGAUUAAACCCAGAUACCAUCUUUGGAAGAGAAUCGAGGCUAGCGCAACAUGAAGAAAAGGGACUUUGUUGAGACCUCUCCCACAGUCCAUGACGUAUCUUCUUGAGUGCAAGUCAUGAUCUUCCAAAUGCCAAACGAACCCACCGGACAUAUCUAAAAUGAUAACUGCCACGCGUAGGAGUGAAUCCAUUUUUUUUUUUGUUGCAUUUUCUUUUGCAUGGGUUGGUGCUAGUGACGGUAGAGAAGCAAUCUGGAUUGGAUGGAGCUAAGGGCCGAAGUUAGAUGGUGUUUCGGGGGUGAUUGGUGGGCAUUGUGACAUGGGAUAAGCUGACGGUGGUGGUUCCGGUGUUGUAAAUAAAUUGAAGGAGGUGUGUAUGGUCUUUUCUGGGAGUGGGUGAUGAUUGUGUGGGCUGUGUGAGCUGUGUGGUGGCUGUGUGGGCUAUAACAGGAUGAUGGGGAUUAAUGGUGAUGCAAAUGGGGAGUGGUUGGUGAAAAUUGGUAGCUUUAGAACUGAAGUCGGGUGGUGUUUGAAUGGUGGAUAUAGUAUGAGUAUGAUGGAGAAAGAUUUUAAGAAAGGGUCUCAUGCACCUGGGCAGUGAAGAGGAAAGAAGCUCAUGGGGAAUGAGUGGAGGAAAAGAGAUUGAUUACUACCCAAAAAGUGCUAUUUUGCGCCUUUAAUUCAUUAUGUUUUAAGCACUUUUGUGUAGUAGUUCUCCAUUCUUAUUCCAAUUGGCAUGUUAAGGACCUAGCAAUGACUUCUAAUCAUAUUUGUGGCUAGUUUUAGUGUUUUGACAGCUUUUUGGAUCAUUAAGACAAGCCAAGUAAAGGAGAGAAGCAAAGAGGAAAACAAAGUGAAGAAAACAGAGGACAACAGCUGCAGUCUUCCUUCACACUUUUGGAGAACUUCCCGAAGUCCAUUUUCUACAUGAUAUAUACCAUUUCAAAGCUCAGGAAGUCAAGAAUCCAACGCUUCAAAUCGUGUAUGAUUUGGAGCUGAAAUGAGGAAGAUAUGGCCUUUGGAAGACAACUGCUCCAAGCUUGUGCGAAAUUCGCACAACACCUUCAGCUUGUGCGAAAUUCGCACAACACCUUCUCCUUGUGCGAAAUUCGCACCAGCCCAUGCGUGGUGCGAAAUCUCCUCUGUUCUGCCGACUCCACUUUAGAUAUUUUCUUUUAUAUUUUUUGAUGUAAAUUCCUUUCCUAUCCCUAUAAUUAGCCAAUCACAGGGCUUUGCUUUUGUAAAGACUAUAAGAGGGGUGGAAAUCAUCUCUCGGAACAUAUGAUUGUAUAUUUUUACACUUAGUAAAAUACAAGGCUCUCUUUGCUUCUAUUUUCUCUCUACUAUUUUCUUUUUCUUGGAAGCCAAACAACCUCUGAGGAUGUUUUCCCAGAGGAUGAGAGGCUAAACUUUUGGUUUCUUGAAGUGAAGGAAGCUAGGUGAAAAGUCCAGAUGCUAAAGUGGAAAACUCUCAUGCAUUAAAUACAGGUAGUUGGAGUUCAUAAAUGGCUUUUAAAUCUAAGGUUUUGCUUUAAAUCCCUUAGAAUCACUUUGAAUGACCAAUACAUGGUAAGCUUCAGGUCUCUGUGGAUACUUAUUGCUAGAUCCAUAUCAGACCAUUAGUUAUCAUGUACGAGCCAUUGGAAAGUGGCUCAAGGUGAAGACCCAUAGUGUCUAAAGCCAUUAAUGGAACUUGACUACAAUUUCUAUUGACUUUUUCUGGAUAAAUCUUCAUUGUUAAACCUAUACCGGUUCGGGAAACAACCAUCCUUUAUGUUGUUGUCCCCAAUGUGAGAAGAAAAAUCCGGAACUUCCACUUUGCAUUCUGAACUUGAUCCUAGCAACCUCUAGCUCCGGGAGACUUUCUUUCUUCCAUUUUUACUUAGUUUUAUGUUAGUUUAGUUUCAAACACCACUUUCAAAACAAAUUUUAUUUUCUUUUAAACUUUAAGUUUUUGACAAAGGAAAUCAUCAGACUCAAUUUCUAAUUUUAAGUCUAUCACUGGUAGAAUGAAAACCCAUCCCAGAGUUCGACCCUAGAGCCACUAUGCUAUAGUAGCUUUGCUACGCUAGUAUGAGGUCAUAGGUUUUAUAAAUGUUUUUGAUUAAAAGACCCGACUGGAUUUAACGAAUCAAAAUGGCGCCGUUGCCGGGGAUGGUGCCACUUUACAGUGAUAUGACCUUUUCAGAGUACUUGUGAUUUCCAUCACAAGUUUGGUGAAUUCCUUUUUCACUAACUUCAUUUCCUUUCUUUUAAUUGUAGAAUUCCUUUUGUUAAGUUUAUUUUUGUUUUCUUUCUAACCUUAACUUUUUUCUAGUUUUCUUUUGUUUUUGUUGUCUUUGUUUUGUUUUCAGGUAAGUUGUAACUUGUGCAUGCCCUAUUGGAUUCGGGACCAAGAGGGAAGACUAGUAAGGAUUGAGAAUCCUCAAGACACAGAGUUGGAUAUCUGUGUAAACAUCAUGGACCCUCCACAAGAGGAUCAGAAUUCUCAACACAGUCAAGGGGGUAAUCCAAAUGCAUAUCUAUCCAUGAGGGAUAGAAUGCACCCAUCAAGGAUGAGUGCACCCUCAUGCAUCGUACCUCCUCUUGAGCAGCUGAUUAUAAUGCCCCAUAUUGUGCCCCUCCUACCAAAUUUCCAUGGAAUGGAGAGUGAGAACCCAUAUGCCCACAUCAAGGAGUUUGAGGAGGUGUGCAAUACUUUUAGAGAGGGAGGAGCUUCAAUAGACUUGAUGAGACUCAAGCUAUUCCCUUUUACUUUGAAGGACAAGGCAAAAAUAUGGCUUAAUUCUUUAAAGCCAAGGAGCAUAAGGAAUUGGGUUGAUCUUCAGGCCGCAUUUUUGAAGAAAAUUUUCCCCACCCAUAGGACCAAUGGGUUGAAGAGAUAAAUCUCAAACUUUUCUACAAAAGAAAAUGAGAAGUUUUAUGAAUGUUGGGAAAGGUAUAUGGAGGCCAUCAAUGCUUGUCCUCAUCAUGGCUUUGAUACAUGGCUCUUGGUGAGCUAUUUUUAUGAUGGGAUGUCUUCCUCCAUGAAGCAAAUUCUCGAAACCAUGUGUGGAGGAGAUUUUAUGAGUAAGAAUCCUGAAGAAGCCAUGGACUUUUUAAGUUAUGUGUUUGAGGUUUCAAGAGGAUGGGAUGAGCCCAACUUAAGAGAAAUGGGAAGGAUGAAAGCUCCUGUAAAUCCAAAGGGUGGAAUGUACAUGUUAAGUGAAGACAUGGACAUGAAAGCUAAGGUGGCAACAAUGGCAAGGAGGUUGGAAGAACUCGAGUUGAAAAAGAUGCAUGAAAUCCAAGCCAUUUCCGAGACACAAGCCCAUGUCAUGCCAUGCACCAUUUGCCAAUCAUGUGAUCAUGUGGUAGAUGAGUGCCCAACCAUGCCAGUUGUGAGGGAGAUGUUAGGUGAUCAAGCCAAUGUUGUGGGGCAAUUUAGGCCCAACAACAAUGCACCUUAUGGAAACACCUAUAAUUCAAGCUGGAGAAACCAUCCAAAUUUUUCUUGGAAACCAAGGCCACCUCCAUACCAACCACAAGCCCAAACCCAAGCACCUCAACAAACCUCUUCAGUGGAGCAAGCCAUUGUGAACCUAAGUAAAGUCAUGGGUGACUUUGUGGGUGAACAAAAGGCAAUCAACUCCCAAUUGCACCAAAAGAUUGAAAAUGUUGAGAGUUCUCAAAUUAAGAGAAUGGAUGGGAUGCAAAAUGAUCUAUCUCAGAAGAUAGAUAAUAUUCAAUACUCCAUCUCUAGGCUUACCAACCUCAACACAGUGAAUGAGAAAGGAAAGUUUCCCUCUCAACCAAGCCAAAAUCCCAAGGGUGUUCAUGAAGUUGAAACCCAAGAUGGGGAGUCUUCAAAGUUGAGGGAGGUCAAAGUUGUGAUUACCUUGAGGAGUGGGAAGGAGGUUGAUCAACCCUUGCCUAAGGUGAGGCAAGAUGAAGAACUCAUGUCAAAGAGAACCUUGGUUAAAGAAAGCAAUAACCAAGAAGAGAAGAGUGGGAAGAAAAAUGCAUCCAAAUCAAGCAUUGAAGAAGAGCCAAGGAUAGUGAUUAAAGAGGAUAUGAUGAAGAAACAUAUGCCUCCCCUUUUUCCUCAAGCUUUACAUGGAAAGAAGGAAAUCAAGAAUUCAUCAGAAAUUCUUGAAGUUUUGAGACAAGUGAAGGUGAAUAUACCCUUACUUGAUAUGAUCAAGCAAGUCCCCACAUAUGCAAAAUUUUUAAAGGACUUGUGCAUGGUCAAGAGAGGGUUACAUGUGACCAAGAAGGCAUUCCUCAUUGAGCAAGUAAGUGCCAUCAUUCAGAGUAAGUCUCCAGUUAAGUACAAAGAUCUGGGAUGUCCCACCAUUUCAGUCAACAUUGGAGGGACACAUGUGGAGAAGGCUUUGCUAGACUUGGGGGCAAGUGUGAAUUUGCUCCCAUACUCUGUGUAUAAGCAACUGGGACUUGGAGGAUUGAAGCCCACAACCAUCACUCUCUCCUUAGCUGAUAGGUCGGUCAAAAUCCCGAGGGGGGUGAUAGAGGAUGUUCUAGUUCAAGUGGACAAAUUCUACUAUCCUGUGGAUUUUGUGGUGCUUGAUAUUGAUCCCACUAUUAAGGAAGCAAAUUAUAUGCCAAUCAUCCUUGGGAGACCUUUCCUAGCUACCUCCAAUGCCAUCAUCAAUUGUAGGAAUGGGGUGAUGCAACUCACAUUUGGAAACAUGACCUUGGAGUUAAACAUAUUCCACCUAUGCAAGAGGCAUCUUCACCCAGAAGAGGAGGAAGGAUUGGAGGAGGUGUGCUUGAUCAACACCUUGGUUGAAUCGCAUUGUGACAAGAAUUUAGAAGAGAGCUUGAAUGAAAGCCUUGAAGUGCUUGAAGACAGGUUACCUGAACCCUCUGAUGUGCUAGCCAUCACGUCUCCUUGGAGGAGACGGGAAGAGAUCUUACCACUGUUCAAUAAGGAGGACUCACAAGGAGCACCUAUGGAGGACCCUCCAAAGCUUGUUUUGAAGCCGCUUCCUGUUGAUUUGAAGUAUGCAUAUUUGGAGGAAGAUGAUAAAUGUCCAGUGGUGGUUUCUUCAAAUCUCACAAGUGGUCAAGAGGACAGUCUUUUGGGAGUCCUCAGAAAAUGCAAGAAAGCCAUUGGAUGGCAAAUUUCUGAUCUGAAAGGGAUUAGCCCUUUGGUAUGCACCCACCAUAUCUACAUGGAGGAAGAUGCAAAACCAGUGAGGCAGCCCCAGAGGAGGUUGAAUCCUCACAUGCAAGAGGUGGUAAGGGGUGAAGUUCUGAAGCUACUUCAAGCAGGGAUCAUAUAUCCUAUUUCAGAUAGCUUGUGGGUGAGCCCAACCCAAGUAGUCCCAAAGAAAUCUGGAAUUAUUGUGAUCCAGAAUGAGAAAGGGGAAGAAGUCUCUACACGUCCUACCUCAGGAUGAAGGGUGUGUAUAGACUACAGGAGGUUGAAUUCAGUGACUAGGAAGGACCACUUCCCAUUGCCUUUCAUGGACCAAGUCAUUGAGAGAGUCUCAGGACAUCAUUUCUACUGUUUUUUGGAUGGUUACUCGGGGUACUUCCAAAUAGAGAUUGAUUUGGAAGAUCAAGAAAAGACAACCUUCACUUGCCCCUUUGGUACUUUUGCAUAUAGGAGAAUGCCCUUUGGUCUAUGUAAUGCUCCUACAACUUUCCAAAGAUGUAUGCUAAGCAUCUUCAAUGAUAUGGUGGAGCGCAUCAUGGAAGUCUUCAUGGAUGACAUCACUGUAUAUGGAGGUUCUUAUGAGGAGUGUUGUUGCAUUUAGAAGCUGUUCUCCAAAGAUGUAUUGAGAAAGACCUAGUGCUAAAUUGAGAGAAGUGCCAUUUUAUGGUACAACAAGGAAUUGUCUUAGGACAUAUAAUCUCCAAGAAUGACAUUGAGGUAGAUAAGGCAAAGGUGGAGCUAAUUGUUAAGUUGCCACCUCCCACAAAUGUUAAAGGAAUUAGGCAAUUCCUAGGACAUGCCGGGUUCUAUAGGAGGUUCAUUAAGGAUUUCUCAAAAAUCUCAAAACCUCUUUGUGAACUUUUGGUAAAGGAUGCCAAGUUUGUGUGGGAUGAGAAAUGUCAAAAGAGUUUUGAGGAACUGAAGCAAUUCCUCACAACUGCACCAAUAGUGAGAGCCCCGAAUUGGAAAUUACCUUUUGAGGUAAUGUGUGAUGCAAGUGAUCUUGCUAUGGGGGUUGUUUUGGGGCAAAGAGAAGAUGGAAAGCCCUAUGUGAUUUAUUAUGCGAGCAAAACUUUGAACGAGGCUCAAAGGAACUACACAACUACUGAGAAGGAGUUGUUAGCAGUAGUUUUUGCCUUGGAUAAGUUUCGUACCUAUUUGGAAGGGUCCUCUAUAGUGGUGUUCACUGACCAUUCGGCUUUGAAGUACUUGCUAACCAAGCAAGAUGCCAAGGCAAGAUUGAUAAGAUGGAUCCUUUUGCUUUAAGAAUUUAAUCUCCAAAUCCGGGAUAAAAAGGGAGUAGAAAAUGUGGUGGCUGACCACUUGUCAAGACUUGUGAUAGCACAUGACUCACAUGGUUUACCUAUCAAUGAUGACUUCCCUGAGGAGUCUCUCAUGUCAAUAGAGGUAGCUCCAUGGUAUUCCCACAUUGCAAAUUACUUGGUUACUGGAGAAGUUCCAAGUGAGUGGAGUGCCCAAGACAAGAGGCAUUUCUUUGCUAAGAUCCAUGCCUAUUAUUGGGAGGAGCCUUUUCUCUUCAAAUAUUGUGCGGAUCAAAUCAUAAGGAAAUGUGUUCCUGAACAAGAGCAAUCAGGAAUUCUAUCCAUUGUCAUAAUAGUGCAUGUGGAGGUCAUUUUGCUUCCCAGAAAACAGCUAUGAAAGUGAUCCAAUCAGGUUUUUGGUGGCCCUCUCUUUUCAAGGACGCCCACACUAUGUGCAAGGGAUGUGACCGGUGUCAAAGGCUUGGUAAGCUAACACGCCGAAAUAUGAUGCCCUUGAACCCCAUCUUGAUAGUGGAUGUCUUUGAUGUUUGGGGGAUAGACUUCAUGGGACCAUUUCCAAUGUCAUUUGCACACUCCUACAUUUUGGUGGGAGUGGAUUAUGUCUCUAAGUGGGUAGAAGCAAUCCCAUGUAGGAGCAAUGAUCAUAAGGUGGUUCUUAAAUUCCUCAAGGAGAACAUCUUUGCAAGAUUUGGAGUGCCUAAGGCCAUUAUAAGUGAUGGAGGAACCCACUUUUGCAAUAAGCCUUUUGAGACUCUUCUAGCCAAAUAUGGGGUCAAGCACAAGGUAGCUACACCUUAUCACCCUCAAACAAGUGGCCAAGUUGAGUUAGCCAACCGGGAAAUCAAGAAUAUACUGAUGAAGGUGGUGAAUGUGAAUAGGAAGGAUUGGUCAAUUAAGCUCCUAGAUUCAUUAUGGGCUUAUAGGACCGCUUACAAGACCGUUCUUGGAAUGUCUCCUUAUCGUCUUGUUUAUGGCAAAGCGUGCCAUCUUCCAGUAGAGAUUGAACAUAAAGCAUGGUGGGCAAUCAAGAAGCUCAACAUGGAUUUGACAAGAGCCGGGUUAAAGAGAUGUUUGGAUUUGAAUGAAUUGGAGGAAAUGAGGAAUGAUGCUUACCUCAAUUCAAAAAUUGCAAAGGAGAGGUUGAAGAAAUGGCAUGAUCAAUUGGUAAAUCAAAAGAAUUUUGCCAAGGGACAAAGAGUCUUGCUUUAUGACUCAAAGCUUCAUCUUUUUCUGGGAAAAUUGAAAUCAAGGUGGACGGGUCCUUUCAUAAUUCAUGAUGUGCAAUCAAAUGGAGUAGUGGAACUAUUAAACUUCAAUAGCACUCGAACUUUCAAAGUGAAUGGGCAUCGUCUCAAGCCCUAUAUGGAAUCAUUUUCCCGAGACAAGGAGGAAUUUAUCCUCCUUGAUCCACCUCCAACAUGAAAACACUCAGUUCAUGGUUGAACUUAGUCUCUUCAAAGACUAAAAAGUUCAUGCUCUUUUUGUUCCCUUUUGCAUUAAUUUUAGUUUAAUCUAGUUUUUCUUUUUCUUUUCUUGUGUAUAUGCAUGUUUUGAUUUUUAUUUUUGCCCUUGAGUUCAUUCUAAUGUGGUUUGAAUUGGUUCUUGUGUUAACAUGUAGGUAGGAAAGCUUGAAGAAUGAAAACAAGGGAAAACAGGGGAGAAAAGCCAAGACACAUCAAAAUUCGCACCACCCAUGCCCCUUGUGCGAAAUUUUCACACAACACAUCCCCUUGUGCGAAUUCUCUUUUGUGACAAAUUUUCAAAAAGCAUGCUCUCGGUCCCUACCCAAAAUCUCAGUGCGAAAAUCACAGGAAUGCAAACCUUGUGCGAACCUUGUGUGAAUUCGCUUUUGUGACCAAUUUUCAAAAGCAUGCUCUCUGUCUUGGACCACCACAGGAAUGCGAAAUUUUCGUACUACCCAUCACCUUGUGCGAAAUUCGCACUUUCUCUUUAAAAGCCAUUUUCUCUUCUUCAAUUCUAAGCUUCUUCUUCUUCAAUUCUCUCCACACCUCUCUUUCGAUCACCAUUUUCCAUCCACAAGGUCCUCUCCUUCAUCAUCCCUCAUCAGAGAUUCAAAUCAAAAUGGCUAAAUGGGUUUCCCUUGGGUGAGCUUGAUGGAGAAGAGGGUGGCCAUGCAGGAGUGAGUUGGAAAAGUAAGGCUUUGGGUGUGGGGAGUGCUGGAACAAAAAAAAUGGUAUCUUUGAUCUACAAGCUCUAAGUUUUCUUUUCAUUCAUGUUUGAUCCAAAGACACAUUUCUUUCAACAGGAUGCUUUUCUGAAAGUGUCCAUAUUAAUAUGCAUUUUUUUGAACCAUGUCACUAGGUGCAUGUUCUCCUCGAGCUGGCUCUUGUCUAGUGCUUUUUUCCAAGUGAUGAGCUCUGUCAAAAUCACCUCAAAACUGGUGACGUCCACUUUAGUAGUCACUCAACUAGUCGAUACAUACUCUAGCACCAAAGUACCGACAAUUCUUAUUUUAAUUGAGCUCUUCUCAUCCGGAACAAGUCACGCAAGACCACGAUCAACAACCUUAACUCUCAUAUCGUCCUUAAGAAGAAUGUCUGAAGGCUUUAGGUCCUUGUGUAUAAACUCUGAUGGGCUGAUCCAAGGAGGUAUUCAACACCCCUUGCUACAUCCAAUCCAACAACUAGCUCUCCAAUCCAUUCAAGUCACAUCCUUCUCAUUAUAAUUUAGCAAACACAUUCUAGUUAUCACAACUCUCAGCUUUAUUUUCCCAACCAGAAUAAUCACCAGAGAAGUAAAAGGUACAUGGUAGUGGAUAUAAGACCCAUACACACUGAAAAAUAUGACCAGUAUAGAAUAAACACUCAUCCAAAAUCCGAUUCCAACCACCUGCUCAAAAUCAUUGUCAAAAACUUUGGAAAAGAACUUUGAAAGUUGAAAUUACUUCAUUGGGCUAAAUAGGACAUGAUGAAUCCAUUUCUAAAAGUAGAGUAAUUAGCUUUCAAAACUAAGUCACUGAACUGUCUCAACCCAACAAACUGACUAAGUUAAAAGAGAAUAAUCACUCUAAAAUUUCAAGUGUCAUUGUGAAACUGAACCUCCUUAGAUCAUUGACAAGUUGAUACUCAAGGAUUUGUGUGUCCUUCCCCCCAUAUAUUUCAUCUAUAGCCUCCUCUCCACCUAUCUCCUUUCCCUUAGACCCUCUAAUCAUAUUCAGAUCCACAAGGAUAGAACCAAGACCGAUUUUUUUCCCAUUACUAGCAUCAAUGACGAUCAAAACAAACAAGCAGGCCACCAAAACCACAAAGUAAGCAGCAAACACAAUCAAACACUAUCCCCAAGAAUAAUGAAAGUAAGAAAGGAUUGGAAGACCAGGUACAGAAAGCUAAAGGUUCCAAAAUAGAGCAUCCAUGAUCACGACUUGAUUAACAUUCCUCUUUCAUUCAAACUGAUGGUGGACUUUAGUUGUUUUAUCAAUUACAAAAAAAAAAAAAAAAAAAAAAUCAGUCUACAUUCAUGGGUUUUCACUUAUAGAAGGGAUCUCAAGUGUGGAAUCUAAAACAAAGACCCAGAUUGGAACACCCAUGUGCUGAAUAGGGAGAAACAUAGGAUAUAAUGGAAUGGAGCUUUAAAAGAGAAUGAGUGUAGACCCUUAAUUUUGUCCUCCUAGCACAUGUCUUAUUAGAUACUUAUUCGAUACUUUACAGUAGCUCCUUGGUGGCCCAUAUCUACUCACAUUACUUACCUUUCUUGAACCACCUCGGAGACUCUGAUUGAGGGAUUGCCUAACCCCUUAUUAUGACCUCGGCAGCUCUAAUUUAGACUUAGACACUUUCCUAAACGCCUUAGGCCCACUUAGACACUUCAUUGGGCUUAGUUCACUUAGGUCCACUUUAGCACUUUUUAAACCCACUUUUUAUAUGGCUUGCAUGAUUGCAUGGCCUACCCGGCUUGUGUGGCUUAUAUGGAUUUCUUUAUUUUUUUUUUACUACAAGUUUUCUAAAUCAUAUUUCUUGGCUUGUUGGGCAUGAGGAAACGGGCCGCCACCUAUUUGGAAGGAGAACCGACAAAAUUUUGAAAAAAAGGAGAUUUUGUUUUUUUUUAGAAGGAUAACACAUAUAUUAUUUCCAUAGGGAAUCGAUCAUAAAAGGGAAGAAAAUAAGAAAGAGAGACAAAAAAGGAAGGAAUGAGAGGAUUUUGCUCUAGCGAGAUUUGGGGCGUUCUUUGGGAAGACUGAUAUAUAUACGUGAGAGAGGAAGAAAAAAAAUGGGGAGAGGAUUCUUUGAUUGUUAAGGGCAGAAAAGCGCACGAGGGUGGAAGAGGAGCAAUUGCAGCCGACUUUGUCCAGGUAUGCUUCUGGUUACUCUGGGUGUUCUGACCCAUAUUUGAUUUCUCCAUUUUGGUCAUUUAGAAAUAUUCAAUGUCUUGUUGUUCGGUGUGGACGAAAAGGGCCACAAGUUGUUCUUCUGGGAUUGGUCGUUUACUACUCCACCUUGUUUCGAUUUUGAUUAUUUUAUAUGUCAUUGAUGUCUUUGGAAAUAUAGAACUCCAUGCUUGAAUAUUAUCACGCUCGGUUUUUCGUUUAAAUCCUAUUCUGCAUAGUUCCCUCCGCUCUUAACCCAUGGAUUAAUACUUGAAGUGGGGUUAUUUAUGCUUACUGAUCAACGUCUUCUGUUUUUUCCUUCUCCGGAUAUCUCACAUUCGGAAUUCUGUCCGGCCCAACGUUCCAUCUUCUCCGGAUAUCUCACGUCCGAAAUUCUAUCCGCCGACAUUUCACAUUCUCCGGAUAUCUCACAUCCGGAAUUCUGUCCGGCCCAACGUUCCAUCUUUUCCGGAUAUCUCACAUUCGGAAUUCUGUCCGGCCCAACGUUCCAUCUUCUCCGGAUAUCUCACGUUCGAAAUUCUGUCCGGCCCAACAUUCCAUCUUUCUCCGGAUAUCUCACAUCCGGAAUUCUGUCUGGCCCAACGUUCCACCUUCUCCGGAUAUCCCACAUCUGGAAUUCUGUCCUGCCCAACGUUCCAUCUUCUCCGGAUAUCUCACGUCCGGAAUUCUGUCCGCCGACAUUUCACCUUCUCCAGAUAUCUCACAUCCGGAAUUCUGUCCCCCAACGUUCCAUCUUCUCCGGAUAUCUCACGUCCGGAAUUCUGUCCGCCGACAUUUCACCUUCUCCGGAUAUCUCACAUCUGGAAUUCUGUUCGCCGACAUUCCAUCUUUCUCUGGCCAACAUUCCAUCUUUCUCCGGAUAUCUCACAUCCGGAAUUCUGUCCGUCGACAUUCCAUCUUUCUCCGGAUAUCUCACAUCUGGAAUUCUGUCCGCCGACGUUCCACCUUCUCCGGAUAUCUCACAUCCGAAAUUCUGUCCGACCGACGUUCCACCUUCUCCAGAUAUUUCACAUCCACCGCCUGACGCCGGAUGGGAGAGGAGGGCGAUUCAACUUCCCCGGUCAGACAUGUCCGAAUCCUCCUCUCUUCGCUUCUUUGAUUGGAAAUUUACUAUUUUUAAUUGAAUUUUUGAAUCCUUUUACGACUAAGUGUUUCUGGCUUUGAAAAAUCCAUCCUUAGAACCAUUCUAGUCACUAAAAUUCGGAUUUUAAUAAAUUUGCUGCCACUUUCCUCCAGGCAUGCAUUUUCAUUAUUUUAUUUUAUUUUCAACUACUUUCAUGGUUUUCUUGAUUUCAAUAAGCAUGAACAAAAUUCAUGGUUCCAAAUAAUGGAAUUCACUGAACCAAUUCAUGCAAAAGCAAUUAGGGCUUUGGUGGGGGCCCGACAUUUAUGAUAUUCUCAUCAAUAUUGUUUGCUUGAUAUUUGAUUGAUUGUGAUUCCUCUUUGUGGCAUUGAGAUUAUUUCGCACUUGUUACUAAACAACUUGAUUCCAUAGAGGAGUAUCAGCUUGCUAUCCAGGUACGCUCUUCCUGCCCUCAAAACUCUAAAAUUCUAUGAAUGUGUUUGUCAUUAUGAGCCAUGUCCAUGUUUUGAUGCCAUAAUUGAUUGCCUUGAUGCUUGUUUGAUCAUCUUUGAUAAAAAUGUUUAUCAUGUCUCAUAUUUUCAAACUAAUCUUUGAUGUCUUGUGGAAGCGCUUAAGAAGCUAUCCAGGUACGUACCCUAAAUCUUCUUCAUGAUUGUGAUUGGUUUUCCUAUUAAGCAUGCUAUUUUUUUUUUCGAAAUCACUUAGCCUACUUGGGUAUCCAUGAUUAACCAUUUAAUUGCUAUAUUUCCCUCAACUAGUCAGUAGAGACCUUUGUAGGGCUUAGAAGGGUGCUACCUCCUAGAGGUACCUUCCCAAUAAGUAACCUGAUCCCCGGACCUAGACUCAGGUUUCUCAAAGACAUGUUUUUUCCAAAACUAUGGAGUCACUUUUUAGGGUUUUUCUUUCUUGUUUUAUUUUCCCUUUAAAAUAAAAAUAAAAUAAGUGGCGACUCCAACUUUUCUAAAAUUAAUUUUUUUCACAAAUAAAAAGUGAGUCUCGCCGAUCGAGUGGGGACGCACAUGAAAAAUGCGAGUCCACAAAUUGGCGACUCUGCUGGGGAUUUUGAGGAUCAAGCUUGAACACUAGUUAAGGAAAAUAUGGGGUUUAAUUGAUCGAUUAGAGGGUAACCCCUUUUCCUAGGCAAGGUGAUUCGAUUUGCUUGAUUGGUCUGCUAUCUUGACAUGUUUGAUUGCCUUGGAUGAUCACUUGAUUGCUUGCUCACUUUAGCAUGAUUCACUCUCACAUAUGCUAGAUAGGACUUUGAUUUUAUGAUAUUCAUCUGCUUGGUAUGACUGCUUGUUGCAUGACAACUCUUUCUCUUGCAUGAUCGUAUGAUCGCUUGUCUUUGUUCACUCUCUCACUUUAGAUCUUAGGUUUUUUGGAUGCACCCACAUCCUUCAUUGUGCACUUUAGAUUAUUCCUGAGUGUUGAGAGAUGGGAGAGCCUUCACCCUUAAGAAACCCCCUGGGAAUGCGAGGAAGUGCAUGUGUGGAGGUGAUGACCACCUUGCAUGGAAGCACCCCGUCUCCUUGGAGGCGUGCAGAGGGUUGCGUACCGCCGGAGGGUACUAUCGCUUCUGCUAGGGAUCCUUUGACCCACCCAUUUUACCCUAUAGAGCCACCUCAACCUUGUAGGUUAGCCUAGACCCAAUUAAGAUUUCAUCCUUACACGUGGGUGCAUCUGUGGACCUUUAGAGCUGCCUUGGUCACAAUUGGGUUUAGUUAUCAUCUCCGUAGUCUCAUUUUGGUGUGCUCAGAGAUUGGUACAUAUUUGUUUCAAUUGGACCACAUUUCUGCUUAGUGAUUAGUGUGUCUCCACCUUUUCUGAGUUUCCUUCAUGUCAUUUAUCUUUUCGUGCCUUUGUACCUUAUAGGAGGGUUAUUCGCUUCAGUUUAGAUUCGACUUCUUAGAUCAAAGUUGGAGAUAAAUUGAUCAGGGUUUCAAAGCAGUCAGGUAUGGAUCUUUAGCAUGUUAUAGUUGAUCGAAUUACAGUCACCAUGACUCUAUUCAAUAGACAUUAGCAGGUUUGAGCUAGAGGAUUGAUGGACAGUGAGAUAGAUAGCAUCCAUUUCAGGAUGAGAUGUCGUAUGAUUCAUUACCACCCACCUCCACCACCCAGUUAGCCAGUGACAUUGUUGAGGGUGACUUCGUACAUAUGAUGAGUUUAGUGGAUUAUGAGUCAAAGUUUAUCAUAUGAGAGUUCUUAUAGAGGACGUUAGUUUUUCUCAGAUGGGAGAUUUGAUUGACAUGAUUUUCUUCAUGACGAGCAUGAGAUGGACGUAUUGGAUGAUAGUUGGAUGCUUGGCACAUAUUAGCCAGAGAUAGUUCACUCUCUUGAUAUGCUUGAGAUCUUCAUUGUUGAGAGUUCAAAAGAGAUUCAGUUUAUUUAAGUUGGCGCAUCCCACUUAUGUUGAUGAUAUGUUUGAGGACGAUAUUAGCCCGGUUAUGGUCAUGGAGAUUCAUCUAUUCCAGGAGACCCUAGGGACUUACUUGGAGUACACCACUUGUCAUUAGAGAGUUGACCCCAAAGAGGAAAUAUGAUUGACAUAUCUGGAUAGAGACCAGUUCUCAAACCCCACCAAUGUGGAUUAGUUGAAGAAGUAUUACAUUUGAGACCAUGGUCGCAGGAUGGGUGGCCAUCAUUUUGGUUAGCCUUAUACCUUAUCACCUUUAUUGAUAUAUUAAACCAUUGCUAGCCCAUUGAGCCUCACGUGGUAUGUUAUAGCCUUAUUUCUUUCUUAUAGCCUUGAUUACCAUUUCUACACUCGGGUUGGGACCCUUUGGUGUAUAUGCAUGCUUUGCUAUGAAAGUCUCAUGAGCUUUAGACUUAUAGGCCUAUCUUCUCAUUCUUGUCAUUAUCUCCUUAUCACCCCGUUUGUUCUAUUUUGCUAUCAUCACAUUUCCAUUCUCUUUCUUGCUUUUAUCAUUAUUUGCUUCAUUUUAUCUCUUCUCUUUCUUGGGCUGAUGAUUCUUCACAUCUUAGUGCAAAGAUGGCAGUCAUAUCACUCCAUUCAUCCCAUCAUUUGGCAUUGAUUCGGAGAUUUUAGUUUGAGAGGUUGUCUCAUGGGUAGGGGUUCAUGUAUUCAUCAGUAAUUUGAGAGAGUUUAUUCAUUUCUUGUAUCUUUCCCAUUGGAGUUUGACUUAUUGAUGAUCAGAGCAUGCGCUAAAAAAAAAAAAAAAAAAAAAAAAAAAAAAAAAAAAGAAAGAAAAAGCGCAAUGAUAUGUUUGUGUGUGGAAUCUUGCUCCAUUGGGCACUUAUGUCACCUUUUGAGGUCUGUUUAUUGGGUAUAUUUGUCAUUGUGGGUUCUUGUGAGAUUUUUAUAUGGGUUUUCACUCCUUGAGCCAUUCUUGUCAUGCAUUUGGAGUCUCGAGGGUUCAUGUGAGAGUUCUAUGGUAUCCUAUGCUUCUUGGACCAUGGUUGAUAUGUAUUAGGUAUGAGAGAUGAGUGACCUUUUACUAGGGUCUCCAGAUCAUUGUCUUAUCCACCAUUCCAUCAUUGGUGAUAUGACUUUCCUUUAUUGUACUAAUAUGAGUUGAUCAUCAUUCAUUCCACUUUCUCAGUGCCUUCUUUUGUAUCUUAUCACCUCUUUCCAGAUCAUUGUUCCACAUUUUAUCUAUUUCCUACAUAUUGAUACACAUUUUUGAUUCGAUACCUUCUUCACAUCACUCACAUGUUUCAUUGAUGGUUUGACCACUUAUCCUUUCUCUUGUUUCGCCAUCAACAUUUCCUUUGGUUACCUUUAGGUUCAUGGCUCGUGAGAUUUUUUCUAUGCAUUACAUUUUGUACAUGAGGGUAUGGGUUUGAUCAUUGGGUAUUUGAGCCUAGUUUCCCUUCAUUUCUUUCACCCUAUCACCCUGGCCUACGUUACGUCCCGUGUCUUAAGACCACCCUGAGGGUCAUGAGAUCAAAUAUUAUCUUUGACAGCCUCUACUUAGGUUGGUGUUUGGGAUUUGGUUGAUAUAUAGACGUUGUUCUGUUUCUUCUUCUAGGAGAUGCUUCUUUGAUGCUUGGAGGUGAUCUAGUGUUGGAUGUAGACGAUUACUUCAUUUUUAUGGAUGAUAUUUGAUGUUGUUUGGCUUCCCAUUCUACUGCACAUCAGAUAUCCAUACUAGGGCAUAUUCCCCUUUCAUUUGGUUGAGAUGAGCCCCUAGUGGAGCACUUUCUUUGAGCCUGGGCAUUUUCAUCAAUCAGAGAUCCCUAGUGGAGCAUGUUGAGAUGAUAUCAGUUCUAGUGGAGCAUUGUUGAGCUUAUUGACAGUUUUUAUGAUUCUAGGUUCCAUUUGCGGAGUAUUUUUGAGAUAGACUAGUGGAUCAUUAUUGAGUUGCAGGCAGUUUUCAGUGCAGUGUAUUGAUUACUACCAAAAAGUACUAUUUUGUAGACCUAAUUAUAAUGGUUUUAAGCACCUUUGAGUAGUAAUUAUAUUCAUUUAACCCAAUUAAUUCAUUAAGGUCCUUAGUAAUUGGUUUUAACCAUUUUGUGGCAAGUUUACAUGUUUUUAUCAGCUUAUGAAUCAAUUCAAGCAUGCCAAAUGAUGGAGGAGCUUCUUGGACAAGUUAAAGCAAGCUUUUAGCUACACCAAAGCAAGCCAACAAAAGGAGAGAAGCAAAGAGAAGCAAAGGGAAGCAAAGAGGAAAACAGAGGACAGCAGCUGCAGUCUUCUUUGGCACUUUUGGAGCACUUCCCGAAGUCUAUUUUCUACAUGCUAUAUAUCAUUUCAAAGCUCAGGAAGUCAAGAAUCCAACGCUUCAAACCGUGUACAAUUUGGAGCUGAAAUGAGGAAGAUAUGGCCUUCGGAAGACAACUGCUCCAGGCUUGUGCGAAAAUUUCGCACAACACCUUCCAAAUUCGCAUAGCCCAUGCGUGGUGCGAAUUUUCCUCUGUUUUUGCCGACUCCACACGAGAUCUUUUCUUUUGGAUAUUUUUGUAUAAAUUUCCAUUCUUCUCCUUGUAAUCCACCAAUCAUAAGAUUUCUUAGCUAGGAAGGUUGGAAAAACUUCUCUAUUUAUAUCCCCUUGCAUCCGUUGUAACAAAUAUUGAUAUAUAGAUAUAGAAUACAUAUUACGUUUGACACUUAGAAUAUUUACAGAGCUCUCCCGUUUCUAUUUUCUUAGUAGACAAACAGCCUCUGAGGGCUUUUCCUCAGAGGAUGAUUGGCUAAAACUUUUAGUUUCUCAAAGUAUGGAUGUUAUGUGAUGGCUUGGAUGCACUCCCAUGGAAAUUUCUCGCACCUGGAAGGUAAGGUAGUCGUUUUUCAUUAAAGGUUCAUUAAUGCAAAGUUUGGUUUUUAUUUUCUUUGGACAACUUCCAACGGCCAAUACUUGAUAAGCUUUUGGAUUUCUAUCCAUUAGUUAUCUCCUACGAGCUAUUGGAAGGUGAGGUUUUCAAUUCCAAGUUUUGCAUUAAUCCGUUAGAACCAAUUUCAAUGGCCAUUAAAAGGUGAGUUUAUCACCUGGAAUGACUUUGAGUUGCCAAUAUUUGGUAAGCUUUUGGCUUUAGACCAUUAGUUAUCUCUUACGAGCCAUUCAAAGGAAGUCUAAGGUGAAUAACCAUUGAUGAAAUUCACUACCAUCUAUUUUGCCAUUUUAAAGGAUUAAAACUUGAUUUGCUAAAUCCAUACCGGUUCGGGAAGCAAGCAUCACCAUAGUUGCAACCCCAACGCGAGGAGCCUAUCCUGAGAUUUCCAAUUUGCAUAAGAGCCAGAGCAUAACUAUCCUAUCUUUGAGAAACUUGUUUUUACACCCUUUCAUUUUAGUCUUUAAUGUUAGCUUAGAUUAGUUUAAAUCUUUCUAAAACAUUUACAUCUUCUUUUAAAGCUAACAUCCAUAAGAAAAUCACCUAUUUUCCUAAUUUGAAUAUCACUUGUGUUUGCGAAAACCCUUCCCAGUGAACGAUCCUAGAACCACUAUGCUAUAGUAGCUUGGCUACUUUAGUAAUAGUAUUCAAGGUAUAAAUUUUGUUGAUACGCCUUUAAAGCUAAGCUACCAUGAGUCGAAUCAUGUAUAGAUCUUAUAUAUUGGGGUAUAUUUCCUCAUUUUGAGGUCACCAGAUUCCCAUAAGAUUUAGUUAGAGAUUCAUCAGAGACGUGCUUCUACUCUCGAGAUUAUCAUAUUCCUCAUCAUUUUGGUUAUUCAUUUGAGAUUAGAUUUAGAGUAUCUUCCUUGAGGCAUCGACUGAUACUUCAUUUUGAUUUCUUAGCGGAUUAUUGUUGAGUUGGAGACAGUUGAUUGAUGAUGUUGGAUUCAUCCUUUUGAUUGUGCAUCAGAUAUCCACAUUGGGGCAUAUUCCUCAUUUUCUCCGAGAUUCCUAGUCGUUUUGGAUCAUGUGGCUAUCUUAUUCAUGGUUAUAGAGAUGCUUGACGGAUUCUUUAUUGUACAUCAGAUAUCCAUACUGGGGCAUAUUCCCCUCUCCAUGAUGAGAUUAUGUUCGAGCAGCGGUGUAUAGAUGGAUGAUCACUGUUGGUUGUUUAUCUCAUGACUUCGACAUCAGAUAUCCAUACUGGGGCAUAUUCCCCUCUCCUUUACGAGAUUUGUUUGGGCAGUGGUAUGAGGAUGGAUGAUUAGUGUCAGUUGUUUACCUCAUGAAUUUGAUAUCAAAUCUUAUACUGGGGCAUAUUUCCCCAUUUUCUUUGAGUAUCCUUGAGAUUGAGACAGUGGCCAGCAUGGUUUUAGAUUGAGAUUAGUUUGAAGCUUCUGAUGAUUGACUGUAUCAGGACUUCCCUACAUGGAUUUGUUGAGAUAGAGAUGGAUCACAUCAGGUUUCACCCGAGGAGCAUAGGUGGAUCCUUUAGACAAAUGUUCAUGAGAUAGAUUGCUUUAGUCAUUUUUACCUUGUAGAUUGGGUUAUCCAGACGAGCGGCAUUUUGUGCACUUUGAGAUUUACUUUUAGAUUAGCCAUGAUAUAUGCACUUUGAGAUUUACCUUUUGAGAUUUGUCAAUAGAGCAACUUUUCAGACACAGAGAGUUCUUUCAGUUUUGACUUUUCAGAGGUUUGUCGUGAUGCAUCGAUUUCUGACAUAUUGAUUUCAGCGGAUGAUUGAUUUACUGGUUGUUUUAGCAGUGUGAGCACCCUGGAUACCAAGGCGUAUCUCCCUUCUUGAGUUCAGUAGUCCGACUCUUGUCACUUUGAGUAUACAACUUUGAGCCCAUUUACUUCCUAUCCACUUUCGAGUGGUCUUCCUUAUCUGUUCCUACUAGGCCCUGAGCCUCAUAGCCCUGAGCUGUCCAUUCCUUCUAGACCUUGAGUCAUAUAGCCUUGAUUUAUCCUUUCCUUCUAGACCCUGAGUCUUAUAGUCCUAGGCUUUUCUUUCUUCCCUUAGGUCCUGAGCCUGGUAGCCCUGAGCUAUCGUUUCCUAUAGACCCGGAGUCUUUCCAGCCUUGAGCUGAGCCUUCAUCAUUUGGUCGCCCAUGAGUGGUUUGACCGGGAGUUUGCGUAUUGCAUUCUCCUUCUAGCCGAUCAGUCAUAGAGCCCAGAGCUCAUAGCCCUGAGCUAUUCAUUGUAACCCCGAGUUACUCAUUGCAUCAUGACCUAGAUUCAUUUAUGUCAUCCAUAGCCUUGAGCUAUUCAUUGUAACCCCGAGUUACUCAUUGCAUCAUGACCUAGAGUCAUUUAUGUCAUCCAUAGCCCUGAGCUGUUCAUCAUAACCCUGAGUUACUCAUUGCACCAUGACCCAGAGUCAUUCAUUCCAUCCAUAGCCCGAAGCUAUUCAUCAUAACCCUGAGUUACUCAUUGCACCACGACCCAGAGUUAUUCAUGACAUCUUGAGCCCUGAGCUCAUGACCCAGAGUCGUUUGCAUCCUUCACAUCCCUUAGAUGUUUCGUUUCAUCAUUUUAGCCACUUGUGAAUGACCUCGACCAAACACUCUGAGUCGGAAAGCAUCCUGAUCGGCUAUCCAUUUAGAGCCCUGAGUUCUCGACCAAGAGUCGAUUUUCAUUUAUGACCUAGAGUCAUUUCUUUCCAUUUAGAGCCCGAGCUCAUGACCCGGAGUCAUUCACUCCAUCUUGACCCAGAGUCAUUCUUAGCAUUUAUAGCCUUGAGCUCACGACCCAGAGUGGUUCAUCCUAUUUCUGACCCGGAGUCGUUCAUCCUAUUCCCGACCCAAAGUCGUUUGUCCUAUUUUUGACAAAGAGUCAUUCAUCUUAUCCAUGACCUAGAGUUAUUCAUCUCAUCCAUGACUUUGAGUCAUCAUCUUCAUAUUUUUUCAUCUUUGUGCUACUCAUCACAUACCUUUCUCUCUUUGCUGCCAUUCCCCCACAUAGAGUUGUUCCAUCCUUGUCGUUGCAGCCCCAUGUUCCGACCUUACUCUCACCAAGUGCUAAGACAAAAUCUCUGGUCCUUCUUUAGUUCUUCGGUAUAGUUCACUUCGUUCCACUCAUUAUUCGUUUUUUUUACUCACAUUCCUUACACUCGUGAUCUAUACCGAAGAGGGGCAUAUUUGUAGACCCUCAAUUUUGUCCUCCUAGCACAUGUCUUAUUAGAUACUUAUUCGAUACUUUACAGUAGCUCCUUGGUGGCCCAUAUCUACUCACAUUACUUACCUUUCUUGAACAACCUCGGAGACUUUGAUUGAGGGAUUACCUAACCCCUUAUUAUGACCUCGGCAGCUCUAAUUUAGACUUAGAUACUUUCCUAAACGCCUUAGGCCCACUUAGACACUUCAUUGGGCUUAGUUCACUUAGGUCCACUUUAGCACUUUUUAAACCCACUUUUUAUAUGGCUUGCAUGAUUGCAUGGCCUACACGACUUGUGUGGCUUAUAUGGAUUUCUUUAUUUAUUUUUUUUUACUACAAGUUUUCUAAAUCAUAUUUCUUGACUUGUUGGGCAUGAGGAAACAGGGGAGAACCAACAAAAUUUUGAAAAAAAUGAGAUUUUGUUUUUUAUUUAGAAGGAUAGCACAUAUAUUAUUUCCAUAGGGAAUCGAUCAUAAAAGGGAAGAAAAUAAGAAAGAGAGACAAAAAAGGAAGGAAUGAGAGGAUUUUGCUCCAGCGAGAUUUGGGGGGUUCUUUGGGAAGGCUGAUAUAUAUACGUGAGAGAAGAAGAAAAAAAAAAGGGGAGAUAAUUCUUUGAUUGUUAAGGGCAGAAAAGCGCACGAGGGUGGAAGAGGAGCAAUUGCAGUCGACUUUGUCCAGGUAUGCUUUUGGUUACUCUGGGUGUUCUGACCCAUAUUUGAUUUCUCCAUUUUGGUCAUUUAGAAAUAUUCAAUGUCUUGUUGUUCGGUGUGGACGGAAAGGGCCACAAGUUGUUCUGCUGGGAUUGGUCGUUUACUACUCCACCUUGUUUCGAUUUUGAUUAUUUUAUAUGUCAUUGAUGUCUUUGGAAAUAUAGAACUCCAUGCUUGAAUAUUAUCACGCUCGGUUUUUCGUUUAAAUCCUAUUCUGCAUAGUUCCCUCCGCUCUUAACCCAUGGAUUAAUACUUGAAGUGGGGUUAUUUAUGCUUACUGAUCAACGUCUUCUGCUCUUUCCUUCUCCGAAUAUCUCACAUCCAGAAUUCUGUCCGGUCCAACGUUCCACCUUCUUCGGAUAUCUCACAUCCAGAAUUCUGUCCGGCCCAACGUUCCAUUUUCUCCGGAUAUCUCACAUUCGGAAUUCUGUCCGGCCCAACGUUCCAUCUUCUCCGGAUAUCUCACAUCCGAAAUUCUGUCCGCCGACAUUUCACCUUCUCCGAAUAUCUCACAUCUGGAAUUCUGUCCGACCCAACAUUCCAUCUUUCUUCGGAUAUCUCACAUCCGGAAUUCUGUCCGGCCCAACGUUCCACCUUCUCCGGAUAUCCCACAUCCGGAAUUAUGUCCGGCCCAACGUUCCAUCUUCUCCGGAUAUCUCACGUCCGGAAUUCUGUCCCCCAACGUUCCAUCUUCUCCGGAUAUUUCAUGUCCGGAAUUCUGUCCGCCGACAUUUCACCUUCUCCGGAUAUCUCACAUCUGGAAUUCUGUCCGCCGACAUUCCAUCUUUCUCCGAAUAUCUCACAUCCGGAAUUCUGUCCGUCGACAUUUCAUCUUUCUUCGGAUAUCUCACAUCCGGAAUUCUGUCCGCCGACGUUCCACCUUCUCCGGAUAUCUCACAUCCGGAAUUCUGUCUGACCGACGUUCCACCUUCUCCAGAUAUUUCACAUCCGCCGCCUAACGCCGAAUGGGAGAGGAGGGCGAUUCAACUUCCCCGGUCAGACAUGUCCGGAUCCUCCUCUCUUCGCUUCUUUGAUUGGAAAUUUACUAUUUUUAAUUGAAUUUUUGAAUCCUUUUACGACUAAGUGUUUACGGCUUUGAAAAAUCCAUCCUUAAAACCCUUUUAGUCACUAAAAUCCGGAUUUUAAUAAAUUUGCUGCCACUUUCCUCCAGGCAUGCAUUUUCAUUAUUUUAUUUUAUUUUCAACUAUUUUCAUGGUUUUCUUGAUUUCAAUAAGCAUGAACAAAAUUCAUGGUUCCAAAUAAUGGAAUUCACUGAACCAAUUCAUGCAAAAGCAAUUAGGGCUUUGGUGGGGGCCCGACAUUUAUGAUAUUCUCAUCAAUAUUGUUUGCUUGAUAUUUGAUUGAUUGUGAUUCCUCUUUGUGGCAUUGAGAUUAUUUCGUACUUGUUACUAAACAAACUUGUUUCCAUAGAGGAGUAUCAGCUUGCUAUCCGGGUACGCUCUUCCUGCCCUCAAAACUCUAAAAUUCUAUCAUGCGUCAUAUUUUCAAACUAAUCUUUGAUGUCUUGUGGAAGCGCUUAAGAAGCUAUCCAGGUACGUACCCUAAAUCUUCUUCAUGAUUGUGAUUGGUUUUCCUAUUAAGCAUGCUAUUUUUUUUUUCGAAAUCACUUAGCCUACUUGGGUAUCCAUGAUUAACCAUUUAAUUGCUAUAUUUCCCUCAACUAGUCAGUAGAGACCUUUGUAGGGUUUAGAGGGGUGCUACCUCCUAGAGGUACCUUCCCAAUAAGUAAUCUGAUCCCCGGACCUAGACUCAGGUUUCUCAAAGACAUGCUUUUUCCAAAACUAUGGAGUCACUUUUUAGGGUUUUUAUUUCUUGUUUUAUUUUCCCUUUAAAAUAAAAAUAAAAUAAGUGGCGACUCCAACUUUUCUAAAAUUAAUUUUUUUCACAAAUAAAAAGCGAGUCUGGCCGAUCGAGUGGGGACGCACGUGAAAAAUGCAGGUCCACAAUGAGCAAGGACCAAACACCUAACAAAUAUGAAGAAACCCGAUUCAUUUUUCUUUAUAUUUGGGUUUAAAGGUCGGUGGAUUGAACCAGGAAAAUAUCUUAAGAGAAAAAUUCCAGGAUACAAGAAGGUUUUCAAAUAUGAAAUAACCAAUCAAAGCACGAUUAGAUUAUCCUCGAAUGAAACCAAAGAAAUAUAAGCUAGCCACCAUAACCAAACCAAUGCGACCUAAUAAACAGUGAAAAAUAAUCACAUGAAAAAAAAAAGAGAAGUAUGAUGAUCAAUAAUAAUCCAUGAACCUGAUCAGUCUUACCAGAUAAUGCUCUCCUUCAGUCGGAGUUUGCUUGGCUUCAACCCAACUUCUUAUUCUCUACUCCGCCUCCAUUUGCUCUUGCUUCUCCAAAAAGUCUCAUCCGUCAUUUUUCUCUUGCUUCACCUAAAAACAGAACCUUCAUUUUCAAGUUUCUCAAUGUCUCCUCUUAUAUAUCUCCUUUGCCUGCUCUACUCUCCCAAAAAAACCUUUUGAAUCUCCUCCAUAAUUCACCAGCCUCUCCUUCCCAAUGGUCUUGCUCCACUUCACCACCAAGACUCUUUUAUUUUCCAAAAACAUCCCGCCUCUCUCUCCUUCUCUAUGCCGUUCAAAUCAUUUUUCAUUCCCCAAGUCCCAACAUAUAUCCCUUUUCCAAUUCUCUAUUUCCUUUUUUCUUUCUUCGCAUUUCCAAUUAUGGUGCUCAUGCCAAGUUGAUUGCAUCAUAUGGAGAAGAUGAUCUGCAUCCAAAUGGUCAUGCAUGGCCAUGCAAAUGUGGGACCUCGAAAGAACUUAGGCGAUUGGUGAGGCCUAACUGAGGUGUAGUUCCAAUAGUGAAUCCAUGCUACAUGAAUUUUUUAUUUUUUAAAUUUUUUAAAAUUUUAAAUUUUUAUGUUUUUAUUUUUAUUUUAUUUUAUUGCCUAAGUAAAUAAAAUAAAAUAAGCAUUUUGGAAAAGAAAAGAAAAUAAAAUAAAAUGAAUAAAAUAAUAUAUAUAUAUAUAUAAAAUAAAAUAAAAUAAAAAGAUAAAUAGAUAUAAGUACGUGACGCAUAUUCAUGUAAGCUACAUUAGCCAUGUAAGCCAUGCAAAUGACUUAGGGGUGCUGAAGCAAGCCCUAAACGACUAGGUGUACUUAAAUGGGUCAGAUGUGCCUAAUGGGCCUAAAUAAGUCUAAACAAAUUGUCAUAAAUGUGUAUUUGGUAUCUAGAAAGACUUAAAGAGGUAAGAUAUGUGAGUAACAAGGUAUAAAGUAUUGAAAGAGUACUUAAUCAAGGUAUGCGCCAAUGGGACAAAAUGGAGGGUCUACAUAUGGGUCAUGGUUGUCACCAUAUAUGUUAAGGUUAGGUACCACAUAUGUCAUGGUUACUCCUACAUAUGUCAAAUUUGAGUCUCACGUAUUUAAGAGUGGGGAUAAGCACAAUUAUCAAGGUUUAAUUUUUUUAAAAAAUAUGUUUUAAUAUAACUUUUAAUAUGAAAAACCGAACCUAUGGCAUAAUAACAAUAAGAUUAUCCUUAUUCUAUAUAUAAUCAAUAUAUGUUUAAUAUACAUUUGAUGUCAAUUAAAGCAUAAAUGAAUGAACUUGUUUAAAGUUGUCCCUAGUUUCUAUAUAUAGUAGAACCUAUAUAAUAUAGAAUUAAACUAAAAACACACCAUAAGACUAUACAUAAACUUAAAGUAAAGUUGCUCAUGCAUCUACAAUCAAAUCUCUUGUAUCCAUCUUUAAGCAUUGCUUUAUAGGUAGACCUUAAAUUGCCAACAUCCAAACUUCAAAAAAAUAUAGAGUAUAUUAACAAACAGGAAAAUUGCAUCAUGAGGAGCACUCAAAUAUCCAAAUUUAUGAAGAAUUUCAAUAGCAAGCUAACCAUUACACCUUCUUUAUUUUACAAGAAUAAAUUAUUUCUUAGUAACAUGGGUAAAGAACCCAACUUCAAACAUUAAAAUAUUGAUAUAGCAAAAACGUAUGAAGGUUAAACAAAGGAGCAAAACCUAAAAUGGAAAUCAUUUCAAUUUGACCUAAUGAAGUUAUCAUUUCAAUCCAACCUCAACCAAAAUAUUUAAUUAUUUAAUCAUUAUUAUGAUUUUUUGAAAGCAAAAGCUUAAACCAAUUCAAAAGUACCAACAUCUAAUUCAACAACAUGUGUCUAAUAUUAUGAAUUUUAUACCAUGGAAGUUUGUGAUGUUAGUCAAUUGAGUAUGACAAUAUCAAAACACAUGUAAAGGUGUUAGGUUUGUCAAAACAUAUGUAAACACGUGUUGAAUUAUUACAUGCCACUCCACAUUCAUCAUGAGGAUUCAAUGUAAACGGAAAAAAAAAAAACAUAAUACAAUUUCCUUUUAAAAAACAUUUUCUCGUCUUUCCAUAAGCAAAUUUAACGUGAAUAACUAAUAACUUGUUGGAUACACUUCUCGUUUUAUGUUUAUAAAAAGAAAAAAUGAUAUUAAAUCCUAUAUAAAAUAUAAAUACUUAUUAAAACUUACCUUAAAAAAAUAAUAACUUAGAAAUAAUGUUUUAAAAAAAUUAAAGUAUUAAAAAUUUUUUACUACCUCAAAUUUAAAAAAUUUUAAAAGUAAUUUUCAAGGAAAUAAGAAUAUAAUUAUAUAUAUAUAUAUAUAUAUAUAUAUAUAAUAGUUACUAUGUUUUAUUUAGAAGUUACUGUUAUUUUCUAUUUUUAAGAAGAAAAAAUAGAAAGUAUAUCCAAUUGAACACUAAAUGAAUAAAUAAAAAUUUAAUUAGUCAACCUUUUUUUUAUUGUCAUUAAUUUUAUCACUAUCAUAAUUACCAUUUUCUUAUGCUUCCUUUUCUAUUUUUUUUUAUUUCUUUUUUAGGGAGGUUGUGAUUUUUCAAAAAACGUGGAUUUAUAUUAUUAUUUUUCUUAUUAAAUAUCUAUCGAGGACAUGUCUUUUAACAAUUAUAUAAUACAUUUCCAUCAAAAAUGAGAUUAGCAUAUUAUUUUUGUUUGCUAGGAAGAAUUAACAAUUGUAUUUUGAUUCAUAAUUAUUUUUCUAAAAAUUAUCUCCUAUAUGUAAAAAAUGUUAGAGUUUGAUGACCCGAAAAGAUUGUGGUAUUACAUAUGUGAUGAAGUUAAAAUUAUGAGAUUUUUUUGGGGUAUGUGAUGGCAGCAAAGGAAUGUGUGUGUAUAUGAUGAUAUAUAGUUUUAGGGUUAUGACGAUUAUACUGGUACUAUAGUCGCAGCUGGCAUCUCUCCCCUUUUAUACCAAUUUUUGACAUAGUGGAUUUUCUUCUCCUCUACUAAUGGUUUUUUCCGUCUAUAGUUUUUCACGAAAAUUUAUAUGUUCUUAUUUUGUUUUUCUUAUUACUUAUUCUCAUUACUAUGUUACAAAGAAAAAAUUAUUUAAAAUGUUUUGAUCAAUGAUUUAGUAUUUGAAACAUGAAUAUUUUUCCAUCAAUUUUUUUUUCAAUUAAAAUAUAUUGAUCCCUAAUAAAAAUAAAUACUCAAAUGAUCAAAUCUUUCCAAUAAGGAUAAAUAAGAUAAAUAAAAUGAAUAAAAGUCAAAACCCACAUGACCUUGUAAUGCAUGAUAUUAAAAAGUUAAAAAUCACAUGAAACCAAUGGACUUGUAUUGCAUGAUGUUAUAAAACUAAACCCACAUUAAGCCAUAACAAAAAUCAAACCCAUGAUAACCCAUGAUACAUGGAGAUAAAAGAUCAAAACCCACGUGAAACCAUGAUGCAUAACAUUAUAAAACCAUAAUACAUGACAUUAAAAAAAAAAUCAAAAUUCAUACAUGAAGACAAAUUAAGUGCAUAUUAUUAAAAAGUCAAGCCCCCCGUACGCAAUGAGUUUCAGUAGGUUUCAAAGAGGUUGUUUUCUACCGAUGGGUUGAUGAAGGUCUUAGGAGAGGGAGUUGGGUUUGAGGCAGUCUUUUGCUCAUAUUGGUGAGUUCAUUGUAGGAAAAGGUCUUCGUUAUGGUGCGAUGGAUCCCAUGGAGGCUUCGUAGGAUUGCAAAGAUGUGGAGGCUUUGUAAGAUUGCAAAGACAGUAUCGAGAGGUGAGGUCGUGGGCUGAGGUUGUAAAUGGUAGUGGCGGAGUGAGCUGUUUAGCUAUGUUAGGUUAAGAGAUGGGUGAAUGUAGUGUGAAUUUUCAUGGGUAGAGGUAAAGUGUGAGGGCCGUUGUUGUUUAGUGAGGUUUGAGGUGAAAUGGCGUAUUCUUCCAAAAAGAAAAAAGAAAAAAAUUAAAAUUGAAAUUGAAAUUAAAACAAAAAUUAAAAUCAAAAUUAAGAUUAACUAAAAUUAAAAUUAGAAUUAAAAUUAAAUUUAAAUUGAUAUCAAAAUUAUCAUACAAUAAACAUAUGUGAUUCCGAGGUCCCAAACAUCACUUUUAUUCCAUUAUAACAUAAUGAAAAAAAAUAAAAAUGGAUUAAAAAAAUAUAAAUUAAAUAAAAAUGAAACUAUAGGAAAAGUCAAAAUAUAACAUGAUGCCAAAAUUGGCAUAGCAUGAGGGAGAGUAGACCCACUUCAUAUUAUUUGAAACAAGAUUAGAGUUGUCAAGUAGGGCUACUUUGACAAGUAACCAGUGAAUAUAAGUCAAUUAAACGUAAGAAAAUUAAUAUUCUCUAUUAAUGACAUCUACUAAUGACAUUUGACAUGAUAGAAAAAAUAAAUAAGUGAAAAUUUGAAUGAUAGAAGAAUCUAAUGAAUAAACAAUUGUAUGGAUAGAUGAUUUAGAUUAAAUGGUAAUGGUAAUUUCUAAUAUUUUCAAAAUUGGACUGAUAAUUGAAUUAGAAAAAUUAUCAAGUCGCGAUUUAUUGAUUAAAUCAAUGGUUCAACUAUCAUCAAGUAGGUGGUAAAUAAUGAACAACUUAUUAUGUAUCAAACUAUAGAGUAUUUAUGAAUUCAUAGUUAAUAGUAAUAGUUAAUGAUUCUAUUUUGUCUUGGAAUUUAGCUUUUGUGACUCGUUUGGCCUAUUUCUGGCAUCAUAUCCAUAAUUAGAGCAUGCAUCAUAGUUAGUAAUAGGAAAAAUUAUUCAAAUACAUGUGAGUGAGUGAGGCUUAUUUGGGAUAUUUUAUAAAUGUCAUCGCGUGAUCAAACUGUGAUACCAACAUAACUUAAUAUAUAAUUAUUAGAAACUUAAUAAAUAAUUAUAAAAAAUUAAGAAUAUAUAUAAUUAAAAUAAAAUAUUUAUAAUAUUUAAGUGUGAAAAUAUCUUUGAGAUGAAAGAAAAACUCUAUUAUUGAAUUUUAUCUAUGCUAUAUUUCCCAUUAUUUGAUGAUUAUAAAACUUAUUAAAUUAUUUAAUCUAUAUUAUUUUCAUAUUUAUUAUUAUAAAAAUAAGUGUGGAGAUAAAUAUUUAUAUUUAUAAUUUAAAGGUUUUAAAUAAUGAUUUGUUUUAAAAGGGCCUAUAUUAGUUAAUGUAUUAAUUUGUAACACUAUUUUAUAGAAAAAUUAAUAGUCCAAGGGUCAUGCGUUUCCAUCCACUUGCCCAACACAUCCUCUCCUUUGCAACAUCAUUUUUUUUUUAUCCACGUGUCUCUACACGUUGGUGCUCAUGAAUGAAGAUCAACCUUCACCUUAUUUGUACUUUAUUGAUUUUGUUAAAACUAAUUGUCUCCGAUUCGUAUAUUUAAUCUUAUAAAUUGCUUUUUCUUUUGAGAAAAAUACCCUUUAGGCGGGGGUAAAAAAUGACCCAGAAGGGUGAGUGAAUGUGGUAAUUCUAGGCCUCAUAUUUUUGUCAAAUCAAUUUGCCCUUUAAUUAAAUUCUAAAAUUACAAAUUUUAAAUAAAAUAAUAUUUUUUUUUUUAAAAAAAGAGAAGAAACCUGUUUCAUUACCUGUAUUUUAUAAUAAAAGUAAUAAUAUUGAGGAUUACUUUUUAUACCUCAUUAAUAUUUAACAUAUCAAAUGUAUUAACAUCAUCCACUUAAUGCAUUGAGAAAAAAAAAAUACAUAUGAAAAUUAAGAAAAAAAAUAUUAUGCGAAGGAAAAAAAUAGAAAAAUCAUAUAAAUGUUUUAAAAUUAUUUUAUUAUAAAAAAUAAAAAUGAUUAAACAUUCUCCAUCAUUUUCUUAUUCUUUUUAGAUAAUUUGAAUGAAAAAUUAAACAUUUUAUCUUCCUUGAAUUUAAUACAAAAACAUAAUUUAUCAAUUUAAAAUUAAUAUAUAUAUCCAUGAAAAAAUCAUCAUUUUUAUUAUAUAAUUAUAAAACUUGUUUUUUUUCUUAAUAAAAUUAAAAAUUAGAAUAAAAAUAAAAAAUGUAAAAAAAACACAAUAAAUGAUAUUUUGAAAAUAUUUUUGUUUUAAAUAGUAAAUUUAAAUAACAAAUUAUACUAUCAUUAUAUAUAAUAAUUGUAAGGGUUAAACCCAAAAUUUUGAUUUAAAUUUUGAAUGUCAAUAAUUACAAAAAAUAUGGAACCCAUACAUCAUAAAUGUCUUGACAAAUCAAGUGAAGUGCUUUAAAUGCUUUGAAUUUUAAAAGUUUUAGUUGAAGGAUAGUUUUGGUAUUUAAGCGUAUUAUUAUCCUCCUCAAGAAUUAUCAGAAGAGACGACCCUUUGCAAUAAUUAUCACAUUUAGCCCAACCUAUACCGUAAUUCUCCCAAAUAAUUAUUUAUUCUAUUAUGAUAAUAAAGUUUUUAAUUGUAUGUUCCAUAUAUAAAACAAUAUAAUAACCUUAGAAUAUGAUUUUUAUUUAUGAUAUAUUGAAAAUUACAUAUAUUUUUUUACAAGGUUCUUUAAAAAAUCUCAAUUUUUUUGAAAAAAAUAAGAGAAAAAUAGCAAUUUUUAAACAGUUGCUUGUUCAAAAGUGAACACAAUUUUUUUAGGGCUUAAGAAAUGUGUGAUUGAUUUCUUGUAUUUAUCAUUAUGUAUGGGCCUCACAUCAUUGACAGUCUCAAAUUUGUUUAUAGAUAGUAUAGAAAACAUAUUUAAGUGUAAAAUUAUCCUCUAAAAAUCAUUGAUACAAGUGACCCUUCCCAAUAAUUAUCACAUCCAACCCAUCCUAUUCGAUAAUUCUCCUUAAUUAUUUUUUACAAGCACUCAUCAAUUGAAUAAUAUAUAAAUAUUCAAUUGAAUAAUACACAACUAUUAAAUAAAUGGAAUAAACAACUAUUCAUUGAGUAAUAUAGCACAUGAAAACAUUAAACAAAAAUAAAUUAAAUUAUGUUCUAACAUAUUUUAACGAUAAUGUAUUUGUAUUAUAAGUAUAAUGCAUUUAUGUUGUACCUAUAUUAACAACAUUCAUCUAAUGUAUUGAAAUUAUUUAAUAAUUUUUGUAUAUAUAUAAAAAAACUACGAAUUUCGUGAAUUCAAAUUAGUAUUUCAUUUGGUUUCAUAAAUGAUUUAUAAUAUAAGUAUCUUAUGAAAUAUGGUAUGAUCAUACAAAAUGAUUAUUUUUAUAAAAAAGUUCAAAAUUUUCCCAAUUAGGUUUUAUUAUAACGUAAGUGUAUUUAUAUUCUAAUUAUAAUAUAUUUUUGUUGUACUUGCAUUUUUACAAUAAACGCAAUAAUCUUGAGGAUUACUUUUUAUUCUUUAUUAAUAUUCAACAUAUCAAAUGUAUUAACAACAUUCGCUUGAUGCAUGAGAAAAAAAAAUUACAUAUGAAAAUUAAGAAAAGAAAAACAUUAUGGAAAGGAAAAAAAACUAGAAAAAUCAUAUAAAUGUUUAAAAAUUAUUUUAUUAUAAAAAAUAAAAAAUGAUUAAACAUUCUCCAUCAUUUUCUUAUUCCUUUUAGAUAAUCCCAAUGAAAAAUUAAAUAUUUUAUCUUUCUCAAAUUUAAUACAAAAACAUAAUUUAUCAAUUUAAUAUAUAUAUAUAUAUAUAUAUAUAUAUAUAUAUAUGAAAAAUCAUCACUUUUAUUAUAUAAUUAUAAUUUUUUUCUUAAUAAAAUUAAAAUUUUAAAUAAAAAUAAAAAAUAUAUGAAAAAAACACAAUAAAUGAUAUUUUGAAAAUAACAUUACAAAAAAUGUGGGGCCCAUACACCAUAAAUGACCUCAUCAACAAGUGAAGUGCUUUAAAUGCUCUAAAUGCUUUGAAUUUUUAAAGUUUUAGUUUAACGACAAUUUUGAUAUUUAAGCCUAUUAUUGUCCUUAAAAAAUUAUGAAAAGAGACUAUCCUUCUCAGUAAUUAUUACAUCUAGCCCACCUUAUACGAUAAUUCCUUUUUUUUUUGUGUUUUUUUUUUGUUGCUUUUGGCUUAUUAAUGGUAGUCUUGACAUUUAAAAAGAGGGCCUUUAAGAAAUUAUGGCAUUUUCAACCUACCCUUUACAACACUCACCCAGGUCAAUUUUUUUUACCCCACCCACCCUAAAAGAUAAUUUUCCUUUCUUUUUUUUCUCUUCUAAGAUUAAAGUUUCAAUAGAAAUUAAGAUUAAGAUUAUAAUUGAAAUUGAAGUCAAAACUAGGAUUAAUGUUAAAAUUGAAAAUUAAAGUUAUAAUUAUAAUGAAAAUUAAUUUUAAAAUUAAAAUUAAGACUAAGAUUAGUAAAGUCAAAAUUAAGACUAAAGUUAAACUUAAGAUGAAAACAAGAUUAAAAUUACUAAAAUGAACAUAAAAAUUCAAUCAUACAAAUAAAAUUUUCUUUUCAUUUAUGAGAUUAAAAUAAAAAUCAAGAUCAAAACCAUCACAUAAAAAUUAGAAUUAAGAUUAAAAUUAGAAUUAAAAUUGAAAUUAGAAUCAAAAUUAAAGUCAAAACUAAGAUUAAUGUCAAAAUUGAUAUUAAAAUUAAAAUUAUAAUGGAAAUUAAUAUAAAAAUUAAAAUUAAAAUUAAGAUGAGGAUUGAAAUUCAGGUCAAAACUAAUAUUAAAAUUAAAGUCAAAGUUAAGACUAAAGUUCAAGCUAAAGAUUAAAACUAGAAUUAAAAUUACUACAAUUAACAUUAAAAUUGAAAUUGAAAUUAAGAUUACAAAUUCUAAUUAAACUAAAAUUAGAAUUAAGAUCAAAACUAAGAUUAAAGUUAAAAUUAAAAUUAAAAAUCAAAAUUAAAAUUAUCAAAGAAUAUAUAUAUUCUUUAAUUACCUAAAUAAUACAUAUUUAUUAUAGUUCUUAAUCUUAUUUAAUUUUAAUUAUUAUUUUGUUAUUAUAUAUAUGAAGUAAUAUAAAUAAAAAAUAUACUAAUAUAAAUUCCUCAAAUAAUAUAUAUUAUAUUAUUUCAUAGUAAUUUUACUAUCAUCAAAACAUUAAUAACAUACUAAUUAAUAAUUAAAUAGAUCAUAUAGCUAUUUAUCAUUGUUACUAAUAUUACAACUUAACAACAUUGUUCAACAAUAAAAUCACUCAAUUCAUUAGGAAAUAAUACAAUCAAUGAUGAAGGUUUUUUAAUCAAAGAAUAUGGAUAAAAAAUUAUAUUUUGUGAUGAAAUUUUAAUUUGCCUAUAAAUUUUCAUUGGAAAAAUCAUAUUUUCUUGUAGUGUAGACAGUAGUAGCAAAAAAAAGUCACAUUUGUAACCACACCACUAUAAUUAUUAUUAAUUUUUAUAUUUUUUAUUUAUAAUUUAUUUUACUUAUAUUAUAUUAUUUUAUUUAUAUUUUUUUAUGGCCUAGUUGUUAUUAAAAAAAUUUUAAAAUAAUUAUUUUACCUUACUUUUAAUUUGGAACUUUAAUAUAACAACAAAGUGGUCACUUAUGGUUAAAAUUUUGAAUAAUGAAAUUAUUUUUUCAUCUCUCGACUUUCAAUCAAAUAUUUGUAUUUACAGUGGUCCACUAGCCAACACUUUGUGACUAUAAAUUCCCCAAAUGUGUCAGCACCUUCACUCCGUUGUCUUGUUCGACUCUCUCUCUCUACGCCUCUUCAAGAUGCUCUUCUUCCCUUUCUCAAAAUCUUGCCCAACUGCAAAACCAGUGUUUUCGAAUCUUCACUCAUCUCUCUCAGAUUCCUUUUCUGGAUCCCAAUCUUUCUCUUUCAACCCACAAACUGGAUUCAACCUCUGCCCGAAAUCUCUCCAAAUCAGAGCCAUGGAGGCCUCCCUAGACUACCACUUUGGAACCCAACUGCAAACCCAUAUCAAAACACCAACAAGCCUUAAAAUCGCAAUCAUUGGGUUCGACAACUUCGGCCAGUUUCUAGCAAAAACCUUCGUCAGCCAGGGCCACACCGUCCUCGCCCACUCUCGCUCUAACUACUCUAACACGGCCGCUAAGCUCGGCGUUUCCUUCUUUAGUGACCCGCACAACCUUUGCGAGGAACACCCAAAAGUGGUGAUGCUAUGCACCUUGAUCAUUUUGACAAAAUCCAUGCUCAAAUCGAUCCCAUUUCAUAGACUACUGCGUAGCACGCUGUUUGUGGACGCUUUGUCGGUGAAAGAAUUUCCCAGAAGCCUAUUUCUUGAAAUCUUGCCUGAAGAGUUCGAUAUCCUCUAUACACACCCAAUGUUCGGUCCGGAGAGCGGCAAAAAUGGGUGGGUAGGCCUUACUUUUAUGUGCGAUAAGGUCAGAAUUGGAAACGAUGAUCCUAGAAUCUCAAUGUGUGGGAGAUUCUUGGAUGUUUUUGCAAGAGGAGGGGUGCAAAAUGGUAGAGAUGAGCUGUGUGUUUAAUCAACCAUUAUAAAUCCAAGAACUCUACAUAAGAAUCUCAUGUUAAAUCAUAUAAAGAAAUGUGCCUGAAUGUUUUAUGGAAUGCGAACAUACUGAAUCCAGACUAACCCGAGUCCAUUAUGGGUGUAGAUGAAUAAGGUAUGGAUCUUCUAAGGCUGUAGAGGGCUAUCCACCUUUUAGUAAUCUCUUUAACGAUGCGAGCAAGAGAGAACGGGUUCUGUUCUUUAUUCAAAAGAUGUGAUCAUCUGAAGAACAUACACUUAGCCUUUAUAUACCUUCCUACCUUAGGGACCAUACCCUUUGGGUUAUUGGGCCUCACGAGUCUUAGCCCAUCAUCUAAGGCCUGUGAUGGCAUUGAGCUCUACACAUAAGGUUACCCAUACUCUAGAUUAAUCAACAAUCAUAUAUAUAUAUAUAUGGAUAGCUAAAUCCUGAACAAUGGUUAAUAUGAUGUGAGUCCACAUUUAUUCUAACAAUCUCCCACUUGGACCACAUAUAUUAACCAACAAUGUUCAUGAUAAUACUUCAUUGAGCUCAUCUUUGCUAUCCUAUUCAAAUAUCCUUAAACAAUAUGGUCUACUAAUUAUGCUAACAUAGCAUCAAAGUGGCCUUCGUUAAUCACAAUUAUAACUAGACCCAUCAAUGAUCACAACAUUAACAAAAUUAGCAACAUGGAUCAAGUAUGGAUGUGUAGCAUGGAAAUUACAUAGAAUGUGAUAUUUAUUAUGUCUAUUUCCAAUUGGUCCUACUUUAUGACUAAAAAUAGUCAAAUUCUACUUUCAACACUUGAUGCUAAACUGCUUUUGAAAGUCAUCAUUUCAAUUUAGAGUAUUCAAAGACAAUAGUCUUUAAAAACAAGGUCUGCAUAGAUAACACAAACAUUAUAUCACAUCAAAAAAACAAACACAAAAUCUAAAUACAAACUCCCACUAUACUAGCACAUCAUCAAUGUGUACAACACCCAUAUGUGUGACAUGCUCAUGAUAUACUUUGGGUGGCAAACCCUUAGUGAGUGGAUCCACAAUCAUGGAGUUUGUGCUUAUGUGUUCAAUUGAUACUUGAAGACUUUGAACUCUUUUUUUGACAACCAAGAAUUUGAUGUCAAUGUGUUUGGACUUUGAUGAACUUCAGUUUUUCUUAGAAUAUAAUUUUGUGGCCUUAUUAUCACAGUUCAUUCUCAAUGGUUUCUCAAUCCCAUUAACAAUUCACAAUUGAGUGAUAAAAUUCUGCAGCCAUAUCCCAUGGUUUGAUGCCUCGUAGCAAACUAUGAAUUCUACCUAACAUUCUAACAAUGUACACAAUAUCCGGAUGCAUAUAAACUUGUGCAUACAUGAGACUUCCUACUGCUGAGGCAUAGGGAAACCUCUCCAUAUCCUUUUUCUCAAGUUCAUUUUUUGGACAUUGGUGCAAACUAAAUUUAUCGCCUUAUGCCACAGGUGUGUCUCCUGGUGCACAAUUGCUCAUGCCAAACCUUCUUAACACCUUAUCGAUGAUCGUCUUUCAUUGAUUUCGUCUCAUCCUUCAUGGCUUCUAUCCACUUUUUAGAGUCAGACCUUUGUUUGACUUGACUAACUGAAAUUGGAUCAUCUUCCAGACCCAUGUGAAACCCAUGUUCCUGGAGAUAUACAACAUAAUCAUCUGAAAUUGUACUUCUCCUUUCUCUAGUGGAUCUCCUCCGUGGCACUUGUACUUGAGUUUGUUGAGUUACCUCUUCAUGAACUUGAAUUGGUUCCAUAACUUGAGUAGGAGGAAUCCCAAGCUUGUCUACAAUCUCUGGUUGUACAUUCUGGAUAGUGUCAUCAAUCAUAAUAUGACCAUGUCCAGUUGUAAUAAUAGGAAUACUACUAAAUUCCUCUUCAAAGACCACAUUUCUUAAUGAUUUUCUCCCACUUAACUCAAAGAAGGAUCUAGUUGAGGGGUCAUAAAUAAAUAUCAUGCAUAUAUGAAUAAAUAAAAAUUUAAACACACACACACACACACACACACACAUAUAUAUAUAUAUAUAUAUGCAUGUGAGCCUCUUACAAGAUACCUAGUACAAACAUUAAUAUUCAGUAUUUGGAAAAAAAUAUCAAUUUGUAAUUGGUAUCCUUUUACAACAUUAAUUCAUAAAUAUUGACAAUAAAACCAAAGCAGUAUGCCUAUCUUUGAACUGACAUAUAACAAGUAAGAUAAACUUUAUAUGUCACAUAUUUAUGACUACUUUAUUUAUUAUUAUAUUAAAAUAAUAUUCCUUUGGGCCGAUUAUUUUAAAUAAUAAUAAUAAUAACAUGUUUAGAUAUUAUAAAAUAAAUAAAUUAUGUAAUAUAAGUUACUUUGGCAACUAAUAUACAUAAUUCAUUUAUUUAAAAAAAAUAUUAAACACAAAUAUAACAUAAAAGGAUGGGAAAAUUUUCCAAUCCAUCUUAUAUAAAUUAAAAACUGAGGGUCCAAGGUUGGACUGCAAAAGAAGGUGGUCCACCAUCUCCCUAAAAUUCUUGUGCAUGUAGCACCAGCUUGGUAGCAACAUGACUUCUUUUAAUAGAUUAUCAAAUAGUCAAAAUGUUUACCAAAUAUGCAAUUUAAACAAAAAAUAUACUUUAAUAGGGACUUUCAAGCCUAAAACUUUCGCAUCCCUCAAAAGGGCAAUCCCCAGUCCCUUCUUCUAUGGUGUCCAGAAAUAAUCCAACUAGGACUUAAAAAAAUAAAUAAAUAAACAUUCACCCUCCACCAAGUAGCCUUCACAUAGACUAAGGAUCAACAAAAUUUUAUCAAGGAUUAACAAACCUCUAUUACUGAAAGUUCAUUGGUGGCAGAAUCCAAAUUGUCACCCUGCCUGAGUUCAGAUACCAUAUAAUAAUUUGGUACCCAUGCAUCAUAAACAUGGAUGCACAAUAACCAUUUUUAUAGCUAUCAAGGUAUAUAUGACAAUAAACAUGUGCAUAAAUAGACACAAAUCAAUAUGGGAAAUAUGAAGUGAACCUGGGCAUAUUAAUAAAUAAUUUUUAUUUUUAUGUUUAAUUUUUUAUUUUUUAUUUUUAUUUUUUAUCUUAUCUUAUCUUAUGCAACCCUAAACAACCCAAGGUCGUUUGCAGCCGCGUCACCCUUGGAGCGGCACCAGUAGCGGUGCCGGAGUUGUCCUCAAGCCGCCGAUGGCGAAACUCUAUCUCCAUCACCGGAAUGGUGAUUUCCCAUCUCCAAACGACGGCGCCACCACCGGAAUGACAUUGUAACGGCAUUGCUGGCAAGUGGCCCCACCUGUUGAUUACUACUCAAAAAGUGCUAUUUUGUAGCUUGUAAUUAACUCUUUUAAACACUUUUGAGUAGUAAUUAUUACCUUUUAACUCAAUUGACAUGUUAGGAACCCUUGCAAUCGUUUCUAAUCAAAUUGUGUUAAGUUUUGGUGUUUUUGUUAGCUUUUUGCUCACCAAAGCAAUCCAAGAAUGAGGGAGAGCUGUAUAUAGUUCAUGGCAAAGCUUUUGGAAGCUGAAAUUCAUGAAGAACCAAGCUUUGGAGCUCCAUAGCCUUUUUCCAAAGUCGCUCAAAGUAUGCAAGGAAAGAACAACGGAGAGAGGAAAAACAAAGUGAAGAAAACAGAGGACAGCAGCUACAGUCUUCUUUCACACUUUUGGAGCACUUCCCGAAGUCCAUUGUUUACAUGCUAUAUACCAUUUCAAAGCGCAGGAAGUCAAAAAUCCAAAACUUCAAACCAUGUAUGAUUUGGAGCUGAAAUGAGGAAGAUAUGGCCUUCGCAAGACAACUGUAUCCAACUGAAGGACAAUUUCGCACCUUGCGAAAUUGGAACUCCAACGUGCGAAAUUUAAAGUGGAUGGCAGCUGUGCAUUCGCGGUGAAGUCCAACAUGCGAAAGUGAUUUUGCAACUUGCGAACUUGGAGCUCAACGUGCGAAAAUGGAUUCUAAGUUGCGAAAUCAACUUGCGAAAUUUUCGCAAGUCACCAUGCAACGUGCGAAACUGGGAUAUUUGUGCACCGACUCUUUUAGAUAUUUUCUUUAGAUAUUUUUGUAUAAAUUUCCAUUCUUCUCCUUGUAAUCCACCAACCAUAAGAUUUCUUAGCUAGGAAGGUUGGAAAAACUUCUCUAUAUAUAUUCCCUUGCAUCCAUUGUAAACGACAUCGAUCAAUAUAUAGAUAUUUAAAUAUAUAGACUAUACAGAGCCUUGCUCUGUUUUUCUCUCUUCUCCUAUUCUUCCCCAUUUCUAUUUUCUUAGUAGCCAAACAGCCUCUGAGGGCUUUUCUGUUGGGCUUUGUGGAGCCUAGUUUUGUUUGAUCCGGUUUGACAACCCGACCCGAAUAAUAUUGCAUGGCCUUUUUAAUGGGAGAUUUAUUGAGGUCUGUUGGGCCCGUUUAGCCCAUUGUGGAACCACCUUUUGUAAUUAGGGUUUUUAGUAUGAUAGGGUUGUCAUGCUAUAUAUAUAUAGAGAAUAUUGUAGCCGCCAAGUUGUACUCUGUAUUCUUCCCUGAUAAUAGUGAUAUCCCUACAACUCCGUGGACGUAGGCAAAUUGCCGAACCACGUAAAUACUGUCUUGUGUGUGUGAUUGUUUUUUCUUUGGCGUGUGUUUUCUCUAAUUUUUUGUUUCUCACGGGUUGGGAAUUCGGUUUAAUUCCCUACAACUGGUAUCAGAGCCUAGGAUUAGGUUUGAGUGGGAGCAAUGGCAGAGGAAGCAGGAAAGGCGUCUGGAAUAGAAAAGUUUGAUGGCACAGACUUUGCGUAUUGGAGGAUGCAGAUUGAAGAUUAUCUCUAUGGGAGGAAAUUACAUUUGCCUCUUUUGGGGACAAAACCUGAGAGUAUGAAGGCUGAGGAAUGGGCGCUUCUUGACAGACAGGUUCUAGGAGUUAUUAGGUUAACUCUGUCUAGGUCUGUUGCACACAAUGUUGUAAAGGAGAAGACCACAGCAGAUUUGAUGAAGGCUUUGUCCGGUAUGUAUGAAAAGCCGUCCGCAAACAAUAAGGUGCAUCUGAUGAAGAAAUUGUUCAAUUUGAAGAUGACAGAGAAUGCAUCAGUAGCAUAACAUCUGAAUGAAUUUAAUACAAUCACAAAUCAAUUGUCGUCUAUAGAAAUUGAUUUUGAUGAUGAGAUUCGUGCUCUGAUCGUCUUGGCUUCUUUGCCAAACAGUUGGAAGGCAAUGAGGAUGGCAGUAAGCAAUUCUACAGGAAAAGAAAAGCUCAAGUACAAUGAUAUACAAGAUUUAAUUCUGGCUGAGGAGAUUCGCCGAAGAGAUGCAGGUGAAACCUCAGGAUCUGGUUCUGCCCUAAACCUUGAGACAAGAGGCAGAGGUAAUAACAGAAAUUCAAAUCAGGGUAGAUCAAAUUCCAGAAAUUCUAAUCGGAACAGAAGCAAAUCUAGAUCAGGCCAACAAGUACAAUGCUGGAAUUGUGGGAAAACAGGUUACUUUAAAAGGCAAUGCAAAAGCCCUAAGAAGAAGAAUGAAGAUGAUUCUGCUAAUGCUGUAACAGAAGAGGUACAGGAUGCAUUACUUCUUGCAGUAGACAGUCCACUUGAUGAUUGGGUUUUGGAUUCAGAAGCUUCGUUUCAUACCACUCCACACCGAGAAAUCAUACAGAAUUAUGUUGCAGGUGAUUUUGGUAAGGUGUAUUUGGCUGAUGGUUCAGCCUUGGAUGUUGUGGGUCUGGGAGACAUCCGGAUAUCAUUGCCCAAUGGGUCUGUUUGGUUACUGGAGAAGGUUCGACAUAUUCCUGACCUGAGGAGGAAUCUGAUUUCUGUUGGACAACUUGAUGAUGAAGGACAUGCAAUACUAUUUGUUGGUGGUACUUGGAAGGUUACAAAGGGAGCUAGGGUAUUGGCCCGUGGAAAGAAGACUGGUACUCUGUAUAUGACCUCAUGUCCAAGAGACACAAUUGCAGUUGCUGAUGCAAGUACUGAUACAAGCCUAUGGCACCGCAGACUUGGUCACAUGAGUGAGAAAGGGAUGAAGAUGUUGCUGUCAAAAGGAAAACUACCAGAAUUGAAGUCCAUUGAUUUUGAUAUGUGUGAAAGUUGCAUCUUAGGAAAGCAAAAAAAGGUGAGCUUCUUGAAAACUGGCAGGACACCGAAGGUUGAAAAAUUGGAACUAGUACACACUGAUUUGUGGGGGCCUUCUCCGGUUGCAUCCCUAGGAGGUUCAAGGUACUACAUCACUUUUAUUGAUGACUCAAGUAGAAAGGUAUGGGUUUAUUUUCUGAAAAAUAAAUCUGAUGUAUUUGAAACUUUUAAGAAGUGGAAGGCCAUGGUUGAGACAGAAACAGGUUUGAAAAUAAAAUGUUUGAGGUCAGAUAAUGGAGGAGAGUACAUAGAUGGAGGGUUCAGUGAGUAUUGUGUUGCACAGGGAAUUAGGAUGGAGAAGACCAUUCCUAGGACACCACAACAGAAUGGUGUGGCUGAGCGCAUGAACAGAACUCUCAAUGAGCGUGCUAGAAGUAUGAGGUUGCAUGCUGGACUACCAAAAACUUUUUGGGCUGAUGCUGUUAGCACUGCAGCUUACCUAAUAAACCGAGGACCAUCAGUUCCCAUGGAGUUCAGACUUCCUGAGGAGGUUUGGAGCGGUAAAGAGGUGAAGUUUUCACAUUUAAAAGUUUUUGGUUGUGUUUCUUAUGUUCAUAUUGAUUCUGAUGUUCGUAGUAAACUUGAUGCAAAGUCAAAAAUAUGUUUUUUUCAUUGGCUAUGGUGAUGAGAAAUUUGGCUAUAGGUUUUGGGAUGAACAAAACAGGAAAAUCAUCAGAAGUAGAAAUGUGAUAUUUAAUGAACAGGUUAUGUACAAGGACAGGUCGACUGUAGUGUCAGAUGUUAUAGAGAUAGAUCAAAAGAAAUCUGAGUUUGUCAACUUAGAUGAAUUGACUGAAAGUACUGUCCAAAAGGGGGGUGAAGGAGAUAAGGAGAAUGUAAAUUCACAGGUAGAUUUGAGUACACCUGUAGCUGAAGUUCGCAGAUCUUCCAGGAACAUUAGACCUCCGCAGCGUUAUUCACCUGUUUUAAAUUAUCUCCUGUUGACUGAUGGUGGUGAGCCAGAGUGUUAUGAUGAAGCCUUGCAAGAUGAGAAUUCAAGCAAGUGGGAGUUAGCCAUGAAGGAUGAGAUGGAUUCCCUGUUGGGGAAUCAGACAUGGGAACUGACUGAAUUGCCAGUAGGAAAGAAGGUUUUGCACAACAAGUGGGUAUACAGAAUAAAGAAUGAGCAUGAUGGUAGCAAACGUUACAAGGCCAGAUUAGUUGUUAAAGGGUUCCAGCAGAAGGAGGGCAUUGACUACACAGAGAUAUUUUCUCCAGUUGUGAAGAUGUCAACAAUUAGACUUGUACUUGGAAUGGUGGCUGCAGAAAACUUACAUCUUGAGCAGUUAGAUGUAAAGACAGCAUUCCUUCAUGGUGACUUGGAGGAAGACCUUUACAUGAUUCAGCCAGAAGGGUUCAUUGUUCAGGGACAAGAGAAUCUAGUCUGCAAACUGAGAAAGAACUUGUAUGGCCUUAAACAAGCUCCUAGACAGUGGUACAAGAAGUUUGACAAUUUUAUGCAUAGAAUUGGGUUCAAGAGAUGUGAAGCUGAUCAUUGUUGCUAUGUUAAGUCAUUUGACAACUCUUACAUCAUAUUACUGUUGUAUGUGGAUGAUAUGCUUAUUGUAGGGUCUGACAUUGAGAAGAUUAAUAAUCUGAAGAAGCAAUUAUCCAAACAGUUUGCAAUGAAGGAUUUGGGAGCUACAAAGCAAAUCCUUGGUAUGAGAAUCAUCAGAGACAAGACUAAUGGUACAUUGAAGCUUUCACAGUUAGAGUAUGUGAAGAAAGUUCUCAGCAGGUUCAACAUGAAUGAAGCUAAACCAGUAAGCACACCCUUGGGUAGUCAUUUCAAACUAAGCAAAGAACAGUCACCAAAGACAGAAGAAGAAAGGGACCAUAUGAGCAAGGUGCCCUAUGCCUAAGCUAUUGGCAGCUUGAUGUAUGCUAUGGUGUGUACAAGGCCAGACAUUGCACAUGCAGUGGGAGUUGUGAGCAGAUUCAUGAGUAGGCCUGGAAAGCAGCAUUGGGAGGCAGUCAAGUGGAUUUUAAGAUAUCUGAAGGGUUCAUUAGAUACAUGUCUUUGCUUCACAGGUGCAAGUUUAAAAUUGCAGGGUUAUGUAGAUGCUGAUUUUGUUGGUGAUAUUGAUAGUAGAAAGAGUACUACUGGGUUUGUUUUUACUCUAGGUGGUACAGCUUUAUCAUGGGCUUCAAAUCUACAGAAGAUUGUUACUUUGUCUACCACAGAAGCUGAGUAUGUUGCAGCAACUGAAGCUGGAAAGGAGAUGAUUUGGCUACAUGGUUUCUUAGAUGAAUUGGGUAAGAAGCAGGAGAUGGGCAUUCUACACAGUGACAGUCAGAGUGCAAUUUUUCUUGCCAAAAAUUCGGCUUUUCAUUCAAAGUCGAAGCAUAUACAAACAAAAUAUCACUUUAUCCGUUAUCUUGUUGAAGAUAAACUGGUAAUACUUGAGAAGAUUUGUGGAUCUAAGAACCCUGCAGACAUGUUGACUAAGGGUGUCACUAUUGAGAAGUUGAAGCUGUGCGCAGCUUCAAUUGGUCUUCUAGCUUGAGGACAGGAGGAUGAGUUGUAGGGAUGAGAGAUCGUUUCUUGGAGGAUAGCGGUUUGAUGUUGGUGAUUGGACUAGUCUCCAAGUGGGAGAUUUGUUGGGCUUUGUGGAGCCUAGUUUUGUUUGAUCCGGUUUGACAACCCGACCCGAAUAAUAUUGCAUGGCCUUUUUAAUGGGAGAUUUAUUGAGGUCUGUUGGGCCCGUUUAGCCCAUUGUGGAACCACCUUUUGUAAUUAGGGUUUUUAGUAUGAUAGGGUUGUCAUGCUAUAUAUAUAUAGAGAAUAUUGUAGCCGCCAAGUUGUACUCUGUAUUCUUCCCUGAUAAUAGUGAUAUCCCUACAACUCCGUGGACGUAGGCAAAUUGCCGAACCACGUAAAUACUGUCUUGUGUGUGUGAUUGUUUUUUCUUUGGCGUGUGUUUUCUCUAAUUUUUGUUUCUCACGGGUUGGGAAUUCGGUUUAAUUCCCUACAUUUUCCUCAGAGGACGAUUGGCUAAAACUUUUAGUUUCUCAAAGUAUGGAUGUUAUGUGAUGACUUGGAUGCAAUCCCAUGGAAAUUUCUCGCACUUGGAAGGUAAGGUAGUCGUUUUUCAUUAAAGGUUCAUUAAUGCAAAGUUUGGUUUUUAUUUCCUUUGGACAAUUUCCAACGGCCAAUACUUGAUAAGCUUUUGGAUUUCUAUUCAUUAGUUAUCUCCUACGAGCUAUCAGAAGGUGAGGUUUUCAAUUCCAAGUUUUGCAUUAAUCCGUUAGAACCAAUUUCAAUGGCCAUUGAAAGGUGAGUUUAUCACCUGGAAUGACUUUGAGUUGCCAAUAUUUGGUAAGCUUUUGGCUUUAGACCAUUAGUUAUCUCUUACGAGCCAUUCAAAGGAAGUCUAAGGUGAAUAACCAUUGAUGAAAUUCACUACCAUCUGUUUUGCCAUUUUAAAGGAUUAAAACUUGAUUUGCUAAAUCCAUACCGGUUCGGGAAGCAAGCAUCACCAUAGUUGCAACCCCAACGCGAGGAGCCUAUCCUGAGAUUUCCAAUUUGCAUAAGAGCCAGAGCAUAGCUAUCCUAUCUUUGAGAAACUUGUUUUUACACCAUUUCAUUUUAGUCUUUAAUGUUAGCUUAGAUUAGUUUAAAUCUUUCUAAAACAUUUACAUCUUCUUUUAAAGCUAACAUCCAUAAGAAAAUCACCUAUUUUCCUAAUUUGAAUAUUAUUUGUGAAGUGAAAACCCAUCCCAGUGAACGAUCCUAGAGCCACUAUGCUAUAGUAGCUUUGUCUCUGCUACCCUAGUACAUGGUGUAAUAGGUUAUAAAUUUUGUUGAUUACUCCCUCAUUCAAGGAGCACCAGCUAGACAUGAAUCAACUGAGACACCAAUUAGGCAUGAAUCACCUGUGGCGUGACGCCGUGACGAGUAGAUGGCAUUUGGAGAGCCUGAAAGACGCCUUAAUGGUGUCUUAACAGGGUCUGGAAACGACGUUGCAAAUGACGCCUGAAACGUGCUUUGAAUGGUGCCUGAAGUGGCCUUGAAUGCGCAACCAACUGGUGCAGUGAAGCGCGCCUUGAACAACGCCUGGUAUGGUGCCUGAAGUGCAUCUGAAACGACGCUCUUCACUGGCAUUGGAUGACCCUUGAACGACGUCUUAAACGCUUGUAAGGAGGCCUGCAACAACGCCUUCAAUACAUUAUAUAUAUAUGUAUACUACAGCCCAAAAGACCCAAGGUCCCCUGUAACCAAAUCAUGCGCUCAGCGCCAAACGAUGCCGUCGAUAGGGGACGAUGCCAAAAUGGCGUCUUUGACUGCGUUUUGACUGGAAGUGACGCCAAACGACAUCUUCGACUGAAGUGACGCCAAAUGGCAUCUGGAAACGACGCCUGUAAUGACGUCUAGAAUGACGCCUGAACGGCGUCGUUGGAAUGCCUAAAAAUGACGUCUCUUGAAUGCCUGAAUCAGCACCAAACGAUGCCCUUUUUGAGCACCAGACAGGCGAAAAAAUGGCACCCCUCAUCAGUGUUGCAAGCGUCACCCCCAUCACUGGUAGCGGUGCCCAAAUGAUGCCAUUUCCGCGCUGAGGUUCAUCUUUAUCCUUGCUGACCACAGCGCCAUUCCCUGAUCUCCCGAGACCCGAAUCUCACCCUCCCUAAUGGCCUCCGAAUCGCCACAGAAUUUCACCUCCUAGGUUGUGCCGCGGUUGUUAGUGUCUGGAUCUACUCUAGAAGCCACUUCGAGAGCAACGCCACCAAUGACAUGGCUCAUUUUCUGGAACGUAUGGUGUUCAAGGGCAUAGAAAAGAGGCCGACUAAGGGUUUUAGUGAAGGAAAUUGAGAGCAUGGCGAUCCCUUGAUGAUUUAAAAAAUCACAAUUUCUUAAUGAUUUUAACAUGCUGCUCUGAUACCAAUUGUUUAAUCAACCAUUAUAAAUCCAAGAACUUUACAUAGGAAUUAGGAAUCUCAUGUUAAAUCAUAUAAAGAAAUGUGCCUGAACAUUUUAUGGAAUGCGAACAUACUGAAUCCAGACUAACCUGAGUCCAUUGUGGGUGUAGAUGAAUAAGGUAUGGAUCUUCUAAGGCUAUAGAGGGUUAUCCACCUUCCAGUAAUCUCUCUGACGAUAGGAGCGAGAGAGAACGAGUUUUGUUCUUUAUUCAAAAGAUGUGAUCAUCUGAAGAAUAAACACUUAACCUUUAUGUACCCUCCCGCCUUAGGGACCAUACCUUUUGGGUUAUUGGGCCUCACGAGUCUUAAGCCCAUCAUCUAAGGACCGUGAUGGCAUUAGACUCUACACAUAAGGUGGCCUAUACUCUAGAUCAAUCAGCAAUCAUAUAUAUAUAUAUAUAUAUAUGGAUAGCUAAAUCCUGAAUAAUGGUUAAUAUGAUGUGGGUCCACAUUUAUUUUAACACUGUACAGAUCACGACAAGUACUCAGUGGAGUCUCAGUUCAUAACCCACAUAAUGGGGAGGGUUUUAGAGAGGUUCGGGUUAUAAUCAAGCUCCAUUAACACCAAAGGGUAUGAAACAUUGCUAAAAUUGGUGGAGAACACAGCCAAGGACAACUUUGAUUUGUACUAUGGGUUGUCCAUGUACAAUAAUAAUGCUAUGGAGUAGCUGGAGAAGUUGGAGUUGGCCUUUCAGUCUCUUAAGAGGGAACUUUUUGGGAAUUCGCAGUCUCUUUAUGGACGGAAGUUGUUUGAAGGAGAGUGAGAGGAGAGAGACCUAGCGCAAAAGCUGCUCCCUAAUAGUGUUUUGGAUUCUUGGAAACUUACAACUCUUUAGUUGGUUUGUUUAUCAUCUGGAGGAGUGCAAAUGCAAUAGAAUUAUUGAAAAUCAAAUUUCAUUCUUAUGAUUUAUCAUUUGUUUUUACUCUAAUGGCUUGGCAUGAGAGAAUUAGUAAUUUUUAAUUAACAAUGAAUUGGUAAUUGGUUUGAGAGAUUUUAAGAAGAAAAUUGGUAAAUAUAUUUUUUUUUGUUUAAAUAAUAUAAAAAAUAUAAGGAAAGAAAAUAUUUAGGUUAUAUUUAAGAAAUAAUCGAUAAAAAAAAAAUGAAAUAGUCCUCAUAUUUAUGAAUUUAUCCCUUAUGUUUUUGUUCGGAGAGUAACCGAUUUUUGAUAGAAGUGUUCUUAACUAUUUCAAGUUUUAAUAAUAUAUUAUAAAAUAUUAUUUUUACAAAAAAAAUAAAAUAAUAAUAAGGACAUUUUUAUCAAUAGGAGGGCAAAAAAAGGAUGAAGUGUUAGAUUUUUAAAAUUGAGUUUCCAAUGACCAUUUUAAUAAAAUAAUCUUAUAUUUAAAUUGAGUUUCUAGGAACUUUUUAUUUUUUAAAUAUUAAAAAUAUGAGGAACACUUUUUAUGAUAAUUGCUAAAAUAAAUUUUAAUUUAAAAAAAUUAGAGGAAAGAAAAUAAAAAGGAAAAAUAUAAAGAAAAGAAAAGAUUUCAAGCCAAUAAUUUUUUUUUUUUUAGACUAAGACUUUUUUUAGAAAGAUAUCAAAAUAUAAAAUUCACCUUCUUCAUUUGUUAAUGUUGUAAAAGGCAAAGUUAUUAUUAAAAUAACUUAAGAAAAAAAAAAAAAAACCCCUACCUUUCUCCUCCAUUAAUUUAUUCAUUCGAUGUGGGUACAAAUCCUCCACUCACAUGCCCCUCUUGUAAGACCUUAGAAAGCUAAGAUUAGUGGCUUAGUCAUUGUUCUCCCUUUCCUCUUCUAAAGAGACAGUAAAACAUUAAUCUAAUUAAUAAUAUAUAUAUAUAUAUAUAUAAUAUGGUAUAUUGUACAACUUUUAAAAUUAAUUAUAAUAAAGACAUUAAAAAUAACAUUUGAGAUGAGGAUAAUUCAAUAUGAUAAUAUUUUUUUUGAGCUAAUAAGAGAAAUAUGUAUAACCCUAUGGGAUACAAUUAUAUAUUAAUAUGGUAAAAUCGUUCAAAAAUUAAUUUUUAAAUUGAAUUAAAUAUAUAACCUCCUUAAUAUGGCAAUUUCUUUUUUACUUUUAUAACGAACUUUUCUAUAUAUUCAAACCUAUUUUGCAUAUAACAGUUAAAUUACUUCACUUCUAAACAAUUAGGAUAUUCGAUUUUAUUAGAUGAGAAAUAGGUAUCUUAGGAUAUAAUUUUAAAUAAGAUAUAAUAUCCUUAUAUAUUAAAUUUAAUGAAUGUUAUAUCUAAGAUAACAUAUUUAAUAAAAUACGUUAUAUUAUGCUUAUAUUUAGUUUAUAAAAUAAAAAAAUAAAAAAAGUAAAGCAUAUAUUAUUUUAAAUACUUAAAAUGAAAAUUAUAUUGCAUUUCAAUAUUUUCUAUUUUAGAAAACAUGAAAAUUUGUUUCAAUAUUUAUGAUUAAAACAUUUAAACUUUGUAAAUAAAAGUUUUUUUAUUAUGUUAUUCAAUAUAUAUAUAUAUAUAUAUAAUAUUAAAAUUAUUUUAUAAAUAUUUUUCAGUUCUUAUUUUUUAAUCAUAAAUUUAAUUUUAUACUAAUUUUUAUUUUAUUUUAUUUUGUAAGAUCAUUAAUAUAAAAAAAUAAAAAUUAAUAAAUAAAUUUAUGAUAUAAGAGAUAUGUAUAUUCUACAUUUUAAGUUUGGAUUAAAAUAUCAUAUGUAGUUUGGCACAUGGGCACAAAAGGCGACUUGUAGUUGAUUGCUUCCCUUCGUAUGAUCAAAAUCUCUAAAAAUCCUAUUGUUCCACCAAAUAGAUGUAUGCUCGUUUGCUAUCAAAUGGAAAAGGAAAACCUAUGGUAUAUGAAUCUGGAUAUUGUCCACAAAGGAAAACCUUAGGUUGUUCAAGUUUCUCAGGUCUCCUAUUUGGCAUUCAUCAUUAUGAUCAAAAUCUAGAUAUUGCUAUCGAAUAAGAGAAACAGCUUAUCAUCUCCACUGUUCUUAUGACUGUGGGAGUUGCAAUUGUUAGUUGGAUUGCCCUUCCAUCAUCCUUCACAAUCUUCAAUUUUGGCUCUCAGAAAGUUGUGAAGAAUUGGUAAGGUUUACAUUGUUAAUUCCUUGGAAAAAAUGGAUAUACAUCUACUAACUCAAUUUGGGUUUGCAGGCAGCUGUUCUUGUGUGUGGGUGUUGGUCUUUGGGCUGGACUUAUUAUUGGGUUUGUAACUGAGUAUUACACUAGCAAUGCAUACAGGUAUCUAUAAUCUCACUGAAUUCCUGCCUUGUUAUAGUCUUCAGCUUUCCUACUCUGAUUCUUGUGUUUCUUUUAUUUGCAGCCCUGUGCAAGAUGUGGCUGAUUCCUACAGGACUGGAACUGCCACUAAUGUCAUCUUUGGCCUUGCUUUGGGAUACAAAUCUGUCAUCAUUCCUAUUUUUGCUAUUGCAGUUAGUAUUUUUGUUAGUUUCAGUUUUGCUGCCAUGUAUGGCAUUGCAGUGGCAGCCCUAGGAAUGCUGAGUACCAUUGCUACUGGGCUUGCUAUUGAUGCUUAUGGUCCCAUCAGUGACAAUGCGGGAGGAAUUGCCGAGAUGGCUGGCAUGAGCCACAGAAUCCGAGAGAGAACUGAUGCACUUGAUGCCGCAGGCAACACCACUGCUGCCAUUGGGAAGGUAAAUCACAUCUGUAGGUUGGUUCUAAUGUUGUCAUUGAAAAGUGUCUUAUCAUCACAUGCAUUAUGCAAGGUACAAAUCCAUGAAGGGUAAGUAUCCUUAGCCGAAAGGCUCAUCCUAUCAUGCAUAUGGCUUUUGACUAGGCCUAUAAAUUGAUGAAACUCAAUUUUUGAAUUUGGAAUAAAAUAUCUCAGUAUAAAUUUUCAGAGUGUGUAGAGGCGUUGUAGUUCAUUUUUGUGUUAAACUAAUGCCAUUCCUACGAGCAGUAAGCCAGAAGGUUCUAUUCACAACUUGUAAGUGGUGAGCUGCCUGUUGGUUAUCUUAACUAAUGUGAAGCAAACUCAGUCCGUACAAUGCAGCUUUGCUGUGUAAUUUGUUAUUGAAAUCUAAUUGUGUACAUUUCUUUUAGCUUCACUUAGCUGUUUGUAACUUCAUUUUUUAUGUUUGAUUUACAUUUGUUCUCAGGGAUUUGCAAUUGGAUCUGCGGCACUCGUGUCUUUGGCACUGUUUGGUGCCUUUGUAAGUCGUGCAUCGAUCUCAACUGUUGAUGUCUUGACUCCAAAGGUCUUCAUUGGUUUGCUUGUUGGUGCAAUGCUUCCUUACUGGUUCUCAGCCAUGACCAUGAAGAGUGUGGGAAGUGCAGCUCUUAAGAUGGUUGAGGAGGUUCGCAGACAGUUCAACACCAUUCCAGGUCUGAUGGAGGGCCUCGCCAAGCCUGAUUAUGCCACUUGUGUCAAGAUCUCUACUGAUGCAUCCAUUAAGGAGAUGAUUCCACCUGGUGCCCUUGUCAUGCUCACACCCCUUAUCGUUGGGACCUUCUUUGGCGUGGAGACUCUAUCUGGAGUACUAGCUGGCUCCCUUGUUUCUGGUGUCCAGGUAAUAUCAUGAUCAUUAAAUGUAUAAUUGGAAUUUCAUGGUUUCUGAUCUAUUAAAAAAAAAAAAGUAGUUUAUCUUAAAAAUAUCAUGAAUUAUGCGAAGAAAAGUCAGGGUUGAAUUUAAGUUAGUGAAAUUUGGGAACAAAAUCUUGUUAGGUGUGUUUAGCAAUAUAGACAUGCAUGAGUAGUCAGAGACUUCGCAAAUUAACAAAAUGCUUAUCUGAAGCACUUUCUAGGAGCUUUGUUUUUGGCUGUUAAUUGAAAUUUUAUUUUCUGAUUUGCUCUUUUGGAUGUGUGCUUUUAACCGAUAGCAAUCUCUGCUUCUAACACUGGCGGUGCAUGGGAUAAUGCCAAGAAGUACAUUGAGGUAAGCAUACGCUGAAGUGAGGCUAUAGGUGGUUUCCUCUCUUGGCCCGUGUUUACUGUUAUUAUUGCUUUGACGAUAUUAUUCAAUUGAGUGGUAAUUUUUGGAAUUUUGUUGUUAGGCUGGUGCUUCCGAGCAUGCAAGGACGCUUGGCCCAAAGGGGUCUGAUCCACACAAGGCAGCUGUGAUUGGUGACACCAUUGGAGACCCACUGAAGGACACCUCAGGCCCAUCGCUCAACAUCCUUAUCAAGCUCAUGGCAGUGGAGUCUCUCGUCUUUGCUCCCUUUUUUGCCACUCAUGGUGGGUUGCUUUUCAAGAUCUUCUGAGGAAUGGGAUGAUGAAAAAUACAUGGGCAAAGGGGUGAUUAGCCCUUUUUUCCCCAGUAUUUAUUGGGCACCUCUUACCAAUUCAUCUAAUCUCCAUAUCCAUCCAUCCCCACAUUGUGGGUUUUUCAAGUUGGUUUCUAUGUUUAGGGAAAUAUUAUUUUUGAAGGGCUGAUGAUGAUGAUGAUGAUAAUCAUGAUUGGUAAGGGAGGACAGGCAAAAUGGUUUUAACUGUCACAGAAGAGUCAGGAUGGUAGCGUGUUACUUUUCUUUAUACCUCUUUUUAGAACAGCUCUGUUCCUAAUUUCCUUGUAACCUUAUCCUUUUUUCCAUUAAAAGCAAGGAGAACAUGUUCAUCAAUUUUGGGUAUUUUGGCUGUCCAUUAGUGUGGAGCUUUGUAGUUUUUGUUUGGGUUAAAUGCGUGCAGGGCCUAGGUAGAUGGAAAAUGAUGCCGGUCUUUUUAACUCUUGGAUUUUAGCUUUAUCAUCUCCAAAUUUUAAAAAAAUAGAUAUAUAAGGUAUGUUUGUUAAAUGAUGUCUAACUGUUUUAUUAGUAGUUGAUUUUAGUGAAUUAUAACUUUUAUUAAUAGUUUAUUAAUAGUGAUUGAGACAGGCAUUGUUGACCUCUCUUUUUUUUCUUUUAUUUCCCAUUGCUUCAAUUCAUCCAAACGUAAAAUAGCCAAUUCCUACAGCUUUGGGAAUACUGUUGAUGAUGAUCCCAAAAACUCACUACCUAUGUAUUGCACACCAUACAUAAAGCAUAUAUCCAGCUUCUCAAGGACAGGCGGCUGCCCCAAAGGAGGCAAACAUGGACAUCUUAAGCAAGAGUCGAGGUAAAGUAUUUUCAGUUGAGCUAAUGAUGAACCCAUCAUCCAAUUGGGCCACUCUCUAUCACUAUAAUCGAAUAUACGUAGAGAUUUCAAGUUUGGAUGGGGUUGUAGAGCUUCAGCCACACCCUUGGUCCCCUCCUUUCUACCAAAUUCCAAAUCCAAACGUUGGAGGAUUCUUAUUCUUCAAUUCUGCUUUUUCUGCCUCCCCAGCAUCUUUCACUUCAUCCAACCCUUCAACGGAAAGACGUCCUCUUAGGUUGUUCAAGUUUCUCAGGUCUCCUAGUUGGCAUUCAUCAUUGCCAUGACUACUCACAAUGAAAACAUCCAGUGUCUGAAGAGAGCUUAAUCUUCCAAUUCCUUUUGGUAAGCCCUCUAGAGUACCAUAACUUUCAAGAUGCCUCAACUUUUUCUCCACUCCUCCCGUGAAACGCUAUGGUACUGAACAAUGACCGGCAUUGCUCAUUGGACAGUUCUCCUAAGGGUUGCUUGUACGUGGUUCCCAUGAUUGUAGAAACGUUUUCGUUUCGUGUGGUCACCAAAAUUCUACUUCCCGGUGCCCCACCCUUGAGAGAACUCUCUACUUGUUCCCACAAUUCAUAGUUUUCAGUCCAAACAUCGUAGCACAAGUAGGAACUUCUUAUCGGCAAUAAGUGUGCGAAUUUUUUGUUGUACAGCUUCCAGCUCAUGGAAACCAGAAGACUCUUUCUGGAGGGCUUUAAGAAUAGCUCUAGAAAUCCUCACUGGGUCAAAAGGAUCAGACACACAGACCCACACCCUUUGAUGGAAAUAGGCCUUCACCUUUUCGUGGUUGUAUGCUAAUUGAGCAAGAGUUGUUUUGCCGAUCCCUCCCAUCCCAACAAUGGAGAUGCUUUCUCGAGAACUCCCAACCAACAGCUUCUCUAUUAUAAUGCCAACAUUAUACAAUUAAGUACCCUUUGGAGUUUCCCAUUUUUUUUCUUUUAAAUUAGAAACUUUUAUAUAAAUAGAUAUCUGGUAUAAUAAAUAUAAAUUUACUUCAUAUUUUUUAAAUUCAUUUUAAAAAAUUUUAAAUUUUGAGAUAGUAAAUUUUCUUUAAUAUUUCAAUUUGUUAAAUUAUUUUUAAAUUAUCAGAGUUCUUAUAUCUUAUAUAAAGAAACUACUAUUUUCUAAUUUUAUAAAUAAAAAAAAAGCAUUUUAUAAAACUAAAAAGUGUAUCCAAACAAACACUAAGAGCCUGUUUGGUCAUUUGAUUUAAAAACAAUUUUUUGUUUUUAAAUAACAAAAAACUAUUUUUAAAAUUUUCUAACAUUGUUUUAUCGUUAUUCUCUGAAAACAUUUUUUAAAACAAAGUGAAAUAGAUAACAAUUUUUAGAAAACAAAUAAGAGUUGUUUUCACCAAUUUUUAAAAACAAAGGAAAACAUGAAUCCAUUUGAUCAUGUUUUCCGAAACUUGUAAUUAAAAAUUAUUUUUAAAUUAAAGAAUAAAAAACAGUUUUAAAAAAUAAGUUUCAGAAAACAUGGUCAAAGGACCUUAAGUGACUUGAUAAUACCUCACAUUUAUUAGGCAAAGCCCCCUCUAGGAGAAAAUUUUUGUUGGAAUCAUAACCAAGCAUUUGAAACCUUUGCAUUGAAAUUUCAAGAGCAUCCCACUUCAUCCAUUAGGUUAACAAUAGAUAUGUCCUUACAACAAAUCAGAAGAAACAUCAUGCAUGCAUGCAUGUAAGUUCCCAUCAUUCGCAAACCAUUUAUGUUGUAGGAAAUAAAUCCAAACAAUAAAGUUGAAGUUUACACAUUCUUACAUAUAUAGGCAAACCAAUGAAAGGGGAAAAGAAAAAGAGAAAAAAAAUUUACAAAUCACCAAUUUGAAAUUGAUUCAUAGACAACUUCACAAUACAUAGGUGUUGGGAAUUUUCUCCUCUUUAUUUGAACUUGCUUCUCUGAAACGAAAAACAAUAAAAUUAAGAUGGAAAAGAGAUAAGGAAAGUCAAGACAUAAAUAAAUAUCAAAGCUUGCAAGUAAAAAUGACAAAUAAUAAUAAUAAUAAAUGAUGCCUUUGGAUAUAAUUUUGAGACAAGAAUCAAGAUGGUCUUUAUUGAUAAGUUUUGAAAUUUUCUUUGCAAUAUUUUGAGCAAAUAAUCUAAUAGGUUAGGGUAUUAAAAUAUUAAUUAGUUAACAUUUAGAUCAUGUUUUUCAUUUGUUUCAUUUCUCAUUCAUUAUAUUUGAAAUAUUAUUUUUUGGAAUAAGAAAAGGAAUAAAAACUUCAUCACUAUGAAAAUUAAAUCUUACUCCUGUUGGAAUUUUGGUUUCUCUCUUGUAUGUAGUAAUAUGAUUCACCUUCGUACCUAUCUUAUUUUUUAUUCUCAUUCCCAUAAAUAGAAUUCAAAGAAACUAAGUUGUCUAAUCAAGAUAUCAAAGAUCAGCUUCACUUGGAAACACUUUUAGUUGUCUAAUUAAGAACCAUAAAGAAACUAAGGGGAAAAAAGUAGUAGGUAUUUUACACUAUAAAUAUCCUAUUUGAUAAUAUAUAACUUUCAUAAAAUUGAAUUUUAAUUAUCUUAUAUCCAAAUUCAAUUUAACAAAGUAUUAAAAAUAUAAAAACCAUUAUCAUAAUUUUAAUGAGUUUUUGUUAAUAUUUUAGAUAUUAAUUAAAUAUAUAGGAUUUUAAAUUUAAAAAUAAAAUUAUAAAUAUUUUAAAAAUCAUACAUAUGGAAUCAUUUCUUUUUUAUCAUUAAAUACAUCUAAAUUAUAUUUUUCUAUGAAAUAUAUUUUCAGUGUUAUAUAUUAUUAAUUUACUGUCGAAUAUUACAAAUUAUAUUAUACAUAGAUUAUUUAAGAAUAACAACUUAAAUAGAUGUAUUAUUUCUUGUUUUAUAAUCUUUUUUAAUUCUUUUCAAAAUAUCCAUCGAAGUCGAUAUAUUUUAUCCUUAACUUUUAAUAAAAUUUAACGGAGAUAUUAUAAGAAUGACUAACAAUCAAAGGGGAAUGUUAUAAACUUGUAGAAAUUUGUGAAUGUUACCAUCCUUGUAUUAAACCUUUCAACUAUUCAUAUAACCUUCAUAACUAUAAAAAAAUAUAUUAAUUUAGUCAUUAUGAUUAUAACCCUAUAAGUAGAAUUUGGGUUUUUAGAAAGAGAUAAUUUAGAGUUUACUUUUUCAGAAUUUCUGCUUUCAGUUCUUCGCUCUAUUUUCUUUAUUUUUACAAUUUAUAUAUAUACCCAUGGGCCUGAAACCUGAUCAAUCAUUGCGCCCAUACCACCAGAAAAGGGGAAACACUAGGCCCAUGGCCCAACAAAAGUCUACUCUAAGCCGAAAACCCCCAACUCCACCAGAAAAGAGGGAACACUAGGCCCAUGCCCAAGAAAAGUGUACCCUAAAAUGGAAUUUGAUAAUAUAUAACAUUAUAUAGUACAUAUAGAGUCUAAAGAUCACAUAAAAUCUCUUCUACACGGUUGUUGGAGGUAUUUGAUCAUGUAACAAAACACUUUUAGAAUAGAAAAGGUUUCAAGUUUUUUUGUACAAAAGGUUUUCAUUUUUAUUUCUCUUAUUUUGCAAGGUGUAGAUAUUAUAGGAUAAACACUUUAGUAACAGCGUAGAUGUGCCAAAAUGGACCUAUGGAUACAACAUAAUAAUGUUUUGCAAAAUGGAAAGCUUCAGAAAAAGAUUAUUCAUGAAAUACAUUAAUGUGUGCGAUUAUGGAUGCAAUGGAAAUGAAAACUAAGAUAAAUUCAAAUUACCUGUAACAAGAGCGACAUGAGGUGAAGCGUGAUGACCAUUCAGUCCCGUGAAUAUUCGACUUCGACUUCUGGGAUAUGAGAUAUUUUGUGUCGAUCCUCUCCGAUAUCCUUUCGAUAGCGUCGUUUCAGAAUAGGAGAACCUGCGAUGUCCAAUUUCUGCAAUGGUGUCCUCUGGAGCACGUGGUCCGGCAGUCCCUCCAGCUUUGGGCAGCCUCUCAUAAUCAAGUGAUUGAGACAUGGCAUUAUUGACCUCUCUUCUUUUUCUUUUAUUUCCCAUUGCUUCAAUUCAACCAAACCAGAAAUAGCCAAUUCCUUCAGCUUUGGGAAUACUGUUGAUGAUGAUCCCAAAAACUCACUACCUAUGUAUUUCACACCAUCCAUACCCCAUAUAUACAGCUUCUCAAGGACAGGCAGUUGCCCCAAAGGAGGCAAACAUGGACAUCUUUUACAAAACCAGAGGUGAAGUAUUUUCAGUUGAGCUAAUGAUGAACCCAUCAUCCAAUUGGGCCACUCUCUAUCACCAUAAUCGACUAUACCUAGGGAUUUCAAGUUUGGAUGGGGUUGUAGAGCUUCAGCCACACCCUUUGUCCCCUCCUUUUCACCAAAUUCCAAUGUCAAAUAUUGGAAGUGUACCCUAUUCUUCAAUUCUGCUUUUUCUGGCUCCCCAGCAUCUUUCACUUCAUCCAACCCUUCAACGGAAAGACGUCCUCUUAGGUUGUUCAAGUUUCUCAGGUCUCCUAUUUGGCAUUCAUCAUUGCCAUGACUACUCACGAUGAAAACAUCCAGUGUCUGAAGAGAGCUUAAUCUUCCAAUUCCUUUUGGCAAGCCCUUUAGACUCCGAGUAUAAUUUUCAAGAUGCCUCAAAUUAAUUAGUUUACCCAUUGCAUGUGGUAGUUUCUGAAGACUUGAACAUCCUUCAAUAUUUAAGGUUUGCAAAUUAUAUAAAUCACAAAUUGUUUCAGGCAACUCUCUCAAACUUUCACACCAUGAUAGAUUAAGGUAUCUUAAGUGUAUCAAUUUUCCUACCUCCUUAGGAAGUUCCUCAAUCCAAUCAUUGCUGCUCAAAUCCAAUGCCCUAAGACAUGUCAAAUUGCCUAAGGCUUCAAGAACUCUUGAAUCGAAUGCUUCCUUAGCCAAGAGGGUGUGAAGAUUCUUCAUGUUACAAGUGGAGGCGAAAUUAGGGGUACUCUCUCGGACAACUAAGGUGGCAUGACGAAUCUUUUGGAAGAAUAAGUCCAUACUCCCCUUUUUUUGGUUGUCAACCUCCACAAUAAAGCAUUCAUUCUGAGUCAAAAAUUGAGCAAAAUCAUGCACUAUAUCAUGCAUCUCACAACGUAUUAUAUUACCAUCAGUAUCUUUUUCAAAAUCUUGGAAGAAAGACCGAGCAGCUAAAUAUUCAAAGUACGUUCUCCCAACCAUCUCCAUCUCUUUUCUCCCAUCAGAUUUGAGAUAGCUUUGUGCCAUCCACAACUUGAUCAGCUCAGCUCUCACAAUAACCGAGUCUUUUGGAAAAACAGCACAAAAUGAGAAGCAGCGUUGAAUUGCAGGGGGCAGAUCAUAAUAACUCAACAACAAAGCAGGGGAAAUAUCUCUCUCAAACUCAUCUAGCUGCCAUACUUCACUAUUCAAUACGUUCUUCCAUUCUUCCUCGCUAUUUUUUAUGCGCAAGAGGUUCCCUAAAGUUUUUAUAGCGAGGGGCAAGCCCUUGCAUUUGUCUGCUAUUUUCUCACCAAUUUCUUUUAGUUCUUCCUCUUUCUCCCAACUACGCUUUUCAAAGAAAGCUAUUUGAUGGAAUAAUGCCCGAGAUUGCUCCAAAGACAGCUCCCCUAAGGAAUGCAUGUAUGUAGUUCCCAUCAUCUUAACAACACUCUCUUUACGUGUGGUCACUAGAAUUCUACUCCCUACAGCUCCGCUGGUGAGAGUGUUCCUCAGUUGUUCCCACAAUUGAUGGUUUUCGGUCCACACGUCAUCUAGCACAAGAAGGAACUUCUUUCCGGCAAUACAUGUUCGAAUUUCUUGUUGUACAGCUUCCAAAUCAUGGAGAUGACAAGGCCCUUUUUGGAGGGCCUCAACAAUAGCCCUACAAACUCUGAAUGGGUCAAAAGGAUCAGAAACACAGACCCAUAUUCUCUCAUCAAAAUGGGCCUUCACCUGUCGGUGGUUGUAGGCUAGUCGAGCAAGAGUUGUUUUGCCCAUGCCUCCCGUCCCAACUACGGAGACGAUGUGGAGGCCAGAUUUCUCUAGACACUUCUUACCCAACAAAUGGUCUAAUAUCAUUUUUUCAUCCAUAUCCCGACCGUACACCUCUGAAAUAUCAAUUGCAGAGGUAGUUAUAAGUCGCUGUGGUCGCUCCUCACUCCUACUAGAGACAAAAUUAAAAUCGGUCCGCUCACUUGCAACUUGCUUGAAACGGAUGAAAGGGGAGGGCAUACAGAAGCUUACCUUCGUCUUAGACGUGGAAGCAUUUUCAACUCCCUCCAUCUGGAAUUGAAAAAUAGCAAUGCUCCACUCAUCCAGCACGUCCAUCAUUUCGUAGGCCAUGUCUUUGAGCCUCUCCAACCAACCUUGGACAGAUUUUUCCUUCACUUUUCUCCUCUCGGCAUCUUCAAGAACAUCUCGGACGGAGAGGAGUGUGUUUUUGAGACUUUGAAUUUCGGAUUCAACACCCGAAGCCAGAGAAACUUGUUCAUGAAUCUGCUGUUCAACAACCGAAGUUAAGCGUUCCAGCACAAUAGAAACGAGGGUAUCAGCCAUGGGGAGGGUGAAGAAGGUGGGAUUGAUGAAUGAAGAGGAAUGGAGGAUGAAUAAAGGCCAGUGAGAUGAAGAGAUCAGAUCUGCAGCUUUGGAGGUCAACCCUUUUGGAGGCCGGUGGGGCCAGAGGGAUGCAAUAUCGAGGCUUUGGGAGCUACUUUAUUUGAAUUGUUGAGCUUUUUGGAGCUUUGCUUUAUACGGUUUGUAUUAUUUGAGGCUAGUGGGGCUUCUUUAUUUGAAUCAUCAAGGCUUGCUUGAUAUGCAUGAUUGAGGCUGGUGGGGUCAUUAAAUAAUCGUACAUAGCUUUGAAUCAAAAUCCAGAUAAAUUAAUCCCAUCAUCUGACUGAAUAUUCAGCAUAUUAAAAUAGCCUUCAUUCAAUUAUUAUGGCUCCUUACAAUUAAACUAAUUAGUAAUUAGCUUUAAAUGCUUUAAAUUUUAAAAGUUUUAGUUCAAGGACAAUUUUGAUAUUUAAGCCCAUUAUUGUCCUUUAAAAAUUAUGAAAAGAGACUAUCCUUCUCAAUAAUUAUUACAUCUAGCCCACCUUAUCCUAUAAUUUUUUUUUUUUUUUUUUGUUGCUUUUGGCUUAUUAAUGGUAAUCUUGGCAUUUAAAAAGAAGACCUUUAAGAAAUUAUGACAUUUUCAACCUACCCUUUACAACACUCACCCAGGUUAAUUUUUUUUACCCCGCCCACCCUAAAUGAUAAUUUUCCCUUUUUUUUUUCUCUUCUAAGAUUAAAGUUUCAAUAGAAAUUAAGAUUAAGAUUAUAAUUGAAAUUGAAGUCAAAACUAGGAUUAAUGUUAAAAUUGAAAAUUAAAGUUAUAAUUAUAAUGAAAAUUAAUUUUAAAAUUAAAAUUAAGACUAAGAUUAGUAAAGUCAAAAUUAAGACUAAAGUUAAACUUAAAGAUGAAAACAAGAUUAAAAUUACUAAAAUGAACAUAAAAAUUCAAUCAUACAAAUAAAAUUUUCUUUUCAUUUAUGAGAUUAAAAUAAAAAUCAAGAUCAAAACCAUCACAUAAAAAUUAGAAUUAACAUUAAAAUUAGAAUUUAAAUUGAAAUUAGAAUCAAAAUUAAAGUCAAAACUAAGAUUAAUGUCAAAAUUGAUAUUAAAAUUAAAAUUAAAAUGGAAAUUAAUAUAAAAAUUAAAAUUAAGUUUAAGAUGAGGAUUGAAAUUCAGGUCAAAACUAAUAUUAAAAUUAAAGUCAAAGUUAAGACUAAAGUUCAAGCUAAAGAUUAAAACUAGAAUUAAAAUUACUACAAUUAACAUUAAAAUUGACAUUGAAAUUAAGAUUACAAAUUCUAAUUAAACUAAAAUUAGAAUUAAGAUCAAAACUAAGAUUAAAGUUAAAAUUAAAAUUAAAAAUCAAAAUCAAAAUUAUCAAAGAAUAUAUAUAUUCUUUAAUUACCUAAAUAAUACAUAUUUAUUAUAGUUCUUAAUCUUAUUUAAUUUUAAUUAUUAUUUUUUUAUUAUAUAUAUGAAGUAAUAUAAAUAAAAAAUAUACUAAUAUAAGUUCCUCAAAUAAUAUAUAUUAUAUUAUUUCAUAGUAACUUUACUAUCAUCAAAACAUUAAUAACAUACUGUGGACCCCGCAUUUCGGCUCAAUGCGUUUCCCACUCGAAUGGCGAACUUGAUUUUUGUUUCUGAAAAAUGAUAUUUCUUGAUUAAGAAAAAUUGACUUGGAGUCGCCACUUAUUUUUGUUUUAUUUUUAAAGGGUAACAAAAUAAGAAAGAAAACCCUAAGUGUGACUCCUUGUUUUGGAAAAGGUGGUCUGUGAAAAACCUGAUCGGGCUCGGGGGUCAGGUUACUUAUCGGGAAGGUACGGUACGGACCAUAGCACCCCUCUAAGUCCCUAAAGUCGGGUCUCUACUAAUACAAUGAAACAGACGUGGCAAUCAACGAGAAAGUCAAUGGAUACUUACCUAAAUCAUACACAAUAUGGGAAUCAAAACACGCAAUAGAGAUUGACUAGAAUGAGAGUGGAUGCGUACCUCGGCCACGAGCCACAAUGCGCUAUCAAGAAACGGGAUUAGUGCACAAUUAAUGAAUACAAAAUAUAGCCCAUACAUAUCGAAGUGCAAAAUGAAGAUCAGACAAAAUACAUCAAGUGCAACAGUUGACAAUCGAAAGGGAUCAAACAUCGAGCCCCCACCAAGGCCCAAUUUAUGGUUCAUGAAUUAGUGUUACAAAUUUUGUGUUCUAGAAUUACGAAUAAUUUAUCUUUGCUUACGUAGAAUCAAGAAGAUCAGAAGAUUAUUUAAAAACCGAAAUGGAAUUAAAACUAUUCGAGUGAAAACAGGAUUCUUGGAAUUUAUUUGAAAAUUGGAGUCUUGGGAAUUAAAUUUAAAAGAUUAGAGCUCCGGUAAUUAAAUUGAAAUUUGUUAAAGAAAAUGAGAAACAGACUUUAGGAAAUAGAACUGCGAGACCAUGGACUUUUGAAAGUUGAAUUUGUAAUAAUAGUAAUAAUAAAAUUUUGAAAGUUUGAAUUAAUGAUAAUAAUAAUAAUAAGGUUUUGAAAGUGUGAAUUAAUAAUAAUAAUAAUAAUAAUAAUAAUAAUAAUAAGACUUUGAAAGGUUGAAUUAAUAAUAAUAACAAUAAGAUUUUGAAAGUUUAAAUUAAUAGUAAUAAUAAUAAUAAGAUUUGGAGAGUUCGAAAUAAUAAUAAUAAUAAUAAUAGGAUUUUGAAAGUUUGAAUUAAUAAUAAUAAUAAUAAUAAGAAAUGAACUUUGAGAAAUUAAACUGCGAGAAUAUAGAUUUUGAAAAUUGAAUUAAUAAUAAAAAUACUAAUAAUAAUAAGAAUAACGAGAUUUGGAAAAUUGAAUUAAUAAUAAUAACGACUAUGGUAAUAAUAAUAAUAAUAAUAAUAAUAAUAAUAAGGAUAAUAGUUAAUAAUAAGAUUUGGGAAAUUGAAUUAAUAAUAAUAAUAAUAACAAUAAGAUUUGGAAAAUUGAAUUAAUAAUAAUAAUGACUAUGGUAAUAAUAAUAAUAAUAGUAAUAGUAAUAAUAAUAAUAAUAGUUAAUGAGAAUAGUAAUAAUAAUAAUAGUAAUAAUAAUAAUUAAUAGUAAUAAUAAUAAUAAUAAUAAUAAUAAGGUUUUAAAAGUUGAAUUAAUAAUAAUAAUAAUAAUAAUAAUAAUAAUAAUAACAAUAAUAAUAAUAAUAGGAAAUUGAAUUUGAAUAUUUAAGUAACAAUAAUGUAAAUAGGCUUAGGACAAUGGUUAGGAAUGGGCUUAAGACAAUGGCUACUUAAAUUGAGCCCUUUAAUGGGCCUAAGGUGGGAAGAAGUUUCAAAGAAAACUAGUGGGCCUUGGGUGCAACUAACAGUGCAUUUAGAGGUGAUUCCAAAGUGGAGAAAGGCCUUUAAAUGGUAUUCACGGGCCUCCUGGCAGCCCAAAGAAGGCGCAACACGCACAUCACUCCUGCAAGCAAGCAAUUUCCGGCAACUCGUUCUUGGUGCUCCUAUUCCACGGCCCCCCUGAGUUGGAAGCUUAUUCCUGUCGACCCAGACAGCAACAAACGACGGACCACCAACAUCUGAGGUGGCUCAGAUCUCGGUCUUCGCCGUCGAAAAAAGAUAGCUGAUGUCCGCCAGAGCCAAAUCAUGAUCAGUCCCAUUCCUAGGCCCGCCAACAGGAAGAUCAUGCCUGCAAUGCUGGUUAGGAGCAGCGGCCGCCGUUCGAUCCUCUCGAAUAAGGAAGUGGCGAUAAGGAUGAAGCGGGUCUUGACGAAUCCGACGACGACGGUGGCGAGUAGCUGGUGUUCAGAAUUGAUGCAGCGGCGCCGAGCCCAAAGGUGGCUCCGACGAGGCUCGUGAGGAAGGAAACUGCUGCUUAGCUGCUGCCCAUUUUCCAGCCAUAGGAGAAAGCUCACACACGGAGAGGUUCGAGUGGUGACGGGUAUGAGGAUGUAGAGAGAGAAAUGGUGGUGAGGGGUAGGUUAGAAAAAUGGGUAUGAGAUGAGCUUUAGAGAAAGAGAGAGGGAGAGAUAGGUUGAAAUAUGGGUGUUAGAAGGUGGACAUGAUGGAUGAUGCGUGGGAACCAAGGUGCAUGGAGAAUAGCAUUACCAUGCAUGGCCAUGCAUGGCCAUGCGAAGGUGGAGGGAACGAACGUGGAGGGCACCUAAAAGAGGAUAGAUGGGUGGGGUGUGGUGUAGAGAGAGAGUGUAAUGGACGAAAGAUGAAAUGGGUUAAAGGGUCUGAAGAAGGUUUAGAGUGAGAAAAUGGGCUUAGUGGGGCGGUGCGAUGGGUAGAGUGGGUGGCAACGGGUAUAAAGAUAUUAGAGAGAGAAGUGGGUUGCUUCAGGCUUGUUUCAUGCAAGCUGGGAGGCACGUCACUCACAUUCUGGUCAACAUCCAGCCUAAACUUCCCAUGUAGAGUAUGCACUUCAUUCACAUCAUUUGUUCUUACUGACCCAAGAGAUUGGCCUGCCGAUGGCUGGUAUACGUGAAGCUUGUAGUUCCAUUGAAGACGGGAAGAGGGAAGCGCUGGUGGGACUGCUAAUGGUACUAAAACUGUGAGCGUGGGUAUCAAGAUCUUCUCUGCUAGCGCGACUGGGAGGAUGCUCAUGAUAGUCACUAUGUAGGACUUCAUCCCUGGAACUUGGAGCUCAUGAAAAAGACUCGGAUCUUGAUCUGGAAAAUUAUCUUCAGCGUAAGCUCGAACCAUUAAAUUCCGAGUAAUUAAGUCAGAUUCAGACAUUGUUGAAUAUUGCAUAGGCAUCACCAUGAGGACUACAACCUCUCAAGAAACAUUGAUAACUCCGAGAUGCGAUUUUAAUGUAGCGAUUUUCAUUCUCCUUCCAGCCUCACCCAAACUAACCAGAGAUUCACAGGUUUUAAAAUAAAAUAAAACGCGCGUGGAAGAAUGAGAAAACAGAGGGUAAAACAAUGCAAAUCUCAAGAAGCAAACAAAGAAUAUCCCAUGACAAUUAUAUUGAGCCUCAUUCCAAGUGUAAAUCCUUAGGCUAUGGGCCGUGGAAAAACGGAGAACACAAACACGAUUCGAAUGAACCCAUACGCAUGAUAUCUCCAAAUGAAAUCAAAGAACGAGAGAAUAGCAGAGCAAAACACGUUCGAGCAGUGAAUGAAAACUAAAACCCAUAAGGAAAAUGCAUGAAGGACAAAUGUGAUGAGAAAUAUGAUCAGAAAACUUACGAGGCUAGCACCUGGGAGGGCUUAUUCUCAAAAAAACAAAUCAGGAAACCCGUGGGUUUUUUCUUGCUCCUGCUACCCUGCUACCAUUCUUUCCAGACCUCCCCACUGCCCUCCUGCCCUCUGCCUCCUUUUCUUUAGCUUCUCCUCCAAGCCAUUUCUGUACCCCGUCCCAUCUGCCGUAAAAAAAAAACCUACCCAUCUCGUCCUAUGGCCGCCCUGUUUUGGCUGCCACCCCCAACUCAUUCUCGGGUUCUGAAGCCGAGAGAGAAAAAAGAAAAGCCAAAAGAAAAAGCAAUAAAAUAAUAAUCCCAAAAAAAAGGAAAAAAAACCUGCUACCGCUAUUGAGGGGGUCUACACAUACUAAUUAAUAAUUAAAUAGAUCAUAUAGCUAUUUAUCAUUGUUACUAAUAUUACAACUUAACAACAUUGUUCAACGAUAAAAUCACUCAAUUCAUUAGGAAAUAAUACAAUCAAUGAUGAAAGUUUUUUAAUCAAAGAAUAUGGAUAAAAAAUUAUAUUUUGUGAUGCAAUUUUAAUUUGCCUAUAAAUUUUCAUUGGAAAAAUCAUAUUUUCUUGUAGAAAUAAUACAAUCAAUGAUGAAAGUUUUUUAAUCAAAGAAAAUGGAUAAAAAAUUAUAUUUUGUGAUGCAAUUUUAAUUUGCCUAUAAAUUUUCAUUGGAAAAAUCAUAUUUUCUUGAAGUGUAGACAGUAGUAGCAAAAAAAAGUCACAUUUGUAACCACACCACUAUAAUUAUUAUUAUUUUUUAUAUUUUUUUUAUGGCCUAGUUGUUAUUAAAAAAAUUUUAAAAUAAUUAUUUUACCUUACUUUUAAUUUGGAACUUUAAUAUAACAACAAAGUGGUCACUUAUGGUUAAAAUUUUGAAUAAUGAAAUUAUUUUUUCAUCUCUCGACUUUCAAUCAAAUAUUUGUAUUUACAGUGGUCCACUACCCAACACUUUGUGACUAUAAAUUCCCCAAAUGUGUCAGCACCUUCACUCCGUUGUCUCGUUCGACUCUCUCUCUGCGCCUCUUCAAGAUGCUCUCCUUCCCUUCCUCAAAAUCUUGCCCAACUGCAAAACCAGUGUUUCCGAAUCUUCACUCAUAUCUCUCAGAUUCCUUUUCUGGAUCCCAAUCUUUCUCUUUCAACCCACAAACUGGAUUCAACCUCCACCCGAAAUCUCUCCAAAUCAGAGCCAUGGAGGCCUCCCUAGACUACCACUUUGGAACCCAAUUGCAAACCCAUAUCAAAACACCAACAAGCCUCAAAAUCGCAAUCAUUGGGUUCGACAACUUUGGCCAGUUUCUAGCAAAAACCUUCGUCAGCCAGGGCCACACCGUCCUCGCCCACUCUCGCUCUGACUACUCCGACACGGCUGCUAAGCUCGGCGUUUCCUUCUUUAGUGACCCGCACGACCUUUGCGACGAACACCCAGAAGUGGUGAUGCUAUGCACCUUGAUCAUUUCGACAAAAUCCGUGCUCAAAUCGAUCCCAUUUCAUAGACUACGGCGUAGGACGCUAUUUGUGGACGUUUUGUCGGUGAAAGAAUUUCCAAGAAGCUUAUUUCUCGAAAUCUUGCCUGAAGAGUUCGAUAUCCUCUGUACACACCCAAUGUUCGGUCCGGAGAGUGGCAAAAAUGGGUGGGUAGGCCUUACUUUUAUGUGCGAUAAGGUCAGAAUUGGAAACGAUGAUCCUAGAAUCUCAAGGUGUGGGAGAUUGUUGGAUGUUUUUGCAAGAGAAGGGUGCAAAAUGGUAGAGAUGAGCUGUGUGUUUAAUCAACCAUUAUAAAUCCAAGAACUCUACAUAAGAAUCUCAUGUUAAAUCAUAUAAAGAAAUGUGCCUGAACGUUUUAUGGAAUGCGAACAUACUGAAUCCAGACUAACCUGAGUUCAUUGUGGGUGUAGAUGAAUAAGGUAUGGAUCUUCUAAGGCUGUAGAGGGCUAUCCACCUUUUAGUAAUCUCUUUGAUGAUGGGAGCAAGAGAGAACGAGUUUUGUUCUUUAUUCAAAAGAUGUGAUCAUUUGAAGAACAGACACUUACCCUUUAUAUACCCUCCUGCCUUAGGGACCAUACCCUUUGGGUUAUUGGGCCUCACAAGUCUUAGCCCAUCAUCUAAGGCCUGUGAUGACAUUGGGCUCUACACAUAAGGUUACCCAUACUCUAGAUCAAUCAACAAUCAUAUAUAUAUAUAUAUGGAUAGCUAAAUCCUGAAUAAUGGUUAAUAUGAUGUGAGUCCACAUUUAUUCUAACAAUCUCCCACUUGGACCACAUAUAUUAGCCAACAAUGUUCAUGAUAAUACUUCAUUGAGCUCAUCUUUGCUAUCCUAUUCAAAUAUCCUUAAACAAUCUGGUCUACUAAUUAUGCUAACAUAGCAUCAAAGCGGCCUUCAUUAAUCACAAUUAUAACUAAACCCAUCAAUGAUCACAACAUUAACAAAAUUAGCAACAUGGAUCAAGUAUGGAUGUGUAGCAUGGAAAUUACAUAGAAUGUGAUAUUUAAUAUGUUUAUUUCCAAUUGGUCCUACUUUAUGACUAAAAAUAGUCAAAUUCCACUUUCAACACUUGAUGCUAAACUGCUUCUGAAAGUCAUCAUUUCAAUUAAGAGUAUUCAAAGACAGUAGUCUUUAAAAACAAGGUCUGUACAGAUAAUACAAACAUAAUAUCACAUCAAGAAAACAAACACAAAAUCUAAAUACAAACUCCCACUAUACUAGCACAUCAUCAAUGUGUACAACACCCAUAUGUGUGACAUGCUCAUGAUAUACUUUGGGUGGCAAACCCUUAGUGAGUGGAUCCACAAUCAUGGAGUUUGUGUGUGGACCCACAUUUUUCACGUGCGUCCCCACUCGAUCGGCGAGACUCGCUUUUUAUUUGUGAAAAAUUAAUUUUUGGAAAAAGUUGGAGUCACCACUUAUUUUAUUUUUAUUUUAAAGGGAAAAUAAAACAAGAAAGAAAAACCCUAAAAUGUGACUCCAUAAUUUUUGGAAAAAGCGUGUCUUUGAAAAACUCGAGUCUAAGUCUGGGGAUCAGGUUACCUAUUGGGAAGGUACCUUUAAAAGGUAGCACCCCUCUAAGCCCUAUAAAGGUCUCUACUAACUAAGUUGACGGAAAUAUGACAAUUAAUCGAUUGAUCAUAGAUACCGAAGUAGGUUAGGUGAUUUCAAAUAUUGCAUGCUUAAAAAGAGAACAAACCAUAAGAGAGAGUCGAAGUGCGUACCUGAACGACUUCUCAAGCGCUAUCAUGAAACAUAAGAGUUAGUGUAGAAAUCUAUCACACAACAUGUGUCUUAUCUGGGCUAAUCUAGUAUAUAUUUAAACACCUAAGAAUCACAUCAUGCAUGAAUAUAGUCACCAAUAGCAUACGUGUCCAUAGAAUUCUCGAAAAAAGGAUGAGAAGGAGCGUACCUGGAUAGCAAGCUAAAACGCCUUUACGGGAAGCAAGGUUAGCCCAAUAACAAAUAUAAAACAAAUUCAAGCAUAUCUCUAAGAGGAAUCAAAAUCAAUUAAAUACCAAACAAUCAUCUUUAAAAUCAAUAUUAGUGAAGAUAUCAAGAAUGUAGGACCACCCACCAAAGUCCAUAUUGCUUUUGCACGAAUUGAUUCAAUGAAUUCCAUUGUUUGGAAUCAUGAAGUUUGUUCAUGCUUAUUGAAAAUCGGUUGAAAAUCAAAUAAAAUAGUGAAAACGUGUGCCGGAAGGAAAAUGGCAGCAAAAGGGUGUUGAAAUCUGGAUUUUAUUGCCUAGAGAAGGUCUAAAGAUGAAUUUUUCAAAGUUGAGAAUGUUUAGUUGAACAAUGAUUCAAAAAUUCAAUUUAAAACAAUAAGUUCCCAAUCAAAGAAGCGAAUAGAGGAGAAGGUGGAACGUCGGCCGGAUAGAAUGGCGGCUGUGAGAUAUCCGGAGAGAGUAGGAUGUCGGCCGGAUAUAAUUGCGGCUGUGAGACAUCCGGAGAAAAUGAGAUGUCGGUCGGAUAGAAUGGCGGCUGUGAGACACCCGGAGAAAGUGGGAUGUUGGCCGGAUAGAAUUGCGGCUGUGAGACAUCCAGAGGGUAGGAUGUUGGCUGGAUAUAAUGACGGCUGUGAGAUAUCUGGAGAGAGUAGGAUGUUGGCCGGAUAGAAUGGCGGCUGUGAGACAUUAGGAGAAAGUGGGAUGUUGGCCGGAUAAAAUUGCGGCUGUGAGACAUCCGGAGAGGGUAGGAUGUCGGCCGGAUAGAAUGGCAGUUGUGAGAUAUCCAGAGAGAGUAGGAUGUUGGCCGGAUAGAAUUGCAGCUGUGAGACAUCCGGAGAAGGUAGGAUGUUGGCCGGAUAGAAUGGCUGCUGUGAGACAUCCGGGUGGAAUUGGUGAGAAUUUCCGUCCGGGUGGAAUGAGCGAUGCCAUAAACUAAGAACCCUCAAGAACUAUGGUAACCUCUGCAUCUGUUUAACUCCAAGAAAAACCGUUUUACACAACCUUUAUCAAGUUCCCAACUUUCUCAGAAUGCUCAUGGACUCCAUAUCCGAGAAUACCAAGGUAAAGAAAGGGAAGAAACGUAGAUACAGAAGCACGCAAAAAAGACCAAGAAAGAGAAGAAAAUAAAACAGGGGAAAAGAAGACAGUCGGUGGGUGUUUUAAAGCCAGAUUAGGACACAAAUGGGGGCAAGACCCAUAACAUCGAAUUCAAAGGUAAACUUAUAUUCAGAUUGCUUUCGGAUGGAACCAAAGACAUUAAAAGGAAUAUUAAAAUAGCAUAAAUAUGCAAGCAAACUAGUCUCAACUAAUCAAAUUGUGGCCCUUGCGUCCACACCAAAUGACAAGAAUGAAUCUUCAGAAAACUAAGAAGUCAGGAAAGAUUGAAACUGAAUGGUGAAAUAGCAAAAAUCUGGAAACAUACAUGCGCGUUCUCCUCUCCAAUUGCUUGGUUCCAAGCUACUGUACCUUUUCUCGACUGAGAAAUCUGCUCUCAAACCUUUUUCCGUCCACCAAUCUUCUCCCUUCCUAUACGUAUUUCAAGUCCCUCUCUUCUAUGCCUCCUUUCCGACGAUCCUCUCAUGCACCCCCUGUUCUUUUCCUUUUCUUCUUAUAUUCGUAUCAGCCUCUCAAACUCAAUAUGUUCAAGAGAAUCCACUUUCCUUUCUUCUAUUUCCCUUCCUUUUUCAAAAAUCAGAAUGCUCUCUCUCCUCUCAUGCAAGAUAUUCUCUUACCAUAUGUAUGCAGCCACGUUAAUUCAUUUUUCCUCAUAAAAUAUUUCUCUUACCUUUUUGAGCGCACGUGCCUUAGUGAGAGUUGAAUAGCAGCCCAUAUUCUUUUAUCAAACAAUAGAAAAACAAAAAUAGAGAGAAUAAAAACAAAAAGAGUUAGCAAUCUUGCAAACUAUCAAAUAUUAAAAUAAAAUAAAAAUAAAUAAAGUAAAACAAAAUAGUUGAAUAAAAUAGUCAAUCCUAUGCGGGCCAUGCAAGUCACACAAAAAGUGAGUCUAAAAGUGCUUACUGGGCCAAGUGUGUCUAAAUGGGUUUAGAGCGGUGUCUAAUGGGCCAAGUGUACCUAAAAGCUAUCCUAAAAAUGAACGAAAAAAAGCCUAAGUCUAAAUUAGGGCUGUCAAGAGUCACAAUAAGGGGUCAGAUAAUCUCUCAACCAAAAUCUCCGAGGUGACUCAGAAAAAGGUAAGUUGUACGAGUAGUAAUGGGCCACCAAGGAGUUAUUAUGGAGCAUUAAAAAUGAAUUUAAAGACAUGUGCUAAAGGGACAAAAUUGAGGGUGUACAUUGUGCUUAUGUGUUCAAUUGAUACUUGAAGACUUUGAACUCUUUCUUUCACAACCAAGAACUUGAUGUCAAUGUGUUUAGAUUUUGACGAACUUCGGUUGUUCUUAGAAUAUAAUUUUACAGCCUUAUUAUCACAGUUGAUUCUCAAUGGUUUCUCAAUCCCAUCAAUAAUUCACAACUGAGUGAUAAAAUUCCGCAGCCAUAUCCCAUGGUUUGAUGCCUCGUAGCAGACUAUGAAUUCUACCUAACAUUCCAACAAUGUACGCAAUAUACAGACGCAUAUAAACUUGUGCAUACAUGAGACUUCCUACUGUUGAGGCAUAGGGAAACCUCUCCAUAUCCUUUUUCUCAAGUUCAUUUUUCGGACAUUGCUGCAAACUAAAUUUAUCGCCUUUUGCCACAAGCGUGUCUCCUGGUGCACAAUUGCUCAUGCCAAACCUUCUUAACACCUUAUCGAUGAUCGCCUUUCAUUGAUUUCAUCUCAUCCUUCAUGGCUUCUAUCCACUUUUUAGAGUCAGAACUUUGUUUGACUUGACUAACUGAAAUUGGAUCAUCUUCCAGACCCAUGUGAAACUCAUAUUCCUGGAGAUAUAUAACAUAAUCAUCUGAAAUUGUACUUCUCCUUUCUCUAGUGGAUCUCCUCAGUGGCACUUGUACUUGAGGUUCUUGAGGUUGUUGAGUUACCUCUUCAUGAACUUGAAUUGGUUCCAUAACUUGAGUAGGAGGAAUCCCAGGUGUGUCUACAAUCUCUGUUAUUGGUUGUACAUUCUGGAUAGUGUCAUCAAUCAUAAUAUGACCAUGUCCAGUUGUAAUAAUAGGAAUACUACCAGAUUCCUCUUCAAAGACCACCUUUCUUAAUGAUUCUCUCCCACUUAACUCAACAUCCUCAAUAAACUUAGCAUUGCCCAUUUUAAAGAAGGAUCUAGUUGAGGGGUCAUAAAUAAAUAUCAUGCAUAUAUGAAUAAAUAAAAAUUUAAACAUAUAUAUAUAUAUAUGCAUGUGAGCCUAUUACAAGAUACCUAGCACAAACAUUAAUAUUCAGUAUUUGGAAAAAAAUAUCAGUUUGUAAUUGUUAUCCUUUGACAAAAUUAAUUCAUAAAUAUUGACAAUAAAACCGAAGCAAUAUGCCUAUCUUUGGACUGACAUACAACAAGUAAGAUAAACUUUAUAUGUCACAUAUUUAUGACUACUUUAUUUAUUAUUAUAUUAAAAUAAUCUUCAUUUGGGCCGAUUAUUUUAAAUAAUAAUAAUAAUAAUAACAUGUUUAGAUAUUAUAAAAUAAAUAAAUUAUGUAAUAUAAGUUACUUUGGCAACUAAUAUACAUUCAUUUAUUUUAAAAAAAAAAUAUUAAACACAAAUGGAGCAUAAAAUGAUGGGAAAAUUUUCCGAUCCAUCUUAUAUAAAUUAAAAACUGAGGGUCCAAGGUUGGACUGCAAAAGAAGGUGGUCCACCAUCUCCCUAAAAUUCUUGUGCAUGCAGCACCAGCUUGGUAGCAACAUGGCUUCUUUUAAUAGAUUAUCAAAUAGUCAAAAUGUUUACCAAAUAUGCAAUUUAAACAAAAAAUAUACUUUAAUAGGGACUUUACAGCCUGAAACUUUCGCAUCCCUCAAAAGGGCAAUCCCCAAUCCCUUCUUCUAUGGUGUCCAGAAAUGAUCCAACUAGGACUUAAAAAAAAAAAAAAAACAUUCACCCUCCACCAAGUAGCCUUCACAUAGACUAAGGAUCAACGGAAUUUUAUCAAGGAUUAACAAACCUUUAUAACUGAAAGUUCAUUGGUGGCAGAAUCCAAAUUGUCACCCUGCCUGAGUUUAGAUACCAUAUAAUAAUUUGGUACCCAUGCAUCAUAAACAUGGAUGCACAAUAACCAUUUUUAUAGCUAUCAAGGUAUAUAUGACAAUAAACAUGUGCAUAAAUAGACACAACUCAAUAUGGGAAAUAUGAAGUGAACCUGGGCAUAUUAAUUAAUAAUUUUUAUUUUUAUUUGUUAUAUUUUUAUUAUUUUAUUUUAUUUUUAUUUUUUAUCUUAUCUCAUCUUAUGUAGCCCCAAACAACCCAAGGUCGUUUGCAACCACGUCACUCUUGGAGCGGCACCAGUAGCGGUGCCGGAGUUGUCCUCGAGCCACCGAUGGCGAAACGUUGUCGCCAUCACCGGAAUGGUGAUUUCCCAUUUCCAAACGACGGCGCCACCACCGGAAUGACAUUGUAACGGCAUUGCUGGCAAGCAGCCCUACCUGUGGCGCGACGCCGUGAUGAGCAGAUGGCGUUUGGAGUGCCUGAAAGACGCCUUAACGGUGUCUUAACGAGGCUUGGAAACGACGCUGCAAACGGCGCCUGGUAUGGCGCCUGAAACGUGCUUUGAAUGGCGCCUGAAGUGGCCUUGAAUGCGCAACCAACUGGUGCAGUGAAGCGCGCCUUGAAUAGCGCUUGAACAGCGCCUGGUAUGGUGCCUAAAGUGCAUUUGAAACGACGCUCUUCACCGACAUCGGAUGACCCUUGAAUGACGUCUUAAACUCCUGUAAGGAGGCCUGCAACAACGCCUUCAAUACAUUAUAUAUAUAUAUACUACAGCCCAAAAGACCUAAGGUCCCCUGUAACCGAAUCAUGCGUAGCACCAAAAUGGCAUUGGUAGGUGCAACUCCGCCAAACGACGUCGCCGAUAGGGGAUGACGCCAAAAUGGCGUCUUCACUGCGUUUUGAUUGGAAGUGACGCCAAACGGCAUCUUCGACUGAAGUGACGCCAAAUGGCAUCUGGAAAUGACGCCUAUACGGUGCUUGUAACGGCGUCUAGAACGGCGCCUGUAACGGCGUCUAGAACGGCGCCUGUAACGGCGUCUAGAACGGCGCCUGUAACGGCGUCUAGAACGGCGCCUGUAACGGCGUCUAGAACGGCGCCUGUAACGGCGUCUAGAACGACGCCUGUAACGGCGUCAUUGGAAUGCUUGAAAACGACGUCUCUUGAAUGCCUGAAACGACACCAAACGACACCUUUUUCGAGCACCAGACAGGCGCCAAAACGACGCCCCUCACUGGUGUUGCAAGCAUCACCCCCAUCACUGGUAGUGGCGCCCAGAUGAUGCCAUUUUCGCGCUGAGGUUCAUCUUUAUCCUUGCUGACCACAGCGCUAUUCCCUGCUCUCCUGAAACCCGAAUCACCACCCUCCCUAAUGGCCUCCGAAUCGCCACAGAAUUUCACCUCCUAGGUCGUGCCGCGGUUGUUAGUGUCUGGAUCUACUCCAGAAGCCGCUUCGAGAGCGACGCCACCAACGACAUGGCUCAUUUUCUGGAACGUAUGGUGUUCGAGGGCACAGAAAAGAGGCCGGCUGAGGGUUUUGGUGAAGGAAAUUGAGAGCAUGGCAAUCCCUUGAUGAUUUAAAAAAUCGCAAUUUCUUAAUGAUUUUAACAUGCUGCUCUGAUACCAAUUGUUUAAUCAACCAUUAUAAAUCCAAGAACUCUACAUAGGAAUCUCAUGUUAAAUCAUAUAAAGAAAUGUGCCUGAAUGUUUUAUGGAAUGCGAACAUACUGAAUCCAGACUAACCUGAGUCCAUUGCUAAGGCUGUAGAGGGCUAUCCACCUUCCAAUAAUCUCUCUGACGAUGGAAGCGAGAGAGAACGGGUUUUGUUUUUUAUUCAAAAGAUGUGAUCAUCUGAAGAACAAACACUUAGCCUUUAUGUACCCUCUUGCCUUAGGGACCAUACCUUUUGGGUUAUUGGGCCUCACGAGUCUUAAGCCCAUCAUCUAAGGCCCGUGAUGGCAUUAGACUCUACACAUAAGGUGGCCCAUACGCUAGAUCAAUCAGCAAUCAUAUAUAUAUAUAUAUAUAUAUAUAUAUAUAUACGGAUAGCUAAAUCCUGAAUAAUGGUUAAUAUGAUGUGGAUCCACAUUUAUUUUAACACUGUACAGAUCACGACAAGUACUCAGCGGAGUCUCAGUUCAUAACCCACACAAUGGGGAGGGUUUUAGCGAGGUUCGGGUUAUAAUCAAGCUCCAUUAACACCAAAGGGUAUGAAACAUUGCUAAAAUUGGUGGAGAACACAGCGAAUGACAACUUUGAUUUGUACUAUGGGUUGUCCAUGUACAAUAAUAAUGCCAUGGAGCAGCUGGAGAAGUUGGAGUUGGUCUUUCAGUCUCUUAAGAGGGAACUUUUUGGGAAUUUGCAGUCUCUUUAUGGAAGGAAGUUGUUUGAAGGAGAGUGAGAGGAGAGAGACCUGGCGCAAAAGCUGCUCCUUAAUAGUGUUUUGGAUUCUUGGAAACUUACAACUCUUUAGUUGGUUUGUUUAUCAUCUGGAGGAGUGCAAAUGCAAUAGAAUUAUUGAAAAUCAAAUUUCAUUCUUAUGAUUUAUCAUUUGUUUUUACUCUAAUGGCUUGGCAUGAGAGAAUUAGUAAUUUUUAAUUAACAAUGAAUUGGUAAUUGGUUUGAGAGAUUUCAAGAAGAAAAUUGGUAAAUUUUUUUUUUGUUUAAAUAAUAUAAAAAAUAUAAGGAAAGAAAAUAUUUAGGUUAUAUUUAAGAAAUAAUUGAUAAAAAAAAUGAAAUAGUCCUCAUAUUUAUGAAUUUGUCCCUUAUGUUUUUGUUCGGAGAGUAACCAAUUUUUGACAGAAGUGUUCUUAACCCUUUCAAGUUUUAAUAAUAUAUUAUAAAAUAUUAUUUUUACAAAUAAAAUAAAAUAAAAUAAUAAUGACAUUUUUAUCGACAGGAGGGCAAAAAAAGGAUGAAGUGUUGAUUUUUAAAAUUGAGUUUGUAAUGACCAUUUUAAGAAAAUAAUCUUAUAUUUAAAUUGAGUUUCCAAGAACUUUUUAUUUUUUAAGUAUUAAAAAUACUGAACACUUUUUAUAAUAAUUGCUAAACACAUUUUUAAUUUAAAAAAAUAAGAGGAAAGAAAAUAAAAAGGAAAAAUAUAAAAAAAAGAAAAGAUUUCAAGCCAAUAAUUUUUUUUUUUUUUUUAGACUAAGACUAAGACUUUUUUUAGAAAGAUAUCAAAAUAUAACAUUCACCUUCUUCAUUUGUUAAUGUUGUAAAAGGCAAAGUUAUUAUUAAAAUAACUUAAGAAAAAAAAAAACCCUACCUUUCUCCUCCAUUAAUUUAUUCGAUAUGGGUACAAAUGCUCCACUCACAUGCCCUCUUGUAAGACCUUAGAAAGCUAAGAUUAGUGGCUUAUUCAUUGUUCUCCCUUUCCUCUUCUAAAGAGACAGUAGAACAUUAAUCUAUAUAUAUAAUAUGGUAUAUUGUACAACUUUUAAAAUUAAUUAUUAUAAAGACAUAUUAAAAAUAACAUUUGAGAUGAGGAUAAUUCAAUAUGAUAAUAUUUUUUUUGAGCUAAUAAGAGAAAUAUGUAUAACCCUAUGGGAUACAAUUAUAUAUUAGUAUGGUAAAAUCGUUCAAAUUAAUUUUUAAAUUGAAUUAAAUAUAUAACCUCCUUAACAUGGCAAUUUUUUUUUUUUUUUUUUUACUUUUAUAAUGAACUUUUCUAUAUAUUCAAACCUAUUUUGCAUAUAACAGUUAAAUUACUUCACUUCUAAACAAUUAGGAUAUUCGAUUUUAUUAGAUGAGAAAUAGGUAUCUUAGGAUAUAAUUUUAAAUAAGAUAUAAUAUCCUUAUAUAUUAAAUUUAAUGAAUGUUAUAUCUAAGAUAACAUAUUUAAUAAAAUAUGUUAUAUUAUGUUUAUAUUUAGUUUACAAAAUAAAUAAAAAAACAAAGUAAAGCAUAUAUUAUUUUAAAUAUUUAAAAUGAAAAUUAUAUUGCAUUUCAAUAUUUUCUAUUUUAGAAAAAAUGAAAAUUUGUUUCAAUAUUUAUGAUUAAAACAUUUAAACUUUGUAAAUAAAAGUUUUUUUAUUAUGUUAUUCAAUAUAUAUAUAUAUAUAUAUAUAUAUAUAUAUAUAUAUAUAAUAUUAAUAUUAUUUUAUAAAUAUUGUUCAGUUCUUAUUUUUUAAUCAUAAAUUUAAUUUUAUACUAAUUUUUAUUUUAUUUUAUUUUGCAAGAUCAUUAAUAUAAAAAAAAUAAAAAUUAAGAAAUAAAUUUAUGAUAUAAGAGAUAUGUAUAUUCUACAUUUUAAGUUUGGAUUAAAAUAUCAUAUGUAGUUUGGCACAUGGGCACAAAAGGCGACUAGUAGUUGAUUGCUUCCCUUCGUAUGAUCAAAAUCUCUAAAAAUCCUAUUGUUCCACCAAAUAGAUGUAUGCUCGUUUGCUAUCAAAUGGAAAAGGAAAACCUAUGGUAUAUGAAUCUGGAUAUUGUCCACAAAGGAAAACCUUAGGUUGUCCAAGUUUCUCAGGUCUCCUAUUUGGCAUUCAUCAUUAUGAUCAAAAUCUAGAUAUUGCUAUCGAAUAAAAGAAACAGCUUAUCAUCUCCACUGUUCUUAUGACUCUGGGAGUUGCAAUUGUUAGUUGGAUUGCCCUUCCAUCAUCCUUCACAAUCUUCAAUUUUGGCUCUCAGAAAGUUGUGAAGAAUUGGUAAGGUUUACAUUGUUAAUUCCUUGGAAAAAAUGGAUAUACAUCUACUAACUCAAUUUGGGUUUGCAGGCAGCUGUUCUUGUGUGUGGGUGUUGGUCUUUGGGCUGGACUUAUUAUUGGGUUUGUAACUGAGUAUUACACUAGCAAUGCAUACAGGUAUCUAUAAUCUCACUGAAUUCCUGCCUUGUUAUAGUCUUCAGCUUUCCUACUCUGAUUCUUGUGUUUCUUUUAUUUGCAGCCCUGUGCAAGAUGUGGCUGAUUCCUACAGGACUGGAACUGCCACAAAUGUCAUCUUUGGCCUUGCUUUGGGAUACAAAUCUGUCAUCAUUCCUAUUUUUGCUAUUGCAGUUAGUAUUUUUGUUAGUUUCAGUUUUGCUGCCAUGUAUGGCAUUGCAGUGGCAGCCCCAGGAAUGCUGAGUACCAUUGCUACUGGGCUUGCUAUUGAUGCUUAUGGUCCCAUCAGUGACAAUGCGGGAGGAAUUGCUGAGAUGGCUGGCAUGAGCCACAGAAUCCGAGAGAGAACUGAUGCACUUGAUGCCGCAGGCAACACCACUGCUGCCAUUGGGAAGGUAAAUCACAUCUGUAGGUUGGUUCUAAUGUUGUCAUUGAAAAGUGUCUUAUCAUCACAUGCAUUAUGCAAGGUACAAAUCCAUGAAGGGUAAGUAUCCUUAGACGAAAGGCUCAUCCUAUCAUGCAUAUGGCUUUUGACUAGGCCUAUAAAUUGAUGAAACUCAAUUUUUGAAUUUGGAAUAAAAUAUCUCAGUAUAAAUUUUCAGAGUGUGUAGAGGCGUUGUAGUUCAUUUUUGUGUUAAACUAAUGCCACUCCUAUGAGCAGUAAGCCAGAAGGUUCUAUUCACAACUUGUAAGUGGUGAGCUGCCUGUUGGUUAUCUUAACUAAUGUGAAGCAAACUCAGUCCGUACAAUGCAGCUUUGCUGUGUAAUUUGUUAUUGAAAUCUAAUUGUGCACAUUUCUUUUAGCUUCACUUAGCUGUUUGUAACUUCAUUUUUUAUGUUUGAUUUACAUUUGUUCUCAGGGAUUUGCAAUUGGAUCUGCGGCACUCGUGUCUUUGGCACUGUUUGGUGCCUUUGUAAGUCGUGCAUCGAUCUCAACUGUUGAUGUCUUGACUCCAAAGGUCUUCAUUGGUUUGCUUGUUGGUGCAAUGCUUCCUUACUGGUUCUCAGCCAUGACCAUGAAGAGUGUGGGACGUGCAGCUCUUAAGAUGGUUGAGGAGGUUCGCAGACAGUUCAACACCAUUCCAGGUCUGAUGGAGGGCCUUGCCAAGCCUGAUUAUGCCACUUGUGUCAAGAUCUCUACUGAUGCAUCCAUUAAGGAGAUGAUUCCACCUGGUGCCCUUGUCAUGCUCACACCCCUUAUCGUUGGGACCUUCUUUGGCGUGGAGACUCUAUCUGGAGUACUAGCUGGCUCCCUUGUUUCUGGUGUCCAGGUAAUAUCAUGAUCAUUAAAUGUAUAAUUGGAAUUUCAUGGUUUCUGAUCUAUUAAAAAAAAACAAGCAGUUUAUCUUAAAAAUAUCAUGAAUUAUGCGAAGAAAAGUCAGGGUUGAAUUUAAGUUAGUGAAAUUUGGGAACAAAAUCUUGUUAGGUGUGUUUAGCAAUAUAGACAUGCAUGAGUAGUCAGAGACUUCGCAAAGAAACAAAAUGCUUAUCUGAAGUACUUUCUGGGAGCUUUGUUUUUGGCUGUUAAUUGAAAUUUUAUUUUCUGAUUUGCUCUUUUGGAUGUGUGCUUUUAACAGAUAGCAAUCUCUGCUUCUAACACUGGCGGUGCAUGGGAUAAUGCCAAGAAGUACAUUGAGGUAAGCAUACGGUGAAGUGAGGCUAUAGGUGGUUUCCUCUCUUGGCCCAUGUUUACUGUUAUUAUUGCUUUGACGAUAUUAUUCCAUUGAGUGGUAAUUUUUGGAAUUUUGUUGUUAGGCUGGUGCUUCCGAGCAUGCAAGGACCCUUGGCCCAAAGGGGUCUGAUCCACACAAGGCAGCUGUGAUUGGUGACACCAUUGGAGACCCACUGAAGGACACCUCAGGCCCAUCGCUCAACAUCCUUAUCAAGCUCAUGGCAGUGGAGUCUCUCGUCUUUGCUCCCUUUUUUGCCACUCAUGGUGGGUUGCUUUUCAAGAUCUUCUGAGGAAUGGGAUGAUGAAAAAUACAUGGGCAAAGGGGUGAUUAGCCCUUUUUUCCCCAGUAUUUAUUCGGCACAUCUCUCACCAAUUCAUCUAAUCUCCAUAUCCAUCCAUCCCCACAUUGUGAGUUUUUCAAGUUAGUUUCUAUGUUUAGGGAAAUAUUAUUUUUGAAGGGCUGAUGAUGAUGAUGAUGAUAAUCAUGAUUGGUAAGGGAGGACAGGCAAAAUGGUUUUAACUGUCACAGAAGAGUCAGGAUGGUAGUGUGUUACUUUUCUUUAUACCUCUUUUUAGAACAGCUCUGUUCCUAAUUUCCUUGUAACCUUAUCCUUUUUUCCAUUAAAAGCAAGGAGAACGUGUUCAUCAAUUUUGGGUAUUUUUGCUGUCCAUCAGUGGAGCUUUGUAGUUUUUGUUUGGGUUAAAUGCGUGCAGGGCCUAGGUAGAUGGAAAAUGAUGCCGGUCUUUUUUAACUCUUGGAUUUUAGCUUUAUCAUCUCCAAAUUUUUAAAAAAUAGAUAUCUAAGGUAUGUUUGUUAAAUGAU